rnacentral:lncRNA from 1 species
UGCCAAAUAUUGUUUUAAUUAGUAAUAUUUACUUAUAUUUGGUAUUUGGACUUAAUUCCAGGGAUUGGAGCAAGAAACUACAAAAAAGUAGGGACUUGCUCCAUAAGUGGGAGACUUCAAGAAGGCUCCAUCGACCUAGCCCACAAGGAGAGGAAGAGGCGGACUGCAUUUGCUUGCUGAUUAGGAGAUUAGAGCUCUACUGGCAAUAGGAAACAAGCAAUUUGGCAGGGCUCCAAUUCUUUUGCUCCUUGACUUCUAAUCCGUGGGGACCACUAGAUAACUUGAGUCAUUUCUUUUGGCUUUAAGAAGACAAACGUACAGGAGGUUUUGGGGGAUUAAUAGUUUUAGCUUAGUUUUUAGCAUAGUUUAGUUUUAUUCUUUCUUGGUUCCUUUGAUGGCCUGGACCUCAAUUAAAUUACGUGGAGAUUUUCUCAUGAGGCGUGGCUAAGUUUCUCAUCUAGUCGAAGGUCAAUUUGAGAACUCGGUUCCGAACAUCUGUGAGAUCUAAUUAUUUUAUUUAUUUCUUUUAUUUAUUGGUAUUUGUACGUUUCUUGAUUUAAUUGUUUAAGAUUGUUUUGUUAUUUGAAUGUCAAGGGCCCGAUAUUCGAAUUAACCUAAUAAUCUACUGUCAUAUUAAUUGAUGGAAUCCGUAAUUGUUCUAUCGAUUAAUACCAGUGGCGACUAGCGUGAUUGGUUUCAUGUUAGGGAAACGUAUGAUCUAACUUAAACAAACCCUCGUAGCGUGUUUGUUGGUUAGGGUUGGGCUUUUCUAAUUAUUAAUGAAGUCAAGUAAUUAAAUAUUAUGGUCGUACCUAGGGUUAUUUCUUGGUUAAAGAAAUAGUUAACGGUCGUACCUUAACUAUCGAGAAAUUAAGGAAAGGCUUGUUGUUCAUCGCGUGUAUGGCAACUAUAACCAAUCUAUUAAUGAGUAAUUGAAUUAUCUUUGCGUCGAUGAUCAAUUGCAUGGACCGUGUCUGAAAAGUUGUACCUUUGGCUAGAGUCAUAUUGGUUAUUGAUUAAUUUCUAUUAAUUGUUUUAUUAGUUAGUUAAUUAGUCAUUUUAUAUUCUCCAAAAACCUCUCCCAUACUUUGGACUCUAAAAGAAAUAAGUUAUCCCCAGUCCCUGUGGAUUCGACCCUGCUCACCGCUAUAUACAAAUUCUGUAUUUUUCUUGAGUAGGUAAUUAUUAUUGCACAGGUUCGACACCUGUCACCAAGUAAUCAAUGGCACCCCAGCAGUCAUAGCUUCCAUCGUCGAAUUCCAACCACAGUGAGUCAUAAACCCUCCAACUGCCGGAUGGUUCAAGAUCUUUAACUGCGGAGCCCAACCUCUAAUGAUCAGACCUGUGUUUCCUUCAGUUAUUCUUUCUUCAAAACCAUCUGGCAGCCAGCUCUCUUCAGUCUCUUGUUGAUUAUCUUGGUCAUUAUCUCUCUUCCUGACAACCCAAAUGAACGGUUGGUUCGAAGUCUCAAGAGCUAAUGCAAUUUCCUUGAGUUGGGAGGUUGAGAAUCUUACAACACUUCCAAAAGAAACGUAGAGGACUUGGUUGGCCCCCUGAGUGUCAAGCCAGUUUAAGCAACUAUCCUUCCCAUCGGCAGUAGUGUCAGUUUUCUCCUUGUUGGAGAAGUAGAAAAGAGGUCCAAUGGUCCAAAACUUUAUCCCUCUUACCUUUUCAAAGUAAUCACCAUAUUGAGAAUCCAACUCAUAAAAAGUGUCAAAAAGCAAGCCGAAGCUCCUAAGCUCUGAUUCUUUGAUUGGUUUUACUAUCAUUUCAAAGUACGGUGUUGUUUCCUUCAUGUGAUCCUCCAAUUGGGACUUCUUCAUUUCAAUCUUGUUUGGUAAACCAGGGAUCAAGAAACUCUCAGAAUCUGAGCUGACUGACUUAUGAGGCUCAUAUUGCCAAAGGUUAUGGCGCAAACAAUGAGAAAUGAAGCUUUCUGGAUAGAUCAUUGUUGGAUAUUUUAAUAAAAAAUAUCACAUAUUUAUUUUGAAUUCAAAUAAAAUAAAUUACAAAUUCUUUAAAUAAAUUUUCAGUUACAAAUUGAAACUUUUAAAUGUGUAACUUAUGGGUUUGAUGUCUUGCUUUUAUAACUUAUGAAAUGAUUAGGUUUUAUGAAUUCAUUUAGUGAUUUUUUACCGUUAUACAAUGAAUAUAGACUCUUCAAUUUGUAACUGAAAUAUGAAAGUGUUAAUUCCUAUUAAUGUUGGUAGUUUAACAUUCCUAAUUUCUUAGCCUAUAUAUAAGGCAUCUAUCAACCAAACCAGAUAUAUACUUUGAUAUCUAUAUACUACCUUCUAGUUUUCCUCCACUAUUAUAAGUGUUUAUAGGGCAAAGAACAGUGUUAGUGUGAGGUUUCUGUCUUGCUCCAAUAGUGUAGAUUGGAGUAGACUACAGUGUGCAAAAGGCUGGACUGUUGUAUCCUGGAGGCGACGUGCUGAGACCUACUAUACCGGAGGAUACUCUGUAGGGGCGCGAAUCGUCUUAAAGAGAGCGACCUAGUCCGCGCCUCAACCCAUGCCAAAUCAACAUAUUUAUGGUACAAAGUAUUUGCAUUUUUAAUGCAAGAUUAAGGUAUGAAUUUUUGUUAAUUUAUUUGUUAAAUUGUAUUAGAGAAAUUAUUGUGACUUAUAUGAUUUAUUUUGGUCUAGUACCAACAAUUUUAAGACGAUUAGCCUCUUCACAUAAGAUAAGGUUAUCAUUGCAUGUUUUGCUUCUAAAUAAGCUAAUCAUAAAACUAACAUAAUUCUGACGAUGAGAAUCUUACAUGGUGUAUAACAUAAUCCGGACAAACUUUAAUAAACAAGAUAUUUCAUGUGAAUGGGCAUAAUUAUAGACUGAGAUUAGAAAGGAUAAUAUUCAUUGGUUAUAUAUGCUUUAGAGUCUGGUAUCAAUAUUGUGUAAGCACUUAUAAAUAAUUCGCAAUAUAUAUCUUUGAAUCCAAGUUGUCUAUUAUUAACAAAAUAUCAUGUAUUUGUUUGUUCAAGGGAAACAUGAUACUUGCAUGAUAUCUUUCAAUAUUAGUAGACCGAAUACAAUAAUUUUUUGCCAUUUUUGAGUUUUUAAUAUAUGUUGUAUGAAGCAACUAUUUUCACAUAAGCUUGUCAUGUUACAUAGUGAACUUUCAAUGUCUCUUUUAUUAACGGAUUUAUUUCGAUUGAAAAUUUUGGCAUUGACAUAUAAAUGAUUAAUUUGGUGAUAAAGAUAUAUACUCCAUGAAAUGCAUGUAUAACGUGGCCAGUUAUUAUCUUAAGAAUAGUGGUAUCAUGGUGCAUAAAAAAAAAAACUGCAAUUAUGAGGGUUCAGGUUAUAUUUAAAUAGUGGGGGUUUAAAAUUCUCUAAUUUUUAUCUUGAAUUCAUAUGAUCUUAGUCAAGCUUGAGGUUUGCAUUUUCACAAGCAAUAAACGAUACUGAUUAUACAUGAAGAAAAGAUUACACUAUCACCAAGGAAAAAUUAUAUACAUGGAUAAUAGCUUUAGUGGCUUGAAGUUGUGAAAUAUAAAGUUAUUAGCCAUAUAAUUCUCAACAACUCUAUUCUCUUAACUUGUAUUUUGUUAAAAUUGUGAAUAUGAACUUUUCAGUUGAAAAUGUGAUGUUGUACAUUGAACAAUAUGUAUUCGAGUCAAAGGCCAUCAAUUUGCAGGCAACCAACAACUUUUGGAUUUAUAUUAAAUUAUUUCAUGUUGUUUGCUAUGUGGUUGUCUUUGUAUUUAAUGCAAACUGGAAUACUUAAUUUCCUUGCCAAGCAUGACUAUAGUAAGACUAUGCUUGGAUGGAAAUGCAAACAGUGGAUGUUGACUAAGCUGGUAGCUAUGAAUUUGAAACUCUUGAGAUUUUUCAUUAUAAGGCUUGCAUUACUUGCAAGUUGAAAUUUGAAAUUAAAACAUAAUAGUGCAUUGACUAUUAUAUUUUUUGAAUUUUCUUAAUCUCUAAUUUGAGUUGUGCAGAUUAAAAAGUGAGGCAUGAUUUGGAUAGAUUUGAAUUACUUAUGAAGUUUUCUUGCAAAAGAAAAUUCAUUGAGGACUAUGAGAGUGGCGGGUUACUAGAUUACUAGCCACUGAGAAGAUUACAAAAAUGAUGGAAAUUAAUGUGGCUUUGCUUGAUGUGAGCAAAUAUAUGCCCAUUCUAUUUGCUCAAGUUAUGAGUAUAACAUAAUUAUUGUUUUUUGAAUCUAUUCUAACUUUAUUUGGAGUUGUGCAGACUAGCAUUCACUGACAAGUAUGACCUGAUGUGAAGGUACUUGAAAUAUUUUUGAUAUUUUUGCAAAAGCAAAAAUACCCAUGGAGUUUUUUGAGAAUGGCUUCUAGUGCAUCACUAGACUACUGGCCAUAGAAAAAAUUUAAAAAUUACUUAUGAGUAAAUAUACGCCUACACUAUUUGGCAAAAAUAUAUGGAUGAGAAAUUUUCUCAUCGAAGAUUGGUUCCAUGUAUUUGGACCACUAAGAGAUUAUUUGAAAAAAUUCGAGAAUAUCAUAUCUUUGUUAUUUUAUUUGUGUUGAAUAUAUAAAUCUCAAGCUUGAGUCAAGGAUAUGAUACACAUCGAGGGGGAUAAGACAAAAGUCUCAUAUAUGUUAAAAAUCACCUAUGAGGAUACAACCACCUAGGGACUGGAGAUCCCAAGAACUAGGUUAGAGACAAACGAAUCAUAGAGUGAUUUGGUUGAUUAAUAUGCACUACUUUGAUUAUAUUGUCUAUCCCUAUGAUGUAAGUGCAUUUGUGAUCCUAUGGCGAUAAGCGAGGUUGGGAUUUUUAUUCCCUUAAUGAGUUCUAUAGCCCUUAUGGGUGGGAUGUCUAAGUCAUAGGAGCAUCCUUGAUAGACUCACCUAUAUGAGUGUGGAAGUAGGGCCGCUUCCUAUGAGAAUUUGGGCUGGUUCUCUAGAGCACUCAUGAAAACCGGGAUAAAGCACAAGGCCAUAAAUGUGCUGGCUUAUGAAACCUAUUUGAGAACACUGAAAGGUUCAUGUGUGUGACACGAUAUCACGUGCCCUCAAGUAGUCAUCGUUUAAAGGCUAAGUCCACUUUAACUCUAGCACGGGAAUUGUUGAGCACUAAGUGAAGGUUUAAAGGCAUUGCCACCUUCAUUAUGCAUGAAUUUUUAAUCUUUGCCCUAUUAAGUGUUAAGUUUUGAAUAUUAUAUUUUUUAUUAAAAUAAGUGGGGGAUUGUUGGAUAUUUUAAUAAAAAAUAUCACAUAUUUAUUUUGAAUUCAAAUAAAAUAAAUUACAAAUUCUUUAAAUAAAAAAUAUCACAUAUUUAUUUUGAAUUCAAAUGCAAUGAGUUACAAAUUUUGAAAUGAAUUUUCAGUUACAAGAUCACUAUUAAAAAUGUAACUUAUGAGAUUUAUGUCUUGCAUUUGUAACUUAUGAAAUGAUUAGGUUUUAUGAAUUCAUUUAGUGAUUUUUUACCGUUAUACUAUGAAUGUAGACUCUUCAAUUUGUAACUGAAAUAUGAGGUGUUAAUUCCUAGUAAUAUUGGUAUUUUAAUAUUCCUAAUUUAUUAGCCUAUAUAUAAGGCAUCUAUCAACCAAAUCAAAUAUAUACUUUGCUAUCUCUAUACUACCUUCUAUUUUUCCUCCACUACUAUAAGAGUUGAUAGGGCAAAGAACAGUGUUAGUGUGAGGUUUCUGUCUUGUUUCAAUAGUGUAGAUUGGAGUAGACUACAGUGUACAAAAGGCUGGGCUGUUGUAUCCUGGAGGCGACGUGUUGAGACCUACUACACCGGAAGAUACUCCGUAGGGGCGCGAAUCGUCUUAAAGAGAGCGACCUAGUCCGUGCCUCAACCCAUGCCAAAUCAACAUAUUUAUGGUACAAAGUAUUUGCAUUUUUAAUGCAAGAUUAAGGUAUGAAUUUUUGUUAAUUUAUUUGUUAAAUUUUAUUAGAGAAAUUAUUGUGACUUAUAUGAUUUAUUUUUGAGAAUGGCUUCUAGUGCAUCACUAGACUACUGGCCAUAGAAAAAAUUAAAAAAUUACUUAUGAGUAAAUAUACGUCUACACUAUUUGGCAAAAAUAUAUGGAUGAGAAAUUUUCUCAUCGAAGAUUGGUUCCAUGUAUUUGGACCACUAAGAGAUUAUUUGAAAAAAUUCGAGAAUAUCAUAUCUUUGUUUUUUUAUUUGUGUUGAAUAUAUAAAUCUCAAGCUUGAGUCAAGGAUAUGAUACACAUCGAGGGGGAUAAGACAAAAGUCUAAUAUAUGUUAAAAAUCACCUAUGAGGAUACAACCACCUAGGGACUGGAGAUCCCAAGAACUAGGUUGGAGACAAACGAAUCAUAGAGUGAUUUGGUUGAUUAAUAUACACAACUUUGAUUAUAUUGUCUAUCCCUAUGAUGUAAGUGCAUUUGUGAUCCUAUGACGAUAAGCGAGGUUGGGAUUUUUAUUCCCUUAAUGAGUUCUAUAGCCCUUAUGGGUGGGAUGUCUAAGUCAUAGGAGCAUCCUUGAUAGACUCACCUAUAUGAGUGUGGAAGUAGGGCCGCUUCCUAUGAGAAUUUGGGCUGGUUCUCUAGAGCACUCAUGAAAACCGGGAUAAAGCACAAGGCCAUAAAUGUGCUGGCUUAUGAAACCUAUUUGAGAACACUGAAAGGUUCAUAUGUGUGACACGAUAUCACGUGCCCUCAAGUAGUCAUCGUUUAAAGGUUAAGUCCACUUUGACUCUAGCACGGGAAUUGUUGAGCACUAAGUGAAGGUUUAAAGGCAUUGUCACCUUCAUUAUGCAUGAAUUUUUAAUCUUUGCCCUAUUAAGUGUUAAGUUUUGAAUAUUAUAUUUUUUAUUAAAAUAAGUGGGGGAUUGUUGGAUAUUUUAAUAAAAAAUAUCACAUAUUUAUUUUGAAUUCAAAUAAAAUAAAUUACAAAUUCUUUAAAUAAAUUUUCAGUUACAAAUUGAAACUUUUAAAUGUGUAACUUAUGGGUUUUAUGUCUUGCUUUUAUAACUUAUGAAAUGAUUAGGUUUUAUGAAUUCAUUUAGUGAUUUUUUACCGUUAUACAAUGAAUGUAGACUCUUCAAUUUGUAACUGAAAUAUGAAAGUGUUAAUUCCUAUUAAUGUUGGUAGUUUAACAUUCCUAAUUUCUUAGCCUAUAUAUAAGGCAUCUAUCAACCAAACCAGAUAUAUACUUUGCUAUCUAUAUACUACCUUCUAGUUUUCCUCCACUAUUAUAAGUGUUUAUAGGGCAAAGAACAGUGUUAGUGUGAGGUUUCUGUCUUGCUCCAAUAGUGUAGAUUGGAGUAGACUACAGUGUGCAAAAGGUUGGGCUGUUGUAUCCUGGAGGCGACGUGCUGAGACCUACUACACCGGAGGAUACUCCGUAGGGGCGCGAAUCGUCUUAAAGAGAGCGACCUAGUCCGCGCCUCAACCUAUGCCAAAUGAACAUAUUUAUGGUACAAAGUAUUUGCAUUUUUAAUGCAAGAUUAAGGUAUGAAUUUUUGUUAAUUUAUUUGUUAAAUUUUAUUAGAGAAAUUAUUGUGACUUAUAUGAUUUAUUUUGGUCUAGUACCAACAAUCAUGAUUCUUGGUAUGUUCAGCUUCUCGGCUAAAUCACAUGUCCAAAAAAAGUGCUUGUCCGAGAUAAUACAAUGAGGAUUAAGAUGCUGUACUAGUUCUUCCAUUGGUUUCUGAAAGCAUUUCUUUUGUAGUUGCCGCGGUGAAAUACUCGAUUCCUUCUGGUAGUCCCACUUCAGCUGAUGGGAAUUUCAAGUUGUUAAUUGUAAUGUCGUGGCCUAACUCGAUGGCAUGAUCAAUGGAGGAUUGAAACAGGACAGUGUUGUAUUUGGUGGAGAGAAUAGUUACCUUAACGCCCUGAGCAGCAAAUAGCCUGGCAACAUUAACAAGAGGGAUCAUGUGGCUUGGGCUCAAGUAUGGAAGAAAUAGGACAUGAAGUUUAUCAUUGUCCACAAAUUCCAUAGUCAAAUUACUACUUUAAAAAUAUAAAUUUUGCAAGCUUUGACAAAGCUGUAUUGCAGAAUCUUUAUGUACAAAAUGUUGAAAAGUUCUACAAUCCAAAUUUGGGUAGGACAAAAGGGCUAUGUAGAGGCAAAAUCUUGCACCUACUUGUAUUACCUUGAUUACUUCACUCGUCUAGUCAAGAAAAGCUGAAAAAGGCGGGGCUAUCUCCCUCGGAAUAAGCUCCGAUGCUUAAGUUAGUGAAAUGGAAGAAGGAAAGAGGCUCGGUGUACCAGAGAAUUCAGCAAUUACUUCACUCCCUAUCCUUUCAUUGUUUAAUGCACAGCCACAAUUGUCAAGAUAGGUGACAUCCACUUCUACCCUGUUUCUUCUUUCCAGGCUAUGAUAUUGAUAUAUAAAGACUGAACAUAGACUUUAUCAUUUGUUAAUUUUUUUUUGGUGUAAGCGGAAAUUUCUUUUGUUAAUAAGAAAUUGUUAGUCUUGAUAUAAUUUGUGCUCUAUUCUUUUACAGAAAUUUAAUUCAUCAAAAUUUAAGGUUGGGUGCUGGCUAACAUAAUGUCUAUAUUUAUUAUUCUAGACUCAAAAGAUAUUUUAUUUCUAAAUUGUAAUCAGGAUGUACUAUAUUUAUUGAUAAGGUACUAAACAGAUUUGCUCAAACCCGAGACAUCUCACUUACACUUCCUUCCCCCAUACCAUCCAACCCAUCCCUCCCCCUUAUCAUUUGUUAAAUCAUUGUUGGUUGAAUGCUGUAUUCCUUGGAUUGGUUUAAUUCAAGGGAUAAUUUCAUAAACCUCCCCUGAGAUUUCUGACAAUUUUACUGAUCUUCCCUAAGGUUUAAAAAAUUACACAUACCUCCCUUGAUUUGAUAAUUUUAGUAACAAAACCUUGAAUAUCCAAAAAUACUCUUGUGUAAUGAGUUUUAAAUUAUUUUCUUAUAGAAUUAUAAGAUUAUCUAAUGUAAUUAUAAGGAAAAGGUGCCGAAUUUUUAUUGGCAAAAAAUUAAAAUAAAAAGGAAUAAGAAGGAAAAAGAAUGAAAAUAUAAUUUUAAAGUCAUUUUAAGUAUAAGCAUACUAAACAAUGGAAUUUCAUUAAAAUAUUUAAGAGUAGUAUUGUUAUUUUAAAUGACAAGGGAGGUAUGUGUAAUUUUUUAAAUCUCAAGGGAGUUCAGUGAAAUUGUCAAAAAUCUCAAGGAGGUUUCUGAAAUUAUCCCUUAAUUCAAUCAUUUUGUUGUGUUUCGUGUAAGUCUUUUCCAAAAGACUUACCCGAAACACAACAAAAUGCGUGUAAGUCUUUUCCAAAAGACUUACACGAAACACAACAAAAUGAUUGAAGUAAGGGAUAAUUUUAGAAACCUUCCUUGAGCUUUCAUGAAAUAUCACCUAGCUCUCCUGAAUUUUUCAAAAUCUCACUUAGCACCCUUGAAGUGAUAGUAGGACCAUAUGCUAAUAUCAAACGUGAUGAAUUGUCAAUAAUACCCUCAUAUUUAAAUUUUCUAAACUUAUUUUUCUUUCUCUAAAUGUCAAUGAAAUAUAAGAUUUAAUCAAUGAAAUAUUCAGCGCAUUUGGAGAAAAAUAGUUGCAAGUUCUUUUUUUCCACUUUUUUUUGUGUUUCACAACUUUAUUUAUUUAUUUAGUUAUUUGUGCCUAUUCAUGUAGAAUGCAAGAGAAAUAAAGUAACUAAAACUCCAAACUGCAGUUUUUCAAAUUCUGAGUUUUUUAUAAUAAAAUUUUCAUGUUUCAUACCCAUAAAAAAGGUCGGUCUAUUUUGAGUAAAUUCUCUGUAUGAUAUUAAGUUGAAUUUCAUCUAUUGCUGAGUUUUUUUGGCUCAAAUGUAUGAUUUUUACAUGCUAAUUGCCUUCAAUGCUAUGGAGGAUUUUAUUUAUAGAAAUGAUUUAAAAAAUAUUUGUUUUUACUGUCUCUCUCUACUAUAGAAAUGGCUAUUGGCUGUAACAUAAAAUCUUAUCAAUUUUCAUCUCCUCACUUUUAAGAUGGUUCCAAUUUAAUACUUUUUUCCCUUGGUUUGUAAAAUGUUCAUUUUUCUAUAGCCUAAGGGUAUUAAAGGCACUAAAAUAAUCUCUCUCCUCAGACAUGAAUUUUUUAAUAUUACUUUUGGUUAGAAGGGUGACAAUGAUACCAAAAUGUCAAUUUGAGUGGUGCUAAGUGAGAUUUUGAAAAUUCAGAAACGUCCCUCAAGGUUUCUGAAAAUUCCACCUAGUACCCAUAAGGUUUUUAAUAUUACGCAGCCUCCUUUGGCCUUACAAAAUGACCAUAAUAGUCUUAACAUUUUAAUAUUUUUUCAUGCAAUUAAACAAUUCACUCCUAAUCUUGUUCAUAUGAGUGCAUCACAAAAUUAGAGACUUAAUGGAAAAAUAAAAUAAAAUUCACCGAUGGAAUAAUCGACCAUGUCUUAAACAAUAAUAAUAUAUUAAAAAUUAAUUUUGGCUUUGUUUGGAGAAUCUAAAGAUGAAUAGAAGAAUAUGUAAAUUGAGUUUAAAAAUGAUAGAGCUAGUAUUGAUACUCCAAUAGUUGACGGAUAGGAUGUUAUAUUGAUGCAUUUAUUAAAAUUUUUUAAGUUUAACAAUACAAAUUUUUUGAAUCUCGAUUGAGGUUUUAGAAUUUAAGGAUUGAUGGUGAAUAAUCGACCAUGUCUUAAACAAUAAUAAUAUAUUAAAAAUUAAUUUUUGGCUUUGUUUGGAGAAUCUAAAGAUGAAUAGAAGAAUAUGUAAAUUGGGUUUAAAAAGGAUAGAGCUAGUAUUGAUACUCCAAUAGUUGACGGAUAGGAUGUUAUAUUGAUGCAUUUAUUAAAAUUUUUUAAGUUUAACAAUACAAAUUUUUUGAAUCUCGAUUGAGGUUUUAGAAUUUAAGGAUUGAUGGUGGUAAUGAUCAUGGUGAUAAUAGUACUAAUUUGAAAUAUGGUAAUAUGAAAAGAGUUAAAAUAGUAGAGAUGAGGGUUGAAAAUGAAUUUGAAAUUUUGUGCAUGGUCCAUAGUUUUUGAAUAAUUUUAUAAGAAAGUAAAGUGAACUUUGCAAUUUCAUGAGGGCAUUUUGAGUUAUUCAUUAAAUUUGACCAUUAAAUAGUUUUUGUUACAGAAAUGGUAAACUUGGGGGAGGUAUAUGUAAUUUUUCAAACCUCAAGAGAAUUAGGUGAAAUUAUUAAAAACCUCAAUGGUGGUUUCUGAAAUUAUCCCAUAUUUUUCUGUAAUAAAUUUGGGGCUUUGCUGCGCAGUCUCCAUCAUCUAUAACGUAUACAAAUAUUCUAUCAUUACUUAAAUUAUAGUAGGUUGAAUGUUGAUUUGACUAGGAUCAAUGUAAAUAAGUAUUUGAGUUUUUUUUCUUGUUGAUUUACAAGCAAUAUAAUUAGCAACGUAAAAUACAAAUUACAUGAAGUCAAACAAUUAUGAUAUAUUUUUAAUAUAUUUUCAAUUUUGAUAAAAUUCACAAAAAAUUAUUUUUACUUUUACUUAAUUGAUAGGGCAUAAUUUGUUGUUAAUUUUAUGGUUAAUUCCCCUCUUUAUCUUUGCCAAAUAUUGUUUUAAUUAGUAAUAUUUACUUAUAUUUGGUAUUUGGACUUAAUUCCAGGGAUUGGAGCAAGAAACUACAAAAAAAAGUAGGGACUUGCUCCAUAAGUGGAAAACUUCAAGAAGGCUCCAUCGACCUGGCCCACAAAGAGAGGAAGAGACGGAGUGCAUUUGCUUUCUGAUUAGGAGAUUAGACCUCUACUGGCAAUAGGAAACAAGGAGCAAUUCGGCAGGACCCCACCUUGUGGACUUUGUUUCUCUCAAUUCGGCAGAGUUUCCUUCUUGGACUUUGACUCUUAAUUCGGCAGGGCUCCAAUUCUUUUGCUCCUUGACUUCUAAUCCGUGGGGAUCACUGGAUAGCAUGAGUCAUUUCCCUUUGGCUUUAAAAAGACAAACGUGUAGAAGGUUUUCUAAUCACUAGUUUUAGAGCUUUUAAGCAUAGUUUAGUUUUAUUCUUUCUUGGUUCCUUUGAUGGCCAGGACCUCAGUUAAAUUACUUGGAGAUUUUCUCAUGAGGCGUGGCUAAGUUUGUCUAGUCGAAGGUCAAUUUGAGAACUCGGUUUCGAACAUCUGUGAGAUCUAAUUAUUUUAUUUAUUUCUUUUAUUUAUUGGUAUUUGUACGUUUCCUGAUUUAAUUGCUUAUGCUUGUUAUGUUAUUUGAAUGUCAAGGGCCCGAUAUUCGAAUUAACUUAAUAAUCUAAUGCCAAAUUAAUUGAUUGAAUCCGUAAUUGUUCAAUUGAUUAAUACCAGUGGCAACUAGUGUGAUUGGUUUCAUGUUAGGGAAACGUAUGAUCUAACUUAAACAAACCCUCGUAGCGCGUUUGUUGGUUAGGAUUGGGUUUUUCUAAUUAUUAGUGCAAUCGAGUAAUUAAAUUCUAUGGUCGUACCUAGGGUUAUUUCUUGGUUAGGGAAAUAGUUAACGGUCGUACCUUAACUAUCGAGAAAUUAAGGAAAGACUGAUUGUUCAUUGUGUGUAUGACAACUAUAACCAAUAUAUUAAUGAGUAAUUGAAUUAUUCUUGCAUCGAUGAUCAGUUGCAUGGACCGUGUCUGAAAAGUUGUACCUUUGGCUAGAGUCAUAUUGGUUAUUGAUUAAUUUCUAUUUAUUUCUAUUAGUUGUUUUAUUAGUUAGUUAAUUAGUUACUUUAUAUUCUCCAAAAACCCCCCGUAUUUCGGACUCUAAAAGAAAUAAAUUAUCCCUAAUCCCUGUGGAUUCAACCCUGCUUAUCACUAUCUACAGAAAUUAUAUUUUGUUUAAGCAGGUAUUUAUUAUUGCACAGGUUCGGCACCUGUCAAUUUUUGGCGCCGUUGCCGGGGACUGGUGCCAGAUUAAUUUGUUUCUUUUUGAGUUCAUCUUUUUUUUUCUAUUUAUUUUUCUCUUAUUUUUUUAUAUAGUUUAUGGCUUCUAACACUCUGUAUUUUGGUGAUAGACUGGAUUUUGUUUCCAGGGAAGGCAAUGAGGCUUGUUCUUUUGCUAAGUUUGCAUAUUCAGAGGCACUAAACUCUAUUAGAGACAGAAUGGCUGCUGCAACCUGUAAAAUUUGUUAUGCCAGGGAUCAUUCAACCGGUAUGUGCCCCGAAUAUCAAGAUAACCUGAGUGUCCCACUCAAUAAUUAUGGAGAUUUUUCACCCUGGUCUCAAACGUGGUAUAACUCUAAUCCAAACGGGUAUGAUCAAGAAUAGUGGGAUAACUCCAGUUAUAAUUAUACAACAUGACCAAUGAAUUUUCAGCAGUAUGAGUCUCAAGAAUCGUCAUCUAUGUCAGGUAUGUCUCUUGAAUAAAUAGUUGAACCAAUAGCUACUAAUACAUACCAAUUCCAACAGGAGACACAAAUGAGGAAUGAGAUGAUGAAGGAUGCAAUGAGUUAUCUGGCAGAUCAACUAUGUCUAUUGACAUCCAGAAUAAAUCGAUGGGCUUCUCAAAUGGAAGAAUUGCCCUCGAAAACCAUUGUUGAUCUAGAAAAAAAUGAGAGUGCAAUUUGCUUGACUAGUGAUGAGGAGAUGCAAGAGUGUCAAAAUGAGAAAUCUACAGAUGCAGUUGAAAAAGAAGCCGAAAAGGAAGAAAUGGAACCCCAACCGCAACCCAUUCAAGUGAAAGAAUCCAGUGAAAAAUCAUCAAAUGUGGUGACACCACCUCCAUUCCCUAACCCGCAUUUUCUUACCUCUUACUCUAUGAUUUCUGUUAAUGAGAUUGAUUUUGUUAUACCGGAAGUUCUUGAGUCUCAUGGCAGGAAUGAGUUAAGAGUAGUUAUGGUCAAAUAUCUUGAACCGUUGAAUGCUCUUGAUGGAGGAGUGGAUGAAGAAUUGCGAUCAAUGCUUGAUUAUUUGGCGCCAUCAACUAGUCCAUGGAAAAUCGUAGCUCGUGUGCUCAAAGAUUACUCCAUCUAUGAGGGUUACCAGGAUCAUAUUGAAGAUGAAGCAUUGAAACGAGCUACAAGAUUUUAUCCUCCGUGAACAAGCAUAGCAUGUCUAGCCAAAGACAUUAAAGAAAUGCGCUUUUUGGGAGGCAACCCAAUUGUUGAUUUUGUUAUUUUUGUGUUCAAUUUCUUAAAUAUGUCGUUUCUCACUUGGGUACUAAUCACUCUUGAUGUUUCCUCACUAUGACCAGAAUAGGUAAUCUUAGCGUGCCUACGCGAGGAGGGCACGCGUUAAGCGUCUAAAUUCAAGUCUCAUGGUCAGUGGAUGUUUUACAAUCUUAGCGUGCCCACGCGGUGUUUGACGACCCAAAAAUGAAUUAAAAAAUAUAUUUUUUUUUAUUUUAUUAAAAAAAAGAAAAUUUUUUUUAAAGUAAUUUCCAAUUCAGACGAUUCGCGUUGGAGUAAUUUUGAAAAAAAAAAAAACAUUUCCCUUUUCUCUUUUCUUCUUUUUCCUUCUUUUCUUUCUUUCUUUUCUCUCUUUUCUUCUUCUUCUUUCUUUCUUUCCUUUCUUUCUUUCUUCCCCACUGCCCUGCUUCCCUUUUCUUUUAUUUCUUCUUUCGGCCGCCCUCCAUCCGCCUCACCACCUUGCACGCCGCCGCUCGGCCACCCUCGCAGCCGAGCAGCGCAGCUCGUUUCUCUCCGCUACUACCCGCCACGCGCCACCGUCUCCCUUACUCUCUCCAACCCCACCAAUCUCCCUUUCUCAUCCAUUGCCGCACGCCGCUGACCAGCUUCUAUCGCCGCUGCCUCCGAGCUCCAAGCUCCACCUCACGGACCACCUUCAGCAGCUCCAAAGUUCGCCGCCAGCUCCCAGCCGCACCUGCCUCGCAGCUCCCCCUCUGCUCUCUCUCCACUUCGCGUGCCUCCGCCAUCGACCUCCACCAGCACCCGAGCUUGCGCUAUACCAGAAGCGUUCGCCGCCGCCCCUGCUCUCACUCUCUCCGACGCCACCAGCAGCCGCGGAGCUGCCCGCCGUUCCCCUCACUCUCCCUUUCAAGCUCAUGCUCUGCCGCGGCAGACCGUCACACCAUUCCCACAUGUCCAAAUUGACAGGUGGAGGUAUUGACUCGUCAACCUCGAUUAGUAUUCUGCUGGUCCUACUAUGGCUGGAAUUUGCGCUUUUGUUUCGUGGGUUUCUUGAUAGCUAAAAGCAGGGGGUGAUUUAGGCAUUUUUUUUUUUGGGUUAAUUUUGGUGGAACUGAGUUUAUUUGCUGCUCCAUUUGGGGAUAUUCUCUGGUAUUGAUUACAUUGUUGUGCAUUAAUUGGGUUUCGCCUACUUGAAGCCUCUAUUUUCAUCUGUGGGGAUUAAAUUUGAGUUGGCUAUGUGCUUUAGUUUUUCUCUGUGCGGGCACCAGAGGUACUGGUUGUGGUGUUGACUAAAAUUUCUUAAUCCUUGAUGCUUGACUGCCUACUCAACUCUUGGGUUUUAGUGCUUAAAUUGUUUCUCGAAAUCUAAACGGUCGUUGCUAGAAUUGCCUGUUGCUUCGCUUAAUUGCUGAUUUUGGCAGGUUGAAUUGGGGAAUUGACUGUCCAAUUGGAGGCAGCUGUUACCAUUUUGGGACCAAUUGUGUCUAUUUUGCUGUGAUUUGUGUCUAAUUGUGGGUAAUUUGCUUGUUAAAUUGGGAGGUGCCUAUAACGCUGAAAUUUGCUUAUUGAAGUUAGUUGCCUCUGAUUGUCUUGUUUAGGAGCAUUUUAUUCUUUUGGUUUCCUUUACUAAGCUAUUUGGAGCACUUGUUGCAUGAUUGGACUGCCUUGAUUCUGAAUUUGACUACAUUUGGACCACAGGGGCUCAUUGAUUGCAUUUGUUAUUAGUGUUGAGGUAUUCGUAUAACCUGUGGGUGAUUGAAUUGUGCCUAUUGUUCAUUGGGUUGGUUUUAAACAAAAAAUUGUUAUUACUUUGAAAUUCCUGUUUCCAUUAUCUGUUGGCAAUUGUAGUCCCUUGUGAUUAGAGUGACAUCUAGAGAUCAUGGUAAGGCCAAGAUCCGCUUCUAGGUUUAGGACACCUAGACACUCGCAGCCUCCUCCUACCCCAGGGGCUGACGAAUGGCACCGGCUCCAGAUGCGAGUUGAGCGACUAGUGACUUGGAUGACCCACAUUGACGUCAACCUGCAUCACAUGCGCAGAAUUUGGCAGCAUUUAUGCCCCAUGCAGGCCUUGAUCCUCAAUUUCCACCUGAACCGCCCCUGUUUUGAUGACUUCAGGGAAGUACCGUUGCCCCUCUCUUUUCUUCUGUUUUUACAUUAUCACAUUGAGGGCAAUGUGUGACUUAGGUGUGGGGGGGUCAGUUUUGGGUGCUAGUAUUUUCAAUUUUCGAUUUUUAGGUGUUUUUCCUUUAUUUUUAGUUUGAUAUUUAUCCCCUUUUUCGUUUAUUUUCUUUUCUUUUUUCUAGUGGUCAGUCUUCAUAUGAAUACCAAGUUUUGAUGCCGGAUUGUUGUCCCUAAUUCUGUUAUUGCCAAGUUUUAGUGAUAAAAAGGUAUCAAGUUAAUGUGGUUGAGUUCAAGAACAUCUCUUUGGUGAAUAGCAAUAAUUGCUUAACUUUUCCAAUUUUUGGUUAACUUUUCUAGGCAUAGGGAAUGAUUGUUGGCAUUUUUCAUGUGAAUUGGUCCAGUUAUUAAUUUUAGUUCUCCAUGUCUGAAAAUUUGAGGCUAGCUGCUGUUAUUCUUGUGUUACUUUUAGAUAUCGUGCUAUAUGGUUGUAAAUAAGAGUUGACUGUACUCCGCUAGUAGUUACUACUGAGUAACCGGAGAUCUUCACCUAAAGUGUUGAUCUUCGUGUCAAAAGGUAGUAGUUGCUAUGAGUGCGUGGUCCCGUAGCAAUUAGAGCUGAGUAACCGGGCUCCUCCAUCUGUGAAAUGUUGGAGUUCGCGUCAAAAGGUUCUAAGGGUUAUAGACUAAGUCUUUUGUUACUCAAAAAAAAAAAUAAAAAAAACAAAAAAAAAUACCAAAAAAAAAGUAAAGAUUGUGUUAGUAUGUGAAUAAGUCAGCUUGCCGGUUUGUGAUCUUAAUGUCGAGAUUUUGGUUAAUAGCUGGACCAUUUACUGAUAAAUGUGAGCAACCAUUCCUUUUUCUUAGAUUAGUUUGCUUUAAAUUGGAGGAGUUGGUGGUUGAGAAGCUAACCGGAGUGGUUUUUCUUGGAUCUUAACUGUGAUGCUUGAUAUAUGUUUUUCUGGGUAUCUUGGCAAUAUGAUAGUUAGAGCAAUAGCCAUAGUCAAAUUUUGGUGUUCAAUUGCUGUUCUUAUGCUUGAGGACAAGCAUGAUUUAGGUGUGGGGGGAAUUGAUAGGGCAUAAUUUGUUGUUAAUUUUAUGGUUAAUUUCCCUCUUUAUCUUUGCCAAAUAUUGUUUUAAUUAGUAAUAUUUACUUAUAUUUGGUAUUUGGACUUAAUUCCAGGGAUUGGAGCAAGAAACUACAAAAAAAGUAGGGACUUGCUCCAUAAGUGGAAGACUUCAAGAAGGCUCCAUCGACCUGGCCCACAAAGAGAGGAAGAGACGGACUGCAUUUGCUUUCUGAUUAGGAGAUUAGACCUCUACUGGCAAUAGGAAACAAGGAGCAAUUCAGCAGGACCCCACCUUGUGGACUUUGUUUCUCUCAAUACGGCAGAGUUUCCUUCUUGGACUUUGACUCUUAAUUCGGCAGGGCUCCAAUUCUUUUGCUACUUGACUUCUAAUCCGUGGGGAUCACUAGAUAGCAUGAGUCAUUUCCCUUUGGCUUUAAAAAGACAAACGUGUAGAAGGUUUUCUAAUCACUAGUUUUAGAGCUUUUGAGCAUAGUUUAGUUUUAUUCUUUCUUGGUUCCUUUGAUGGCCAGGACUUCAGUUAAAUUACUUGGAGAUUUUCUCAUGAGGCGUGGCUAAGUUUUUCUAGUCGAAGGUCAAUUUGAGGAUUCGGUUUCGAAUAUCUGUGAGAUCUAAUUAUUUUAUUUAUUUCUUUUAUUUAUUGGUAUUUGUGCGUUUUCUGAUUUAAUUGCUUAUGCUUGUUAUGUUAUUUGAAUGUCAAGGGCCCGAUAUUCGAAUUAACUUAAUAAUCUAAUGCCAAAUUAAUUGAUUGAAUCCGUAAUUGUUCAAUUGAUUAAUACCAGUGGCAACUAGCGUGAUUGGUUUCAUGUUAGGGAAACGUAUGAUCUAACUUAAACAAACCCUCGUAGCGCGUUUGUUGGUUAGGAUUGGAUUUUUCUAAUUAUUAGUGCAAUCGAGUAAUUAAAUCUUAUGGUCGUACCUAGGGUUAUUUUUUGGUUAGGGAAAUAGUUAACGGUCGUACCUUAACUAUCGAGAAAUUAAAGAAAGACUGGUUAUUCAUCGCGUGUAUGACAACUAUAACCAAUCUAUUAAUGAGUAAUUGAAUUAUUCUUGCAUCGAUGAUCAGUUGCAUGGACCUUGUCUGAAAAGUUGUACCUUUGGCUAGAGUCAUAUUGGUUAUUGAUUAAUUUCUAUUUAUUUCUAUUAGUUGUUUUAUUAGUUAGUUAAUUAGUUACUUUAUAUUCUCCAAAAAUCCCCCAUACUUCGGACUCUAAAAGAAAUAAAUUAUCCCCAGUCCCUGUGGAUUCGACCCUGCUUAUCACUAUCUACAGAAAUUAUAUUUUGUUUAAGCAGGUAUUUAUUAUUGCACAGGUUCAGCACCUGUCAAUUACAUAAAGUCAAACAAUUAUGAUAUAUUUUUAAUAUAUUUUCAAUUUUAAUAAAAUUCACAAAAAAAUAUUUUUACUUUUACUUAAUGUUAUUUUUUUCCCAUAUAUCCCCUUAGUUGUUGAUUACAUGUUCUUCCACUAAGUAUAUGCUCAAGUACUCAACUUCUUCAAAUCAAAAGGCUUACCUUGUUUCUCUCUUUUUUUACAUUUAAUUAUUCUGAUAGAUAGAAUUUUGGGGUAAAAUUGGAUUUAAUUUUAGUAACAGACUUACAGGAUUACAUUCCAAACUUUUUUUUAUGACUCUUGACUCGAUUAAUAAGAAUCUAAUGGUCGUGUAUUUUGUUGUUAAAUUUUUUUCAUUGAUUAUAAAACAUAUUUGAAGUAUCCUUUUCUUGAUGGGUGCUAACAGGUGCUCUUGAGAGCGCCCAGGGAAUACAAAUUUUUUGACAAGAUUGUAACUAAUUUGAGAAAGUAUCUAAAUGCAAGGAAAUAGUAAGUGUGAGUUUGUAAAUUAAAAUAUCCAUUAGAUUUAUCCACAAAAAACAACUCAAGUAAUUGUAGAAUCUAAACCAUUAGACAUUUUGGCUCUAGGAAAGUUUUGCCAAAUUGGUUAGCAUGCAAUGAAUGUGGAGUGCCUAAAAUUACAAUUAGAGUGUGGGAUUAGACCAAAUUUUUGCGCAUGCAGUGUUCUAUACAUUAUCAAAAGCUUUGGGCUAGACGCAUAAUGCAUGCUGAUUAUCAGUGACCACACCACCUAUAUUUUGUCCGUUAGUUGUGGAUCUUGAAUGUACAUACAUAUUAUUCUUUCCGUCCCAUAUAUUUAGUCAUAUUUGGGGUCCCAUAUAUUUAGUCAUAUUUGGGGAUACGUGUUUGUUAUGCAUAGUACACUCCACUAAAAUAUUUUUCCUUUUGUUUUACUUUUGCCCUUAAUCAUGUGUUGGUCAAAGUAAAAAAAUAGAAAACAAUUCCAACAUAUUUGUUUUUAUGCAUCAUUAAUGAAGGAUAUAAGGAAAAUUUCAGAGUAUAAAGUAGUUAGAAAUAUUAAACAUGACAAAUAUUUUGGAACAGCCAAAAAAGAAAAGUAUAACACUUUUAAUGGGACGAAGAGAGUAAAGAAGACGACAUGGCACGUUAACUCCAUCAGUUUUUUGAUUCUAUCAGCAAAUACAGAGAUUUAUAUCUUGCAAGCUGAUUGUUUUUUUUUUUAAUGAGAGGUCUUGAAUGGGAUUUUCUACUUGUAAUCCCUCGCUCUUACCCAAACCCAAACCUCCCCACAUCUUGCAAGUUGCUUGUACUAGUAACCUACUUACAUGUCGGCAUAUAAAAUCAAAAUUCAAAAUAAGAAUUUUUCAUAUUAUUAUUUAAUAGUGUUUUAGUCAAGUUAGAGUUUUAGUAAUUCUAUUAGAGUCAAGUCAUCGUAGUUUUAUUGUUCAGAAAUUAGUAUUUUAUUAGAAAAUUUCCACUUAUAUGUGUGUAAAUUGCCUCCCCCUCAUUUUGGUUUUGUCAAAUAUAUCUCCAAUAUAUUUUUAGUUAAUUUUUUUGUUCUACAUCUGGUAACAGAGCCCUAAGUUCAAGAAAUUAAUCUUGGGAUGCCUAUGAAUAUUGAAAAAUUGACCAGCUACGAGGAUAGUCAUGGCUGUUUUCGUGUUGUGAGACUUAUGAUCAUAAGAGAUUGCUGUGAAGAAAUUAAUUGAUUGAUUUAGCCCACAAGAUUGAUCAUGAAGUAUUCAAUUGGUAAAGAUUGGACCAUAAGAUUGGUUCGGAAGAAUUGUCAGAUUAAUUGUGGGUGUAAAGACAGAGAUCAAAGAAGAAUCCUGUCAAUUGAAUUGUAAUUAUGAAAAUUACAAAGUGGUGAAUUGUCAAUGAAUUGACAUCAAAUUGUAUGAAAAAAACAAUCUAUCCAGAUGCGUGGAUUAUUGCAACGAAAAAAGUCUUUGAAAAUGAAGAACCAAUACAAACUCAUGUUGAGUUUGACUUAAAGAAGGCAAUGUUGGCAUAUUAAAUCAAGACUCCAAAUUAGAAAUUUUCAUAUUAUUAUUUAGUAGCGUUUUAGUCAAGUUAGAGUUUUAGUAAUUCUAUUUGAGUCAAUUAUGAUAGUUUUAUUAUUUAAGAAUUAGUAACUUAUUAGAAAAUGCAAGGGAAUAGUAAGUGUGAGUGUGUAAAUUAAAAUAUCCAUUAGAUUUAUCCACAAAAUACAACUGAAGUAAUUGUAGAAUCUAAACCAUUAGACGCUUUGGCUCUAGGAAAGUUUUGCCAAAUUGGUUAGGACGUAAUGAAUGUGAAGUGCCUAAAAUUACAAUUAGAGUGGGUUAGACUAAUUUUUUGCGGAUGCAGUCUUCUAUACAUUAUCAAAAGCUUUGGUCCGACCAACCAAAAAAAAAAAACCUUUCAAAGUAUAAUGCGGGUUGAUUAUCAGGGACCCCACCACUAAAAUUUUCUCAGUUAGUUGUGAAUCUUGAAUAUACACACAUAUUAAAGAAGACAACAUGGCACGUUAAUUCUAUCAUUUGAUUCUUUGAGCAAAUACAGAAAUUUAUAUCUUGCAAAUUGAUUUUUUUAAGUGGCAAUUUUUAAUCAAAACUUUCUACUUAUAAUUCUUCUUUUCUUACCAUCCAACCCAACCAUCCCCGCAUCUUGCAAGUUGAUUGUAUCAGUAAUAAUCCGCAUUAGUAACCUCCUUAAUGUAUUUUGUCCACCCAGUUGUGAAUCUCGAGGAAAUAUUAUUAACACAACGUGGGAAUUGCCACACUUUUGUUAUAACCCUGUUCCUGGCGACUUCACAUGAUUUUCAACAUUAGGUUGCCAAUUGCUUUACUGCCCACAAGGACAAGGAACUGCCACCGCCUUAGCGCUGCAAAUGAGACAAAUUGAACCGAAUUUUAGUUUGAUUAAGCCGAAUCUUGAUAAUUUUAUCAAAUUCGAACUCAAAAUUGAGGUCGACAAACUUUCAAUGUAAAACUCGAACUUGAAUUUAACCUCAAAUUCGAGACUAGUUGAACUCAAACUCGAGCUUAUUCGAACGUUAAAAAAUUAAAAAAUUUAUUUAUUUAUUUAUAAAUAAAUAAAAUAAUUAUUUUUCCUCAAUAAAUAAUAAACAUAUUAGAGGCAUAUAUAUAAUGUUACAUAUUAUAUAUAUAUAUAUAUAUAUAUAUAUAUAUAUAUAUAUUUGAGCCAAUUCGCGAGCUAACGAGUUGAAAAAGUCAGUUCAAGCUCAACUUAAACUCAAUAUUGACCGAGCAAACUCGUAAACGCUAAUGAGUGACUUGAUUUGUUUGCAGACUUCAAAGCCCUUUGAUAAGUAUACAUUUUGUGUGUUUUAAUUGUUUUUAAUUAUUUAAUUUAGGUGUGUUUUAUUUAUUUUUAUAGCUAAUGAACUAUGUUUCUAGUGAAGAUUGAUAUUUUGUGAUUUAAGUGUCAAAAAUUGCAUUUUUAUAAAAUAAAGUGGUGAAAACCUCAUGUUUUUGUAGGGUUUAAUAAUUCAAUCAUCAAAUGAAGUGAAUUGAUAAGAUAUUUGGAUGAUUUUUUAUGAUUUAAAGUGAUUUAAAAAAGAUAUAAAGUGCAAAGAUAAAAUGCAAUCAAGUGUAAAAGAAAGGGAGUUUCACAGUUUUAACACCUGUUGAUAUUUCGACUAUGUCUUGAGUUACAAGUAUCAGAUUGAGGUAAUUUUAAACCAUUUUGGAGCUAACACAUAUCUCUACAUUUCUUAUGAAAACAACGAAAUCCAUUUCAUGAGUUUUCCAAGUCAAAAAGUCGAAAUACAGUCGGUUAUUUUUGUUGUCAAAAGCUAAAAUAGGGGAUUGAUCAGUCAAGGAUAUUUUGAUUCUUUUUCAGUCUACAGAUCUCCAACUUGAAUGAUUCUUGAGGCAUUGAAAAACUAACUCAAAAGGUUACAACUUUCAUGUUUUGUAUAAGAGUUAGUUCAGCCUCCAUUAUUGAGAAAAUAUCAGUGAAAAUUGGUACAAAAAUAAAGCAAAGUUAAAGGCUGACUAGAAAUGAGAAAACCUACAAAAGAGGCAAAAUAUGGGGUAAAUAUGCAAUCUCAACCCAUGCUUUCUGAUGUCACGUUUUCCUCAAUUGCGGCUGCAACUUGUGCUCUCUUCACGCAAAUUUUUUGACUAAUUUUUCUUCAUAAAAUCUGCCUGAAUAUGAGCAAGCAAGCACAGAGAUUUCAAGAAACAACUUUUGCUGAUUUCAAGGGACAACUUUGCCAACUAGAAACGGAUCACUUUGAACUUGAAUUCUCUAUAAAUAGAGGCCUAUAGGGAGCUUGUUUGAAAUAACUUUGGAGGGUUAGAAACACUACCAAAAUGUAGUUUUAACUAAUUUUUCUUAGUUCAUUAGUAUAGUAUAGUUAGCGUAAUUUAUUUAUCUUAUAAUUAUAACUAGAUUUGGAUGAAGAAUUGAGGAACAAAGAUGGAGGGUUGGAUCUCAUACGACAACGGUGACCUCUCUCCUAUCACUUUUUUUUUUUUGUAUUUGAUUUCAUGUUUACCUAUUAUACAAGUUUGAUGUUUAUUUUCAUAUUUUGCUAAAGUUUAUGCUUAGAGUUAUGGAUGAACUUUCUAUAUCUUAUUAGUGAUAUUUACUUAGUUAUUUGAUAAUAUUAUUUUGAAUAAGUUAUUUAUCACUUUUUGCUUAUCUAAAUAUAAUUAACCAGCUAUUAAUUGUUAUAGUAUUAAGAUGUUAAGUUUGUAAUGAGAAUGAGAUUUAACACUAAUUCAAAUAUAUGCUAAACUUAAGAAGUUUACUCACAAAAAUAGAAGAACACUUAUGUGGAUUUAGUGAUUUAUUUCAUUUAUUUUAUUAAAAAAAUAAAUUUGUAAUUAAUUUCAUAACCACGAAGGUAGAUAUAACUUAUUUAUAAGUAUAGUUGAUUCAUUACGAGAGUAGGUUCACAUACAUUAGAAAAUUACGUCAUAAUUAUUUGAUAAUUUCACUUGUAAGAGUAGUGAAAAAUUCUAUAGCCUUAAGAGCUUUCUAUUAUUAUUUGUAUUACUUUUAUUUCAUGUUUAUAAUAUAGAUUUAAUUUAUGCUUGCAAAAAAUAAGGUAUUUAGAUUUUAUUAAAAUUUGAUGCAUAUUAGAAUCUUGUCACUCUUCAAAAAGUCCAAUAAAAGAAGGGACUUGGAGAAACCACCAAACCGUAUUGCAAUAAUUUUCUCAAUUACAUCUAUUUCAAGUCCAGAGGACACUGAAGAUUUUCGCGAGCUACACUUAAAAGUAGGAGGAAUCACAAGACAGCAUACACAAGAACAUCAGCCAUUACUUGGAUAAGAUAAUAGCCUUCUUAGGCUAUUCAUAUGUAUUCAACAUCCAAGAAAAGCUCUACUAGUAUACUAAGUUCAACAUCAGCCAUUCACAUGUAUUCAACAUCUAAAAAAAGCUCUACUACAUCAGCCAUUAUAGUGUAGCAACCAACAAAAGAGCAGCUUUCCCUCCUCCUUAUUUCCGGGCUUGGGACCGGCUCUGGCGAUAUCACAGAGGCGGAGUUACAAGCAUCAUACAAACAGCAGAAACAAAUAAGCAACUUGCAUUGGCAAAGACAAUUAAGAAAAAAAAAAUGAAGAAAGAGAAGAUGUACUCUUGGAGGAAAUUACACACUAUCAAAAGUUGGUGCAGAUGCUGCAAGGAGACUCCAGCACAAGAGAAUGCAAUCCGUUUCCAAGGGCCUAAAAAAAGAGCAUACGCAGAGAAAAUUCCAUUCCCGCACAUAUUCAUGAAUAGACAUGCAACAAACCUCACAGAGCAAUCUCAACAAAUAACAUGAUGAACCAACAUAAAAACAAGAUUUAUCAAUUUCCUGGGUAGCUUUCACUAGAACUGGGAGCAAGGAUGUCUGCUAAAAUGUAUGUUCUGGAAAAAGAAAUAACCCACAACUCUAAUACACCUGAAUGAUCUGCUCUCUCAUUUAAGAUUAUAGAAAAAUCUUGUCUGCAUGCACCUAUAGCAUAUAAUCAACGCCUACAUAAAUGUAAUUACCUUAUUUAAUCUUCUUUAUCUGUUUUCCUGCCAAUUUGUAACAAUCUAACCUGAUUGUAAAAUUCAUCAAGAAAAUAAAGAAAUAAAUGUCUUCCACACACAAUUCUACACUCAGAUUCAUGCCACAACAAAAAGCUGAGGAUGCAUAACUUAACUCACAAGUAAAUGGAUACGCUCAGGUGAAAGCUUGAAUCAAACUUGGAAGAAACACAAGGCACCUUUAAGUUGCAGCAAAAACAAUAGGAUUGGAGCCCUACAAGUGUCAGACAAGGCCUCAAAAAUAUGAAAACAUUUUCUAUCUCAUUUUUAUCCCCUUGAAACUGGUGCCUCAGCUUCUUUUAUAUCAACAGUGGAGAACAGUAGGAAAAGAAGCCCCAUUUUCUGACUGCAGGAUCAUAAGCAGGUUGGAGUAAAAAAAAGUUAAAUCACCGGCAUACAACAGCAGCACUUUAAUCAACUUUGCUAAAGACUUAGCAAACUUCAUCAGAAAAUAGCCAAAACCUCCAAUACAUGCUCAAUCUGCUAUAAAUACACCACAGAAAUUAAGAUAAAAAAGUCCCAGACCUCCAGAAUAAGAAAAAAUCCAACUCAUAAACCAUGAAAAAAAAUUAUUUCCAGAUUAAGCUGAUGAACAGAAAUUAGUAUUUGCAUCCAAUUAUUUAGCAACUGCACCACAUAAUCAGGAAUGGAUAUUAUCCAUGAAACUCAGCGACUAAUGGUACAAACUUCAAAAGCAGAUGAAACAGCCAGGGAUUUUGUCAAGCACUAACAAACAAUUGAUUUAGAUAGAAUAGGAUUCCUUCAAACCAAUAUGGAUAGCCUCUAAUCUGAAGGAGGCCACAGAUGUCACUACAACCGCUCCAACCAAUUGAAACUCGUAAAACAACUAUGCAAAGGCAUAACAGAUAGCCUAAGACAUACUAAUACACAGUCCUUUCAAUCACUUUAACCACACAACUGACUUCUUCAAUUCCAACCUCCUUCCUAAAAUGAUGAUGAACAGGAGCAUUUCAAUAGAUAACCAGAAACAGUUCAUUAUUGUUCACAGAAACCCAAUAUGAAAAAUAGGGAAAGGAAAUUACUCCUCUGGUUCUCCUUCAAAAUCAUUUAGACCACAACACAGCCCUUGCAAUUCUCAUCACAUUACAGAACAUGGAAUUUACAGCCACACCAAAUGAUUAAGAAAGAUUAUUCAUUAAACCAGUGAAGAAAGAAUGAAUUUUAUAGAUAAUCCAGAAACUGUCAAUCUUCAAACAAAGUAAUACAUGAAGGGCAGCAAAGAACUCCUUUCAGUUACUUUAGCGACAUGACUGAGCUCCUCGAAUUCAAGAUCCUUCCAAAUUAAAGAUGACAUAGAUCUUAGUCAACCUGACAUGUCAACUAUUUGGUCAAAGAAAACCUCAGGAGAAAAACAGGGAAGGAGAAAACUCCCAUUUUCUCUUGCAAAAUCAUGAACAAGAGAACAUAGACUUGCACUUCUCACCCACAUUACGGAGAGGUAGAUUUUACUGCCACACCAAACAACAGAAUGAAUUCGACAAAUAAUCAAGAAGCAAUAAAAGGGCUUAGAGUCUCUUCAAGCACAACACCCAUCUUGUACCACAGUUCCUACAAUAGAAAGGAGACAUCAACAUCAACAAUUUCCAGAAAACCGAUAAUUGAUCAAGCACAGAGAUCAACUGGUACGGGGUCCAAGUAAAUAGUCUUAGGCUUACAAGAACGAAGCAAAGAUCUCGAUGAAGAAUCGAACCCAAGAUCCUAAAACAAAUACAAAAAAGUCCUUACGGAUAAACCAAAGGGUUUAUAACUAACCAAAAACUGCCCACUGUUGCUCAAGAAAGCCUGUACACCAAGUAUUUGAAGAGAAGAACUGCUCAAGAAUAAUGUUGACCACAAUUCACGGCUACAGUACUGAACAAUCAAAUUGACUGCCACACCUUGGUACUUAAAAAAAAACACACACACACACACAAAAUCAAUCAAAAGCAACUAAAAGAUCCUUAAAAGUGUUAAGACACAAGAUCAACCUUGAAUCCAAGCCCCUACAGCACAGCACAGAUGAGAGAUGGACAUUAAAAACAUUCCCAAAACCACCAACUUCAGCAACAAUUAGCUCAGGGUAGAAGAAGACUGCUCCAAAACAAGGUAUACAGCUUUGAUUGCAAGAAGGAAGCCCUUAGGUAUCACUACAACAGCCUGGUAUUGUCAAUAAUCCACAAGUAUACAAAGUCAAAUGGCACAGAACCUGUUGGUUUUCAAACAGUUAUACACAGUGAUCAGUGUGGAGACACAGAGAACUACAUUCAAACACUCUUAAACUGUCACAUCCCUUGGAUAGCUCUCCUUCACAUAUUCUCUAAAUGCUGAUAGUUAAGCCACCAACUCUCAUUUUAUAGAAAUAACAUAUAAAUAGAGUUAACUGAUCUCAAAUCCUUGAAUAACAAAUUGUCAUCUAAGAGAGAACCAUAAAAAAUGAUUACAUACCAAACAUUGCGAAACUUGAAAUUCCACAGCUGCCUAAAGAGACAACAUUCAAGUAAUAAAGAUAAAGAACCAGAACCACUUCCAAACAAUGCCCACUACACGGAUGAGUUCUUCAACCUAAGCUCCUAACAUGAAGAGGAGGACAUACAACCUGAACAACCAUUCAGAAGCCAACCCAACCAUCACGAUGCAUAUGACGAGAAGCUCUCCGAAAUCAUGUAAAUGCUGGUAACAACAGGACAAAAACAAGCGAAUUCACACCCUAAUUGAGCAAGACAGCGUAAUUGAUGAUGCCAGUUACCUCCUCAGAGCAAACAGAACUGAGUUUGGGAUGAAGGUCAGCUCCUGGAACGAGACCAUAUAAUCAGUACAACUUUGUUAAGUAUUGUCAGAACACAAGAAAGAAAAUACACAAGUUUUUUUUUUUUUUUAAAGAGUUAGAAAGGCCUUUGGAUGCAUUAGAAGAUACAGGUCUCAAUUCCGAGCUCAUGACACAAAGGGGGGAACACAGAGACAUUUACAGGUGUCAAAACCACUAAGUUGGCUCAAGCACAAAAGCAGAGAUAAUGUGAACUCCCUUCAUUAACAAUGCAAAAAGCCUUUGAUCUUAGGCAGGAGACAUAAAGUUGUCACCAAAGCUCCAAAUCAUCUAGACCCAGAUUCCAGCAACCAUAGUCAAGUUAACGAAGUUAAAUAGUUCCUUUGAACACAAGUUGUUCAAUCCUUCGUACUAACAAGGUAGACAGAGGGCAAAUCAAUCAUCAAAUCCAGAAGGUUCCAAUCAGUCCUCAGGAAAAACAAUUUAAAAAUAAUAAAAAGUAGGAAAGGGUAAAUGUGUAUGAAAUCUCAUGGACCAAUAUAGCAGGGUAAUGACAAUGACCAAAACUCCAAGAUCCCCUACAAUCAGACAACAUGUAGAGCCAGUUAAUAAUGACUCACUGCAAGGCGGCAAAUUUUUUAAGCAAAGAUUACAACACGGAGGGUAUGGGAAAGGAAAAAAAAAAAACUCCAAAUUUAGAGCACAUUCACAUCCAAGAAACAUCUCCUCUCCUUGGAAGGCCAGAAUUUCCCCAUUCUAAAAACAAGGCCAAUCUCUAAAGCAACAAUAACAAUACGGUAAUAUGAUGCCAAAAUUGCCUGAUACACUGGAAUACCAAACAAAGUCAUAUACGUUGGAUAACAUCUAUAGUUUUUCAAUCAAUAUCAUUAAAAAAAAAAAAAACCUCCCAAUCAUUGUUCAGGAAAGCAGCACAAAACCAAAAGUAGAGGAAGAAAAACUCCCCCAAAUUUUUGUAACUAAACCAAAAGCUGUCCCUGCACAGAAUUCUGGCUAGAAUGUUAAAAAUUGAGCAGAUUAACUAGCAGACCAGUAGUGCUACCUAGCAAAACACCCUUUAUGAAUCUUUAUGAAUCUUUUACUCAUUAUUUGAACAAAUUUGAAAUCUUAACUGUAUUGCACGCUUAAUGAAUCCUUUAUUAUUUUCUUGAACAAAUUUGAUGCUGUCACUUUCUGCUUUAUGUAUUUUUAUUUUCUGUGACAUCUGUCCAGAUGCCCCCAGAGACAAUGCAGCUAGCAGUCACUCUACCCGUAUAUCUUCACAGGUUAAAUAUGGAAAAACCAGAUGCAUAUGUAUUGAAAACUGUGCUCAAGUAGCAUCUGAAUGACCAUGGUUAUGAAUUAAGCAUUACCGCAUGAAACUCUCAAAAACCUUUACAAACCGUGAAGUGAACGAGGGGAUGCAAGCAUAAAGAACUACAUGGUGUAGAGCAGGUUCAGACAUCUGAAGAUGAAACAGUUCACGCAAAUAUUGAGCAACAUAUAGCCCAUAUAGCUUCCAGAAAAGGAAGAAAAAAAUUAAAUGAAAUGACCUUUGAAUCAGUAUCUCCAAAUGUUAAGCAAGCAGAAAAUUUGAAUGUGGAAAAAGAGAACAGUAAAAAUUAACCUGAGUAAGAGGAAACCUUCACUUCUUUAACUUUAGAAGCUCUUUUAAAUACGCAUAUCCAGCCAAACAAGCAGGAGGAGAACCACAAAUGUGUGCAAAGCAACAUGACAUGAUAGACCACCAACAGAAGUGUAGAUUAUCAAAUACUAACACAACCACCUCUUAGCAGUUCCACAAAUAUAAUAGAUGACCACCAUUUUGUAUAGCUGAACCCACAAUUCUGAAGAUAUGUGGUGCAAAGAAAGAGAAACAGGGCAUUAGACGGACCUCAAAAGUUUUGCUCGCAAGAUUUGCAAAAAGCCAAAGCAGGUACCCAUACCUCCAAACCCAAGGAAAACCCUCCAGAAGACCAUUUGAAAAUUUUGAAAACCACUGUGAAAGUUGCAGAACAAGAAUUGUAGCAAGUACUUGAAAGAGUAGAAUUGACAGUUCAUCAAUCAACCCGGCAAUCUACAGGGUCCGACAGUCCAAAGCAUUUAUUAUCAACACUAAGACUGCAUAUAUCAAAGGUGUUAGCAAAGCAAGUAGCAUCCAGUCACUGUAUUCUCUGCAGCAACAAAAAAAGGACCAGCUGCUGUAAAUACACCAUAGAAACUAAAAUAACUAGUCCUCAACCUCUGAAAUCAACUCAUAGACCAGGAAAAAACAUAUAUUUAUUACUUAAGCUGGUGAACUGCAAUUAGUAAUUGCAUCAGAAUGAAUAAUUAUUUCAUAACCACACCAAAUAACCAGGAAUGGGCGUUAUUCGUGAAACUAUGCCGACCAGUACGAGCUUCAAAAGCAGAUAAAACAGCCAGAGAUGUUACCAAAAAAGCAAUCUUGAACCUGAGCUCCUAGAAUACAAACAAGACACAGAUGCUACCACAUCCCAAAAAUCGUCAAUUGUCAACCACUGACACAAUUAGUUUAGGCAGAAUAGAAUUCCUUUCAAACCAACGUGGAUAGCCUUUAAUCUAAAGGAGACCGAAGAUGUCACUACAACAGCUCAGACCAAUUUAAACUCCUAAAACAAAUAUGCGAAGGCGUUACAGAUAACCCAAAACAAAGUAAUACACACACACCUUUCAAUCACUUUAUAACUGCACACUGACUUUCUUCAAUUCCUAAAAUGAUGAUGAUGAAGCCUCUCAAAAUUUAACCAGAAACUGUCCAUUAUUGUUCAGAGAAACCUAACAGCAAAAGCAGGGAAAGCAAAAAACUCCGGCUCUCCCGCAAAAUCAUGUAAACCACAACACAGGACUUGCAAUUCUCUCCGCAUUACAGCACAGUAGAAUUCACUGCCACCCCAAAUAAUUAAAAAUAAUUAUUGCUCCAAUGAAAGAAUGAAUCCAACAAAAAAUCAAAAGCAGAUAAAAGAGCCUGGGAUGUCACUUGAAUGCAAGCUGCUGGAGUAAAGGAAACAUAUUCGUCAAUAACAUCCCCAAAACCAAUAACUGAUCAACCACAAACAAACAAUUAGUUUGACCUUCAAUGAUGUAAAUAUCCUUUGACAAAAGAAAGCCUAAGAUCUAAAUGACAACAGCAUGGUUGAAACCCAAGAUCCUAAGAUGUAGAUAUAUAGUUGUUACAGAUAAUCCCAGAACUGUCAAUCUUCAAACAAAGUAAUACACGAGGAAGCAGAGAACUCCUUUCAAUUAUUUUAAUGACAUCACUGAGCUCACCAAAUCCAAGCUCCUUCCAAAAUGAAGAUGACAUGUUAUCCACUAUUUCAUCAAGAAAAGCUCAGAAGGAAAGUAGGGACAAAGAGACUCCCAUUUUCUCUCACAACAUCAUGCAGAUGGAUAAAUUGUAAUGCUGCGCCAAACAGCAGAAUGAAUUCGCCAAAUUAUCAAGAAGCAGAUAAAAGAGCCUAGGAAAUCUUCAAGCACAACACCCAUCUUGCACCCCAGUUCCAACAAUAGAGAGGAGACAUCAACAUCAAUAGAAAACUGAAAAUUGAUCAUGCACAGAGGAUCAAUUAGUCAGAGGCAGAAAAGAGUUCCUCCAAAACAAUGUAAAUGGUGUUAGGCUCAGAAGAAGAAAGCAAAGAUCUCGAUGAAAACAGGGAGACACAAACCCAAGAUCGUACACAACAAACACAGAAAGUCCUUACAGAUGAUUCCAAAAAAAAAAUGUAAUGCUCCAAAGAAGCAGAGAACGCCAUUCAAUCACUUUAACCCAGUGAGUUCUUUAAUUCCAAGCUUCUUCCUAAAAUGAAGAUAGACAAACAGACUUGGAAGUAAUAAGCAUAAGGGUGUUGAUAGCUCUUUUCAGACAUUUUAGCCACACAAACUUCUUCAUCAAAUUAGAGGACAGAAUGGGUUUAUGACUAACCAAAAGCUGUCCACUGUUGGUUAAGAAAACCAGUCACACCAAGUAUCAAAGAGAAGAACUGCUCAACUUUUUGGCUCAAGAAUCAUGUUGAAGAUAAUUCACAGCUACAGUACUAAACGAUCAAUCUUGAAUCCAAGCCACUAUAGUACAGAUGAGAGAUGGACAUUAAAAAUAUUCCCAAAACCACCAAGUUCAAAAACAACUAGGUGCAAUUAGCUCAAGGUAGAAGAGGACUCCUCCAAGACAAGGAAGAUAAGCUUUGAUUGGAAGAAGGAAGCCCCGAGAUACCACAACAACAGCUCAAAAUCACCAAAAAUCCAUGAGUAUACAAAGUCAAAUGACCCGCAAACUGUUGGCUUUCAAAUAUAGAUUGUUAUAAACAGUAAUCAGCAUAGAAAUGUUGAAAAAUACUUUCAAACACUUUAAACUGUCACAUCCCUUGGAUAGGACAGCUCUCCUUCACGUACUCUUUAAAUGCUGAUAGUUGUGCCCCCAACUCAUUUUGUAGAGAUAACAUAUCAAUAAAGUUAACUGAUGUCAAAAUCUUCCAAUAAUAAAUUGUCAUGUAUGAGAAAAACAUAAUGACAACAAACCCAGUAUUGCAAAACUUGAAAUUCCACAUCCGCCUAAAGAGACGACCUUCAAGUAUGCAGGUGGAGAAACAGAACUCCUUCCAAAAAACGCCUACUACACAGCUGAGGACAUAUAACCCGAACAACCAUUUAGAAGCUGCCAAAAGAAGCCCUAACCAUCACGCAUAUGACGAGAAAAUCUCCAAAAUCAUGUAAUGCACAAUGAUGAAAACAAUCAAAUUCACACUUCCUAUUUGAACAACACAGCAUAAUUGAUGAUGCCAGUUACCUCUUAGAGCAACCACAACUAAAAAGGUUGGGAUGAAGGGGAACCCCCUGGAACAAGACCAAUAAUCAGUACAACUUUAAACAAAGUGUCAGCAAAAAAAAAAGAAAUACAUGAGCAAAAAAAGUUACUUAAAAAUAUGAAGAGGAAAUGCCUUUGGAUGCAUUAGAAGAUACAGGUCUCAAUUCCAAGAUCCUAACAUUAAGGGGGGGGACAUGAGAUAUUUACAGGUGUCAAAACCACUAAGUUGGCUCAAGCAAAAAGGAAAAAAUAGUGCGAACUCCCUUUGUUAACAAUGCAAAAAGCCUUUGAUUUCGGACAAGAGACGUAAGUUGUCAUCAAACCUCCGAGUCAUCUGUACCCAGAUUCCAGCAACCAAAGUCAUGUCAAGGAAGUUAAAUAGUUCCUUUGAAACAGACAACUUGAGUUGUUCAAUCCUUCAAUCCUAACGAGGUAGAUGCAGAGCAAAUCAAUCACCAUAUCCAGAAGGUCCCCAUCAGUCCUAAGGAAAAACAGCUUUAAAAAAAAAAAAAAUUUUAAAAAAAGUAGGAAAAGAGCAAACUUUUAUGAAAUCUCGUAAACCAAUAUAGCAGGGUAACUACAAUGACCAAAACUCCAAGCUCCCCUACGAUCAAGACAACAUGGAGAGCCAGAUAAUAAUAACUCCCUAAAAGGUGGUAAAUUUCCCGAUUUUAGAGCACCAGUCAAAACAUCUCCUCUCCUCGUAAGGCCAGAAUUCCACCGUUCUAAAAGGAAGGCCAAUCUCUAAGCAACAACAACAAUACGGUAAUGUGAUGCCAAAUUGUCAGAUAAACUGGAAUACCAAACAAAGUCAUGUAUGUUGGAUAACUCCUAUGGUUUUUCAAUCAUUAUUAUCCAAAAAAAAAACUCCCAAUCGUUGUUCGGGAAAAUAGCACAAAGCCACAAGUAGGGAAAGAAAAACUCCCCCAAAAUUUUGUAAAACAGGAGAACAGGAUAAUAAUCACGACCAAACCUUUGAAUCCAAGCUCCCCUAAGAUCAAGACAACACCUAGAGCUCGUCAGCAGUGACCGCAUAAAAUAAAGGCGGUGACUUUAUCAAGCAAAGAUAAGAACAACCCAAGACCAAGAGGGGAUUAGAGAAGAACUCCCAAAUUUCAGACCACAUUCAAAUCCAUCCAACAGAGCGCUUCUCUCCUCCAUUCUGCCAAUUCUACAACAAGGUGAAUUUCGAAACAUUAACAAGAAGGAAAACCGACACCAAAAUUGUCCGAUAAAUUGGAACGAUGGACAAAUUAUCAUCAUAUCAACAAACCAAACUAUUGCAAAAAAACUCGAACUAUCUGAUGAUCGCGAAAACGCCGAAUACCAGAGCUACCACCUAAAGCAAUCAUGAAUAAAUCAGAGCCUACCGUCGAUUGACAAUUCCAAUUUAACUAAUUUCACAGCCCUAAACCGAUGCAGAAAACCGAGUUAGACGAUUCUUACCUAACAACCAAACCGCCGAGGGUUAACAAAAGCCCGUGGGAUGGUUGGGGAUAUUUAUAGGUGUUUGUUGAAGAAUGGACGGUUAGGAUUAAGCGGUUGUUGAUGAUCUGGACGGCUAUGAGGAGGUCUUUUUCCAAGUUGAAUUUGGGCUUUGAUUCGAUGUACGCGUAAUUUCCUGUGACCAGGUCUGUUUUAUUUUUUUAUUUUUGGGUAGGAAAAGGCGGUUGUUAAAUUUAGAAAAUUGCCACCGAGCUGGACAAAUUCUGCUUUUGUUUCUUUUUUAGAAGAAAAAAACCCCUCAAAAAAAAAAAAAAGAAUAUAUGGCAUGGUCAAAGCUGGUAUGCUUCACUUUUUUUUUUUUGGUUCUUUCCUGGAUAGAACCUUCACGAAGACGUCCUCACGAAUAUAAGUGUUUUUUUCUCCCCUUUUCUCUCUAGAGGCUUCCUUAGUUUUUUCAAAAUAGUUAUGGGGAUUCGCUUGACACUUGGACAUUUUUGCAGCAAUAUAAGUAAGCUAACCUCUUGUUCUCAAGUGUCCCUUUUUCUUGUUUGUUCUCGAUGUCAGGUUUGGCCCCUCAAAAUUUUUGUAUUUCAUUUUGGAGAGAGAUAGAUUGACUGUUUCGAAAGGUUCCAAAUUUGAAUUCUCUCACAUAUAUUAAAUUUUUUUUAAAAAAAAUUUAUAAUUUAUUUAUUGUUUUAAUAAUAUAACGGACUAGCAUUCUGACUCCGUGUAUGAAAUUUGCCUCUAAAAAAAAUGGUACUUCUUUUUAUUGUUUUUGUUCUCAAAAUUUUUUCUAUUUUAUUUUCCUUUUAAUUAUCCCUUGAUUGAGCACUCAAUACAUAAAGUAGACUUGGACUCUUCAACAUUAUGAAUCAUGAAAAUAUUGGUUUAGUUAGCUUUUCUUCAAACCAACUGUUUUUCUUUUUUCUCUUUUUAAUUUUUUGUGUGUUCUUAUGAUUAUAAACAGCAAUGUAAUUGCAAGUAUUAGCCUUCAAAUAAUGGCCUUGUUCUACGCUAAUUAUCAUUAUGUAAAAGAUGAUCAAAUGCUUCAGAGAUUCAGCUUUCUUAUUCAUAAAAUCAGAUAUGAAAAACAGUUGUAAACACGAUAAAGUAGUUUUUUUUAAAUCAAAAUCUAAAAAUCGGGUGUUAAAAAUCAAUUGAAAACAAAAUCAGUAUAUUUGGACAGCAAACAGCGGUAAAUUUUGAGACUAAUUAUUUUUUUUAACAACCUGCAUAUGGACUACGGUGGCAAAGUCGAGGCCCAACCAGAGCACUUUUGUAUGUAUUCGAAAAUCAAAGCCUUGGGCAGUGAAAAAAAAAAAAAAAGUAGAAUGCUGUAUUUCCACAAUUGGAUCUAAUCUUCGAAUGAACCUCAUGAUCAUAAGAAGGGUUUUUAAGUUAUGGGCCUAGCAAAAGAAAAAUUGAGACAGGAAUGCGAUCUCCCCACUUCAAAAUCCAACGUGAAAAUUCUCUUUUAUCCGAUUCAAGUAUGUACACCAAAUAAAGAAAAUAAAGAAAGGAGUUCAUUCUGAUAAAAAAAAAAGUCACGCUCUUCCUUAUGGGAAGGAAGGAUUAGGAAAAUCCUAUUAAUUGAAACUUUCUCCGGGCCCUUCGAAAAGACACGAAAAAGAACAACUUGACGUUUACCUUGAGCUAGAGCAUGGAGCUAAGUCUUCCUUUUUUUUUUGGACUUUAUAAAAGGAAGGAGAAAGAAAAUUAUUUAUGAAUUGAAUGAGAGAUCUCAAAAUUCCUAAUUACUUAGUUUUUUUUUCACAAAAAAGAUCAAUAUUGAUUUCUCGCUUAUUUUCAUGAUGAUUCGAACCUUUAACCACUCGUACCUAUAGUUGAGUUACACUUAUGGGACGAGCAUGGAGAUUCCUUCCUCUAAGCUCGUAUUUCGGCCCACAAGUGGCCUUCUCAUAUUAUAUAUUAGGCUUUGAUAUCACAACUUAAAGAAUGAGAUCAUGGGCACUUUCCAAAAGUACUAGUAAGUUACAAGUGCAUGCGAAGCCAAUUCGUAUAUAUAUAUAUAUAUAUGUGUGUGUACAAAGUUCCCCAUAGGACUAAGGAAAUUGUGAUUAGGAUUUAUAUAUUGUGAAAGUUGAUCCAAUCCCAUGGCCAAAGAUGUGUGAGAAUAAGAUUUUUCAACGGAAAAUGGACCUAGAUUCAUAUAUGAUGCAAUUUGAUUGAUGUACCUCUUGACUAAAGACAUGUGAGAUUAGUUAAGUAUUUCUAGGAAAGGAAAAACUGUGCAUACUCAUUUAUUUCCUUACUAAAUACAGGCAAAGUCAUAAAGGAAAAACAAAAGUACCCUUACAAACUUUAUUGUUUGCCUUGCACAUUUAUUUCCUUACUAAAUACAGGCAAAGUCAUAAAGGAAAAACAGAAGUACCCCUUACAUACUUUACAGUUUGCCUUUGUUGCCAGUAACUCUGAUCUCUGCCUUCAGAAGAAAUUGUUGAUUGCUCUAUAAAUUUAAAUCCUUCACGGAAAGAAGCAUUUAAGAGCAUAAAAAUAAACAAUGGGAAAAAAUCACAACUUCCUUAAAGGAGAACUAUGCCACGUGUUCAAAAAUUAGGGUGAUAUAGUAAACUUCCAUAUCUUCUUAUAUAAUAGAGAUAAUAGAGAUAAAAAAACCCAUUGGAUUCAGAAAGGACAACAUAAGGGCCACUUGUUGAUUUGGCAUGGACAAAGGGACAAAAAAAAAGUUAUGCAAGGGAUAAUAAAUAUUCCACUUGUCAACCUAUUAAGAAGCCAAGUGGCAAGAAAGGAAGCAAAGAACUAAACCCCUUGCUUCUUAUACUAGUAAGGCCGCAUGGCAAAUGCCCACACUAAAGUGUUUAAGAAUAACAAAAUUUGAAAGAUGGUUUAUGAGUUGAGUGUUAUGUGUAGAUAUAUUAUAAAGAGCAUCUUAAUGCAUUGUUGGUUAUUAAAGGGAAAAAAUUCGUUCUAAUAAAAAGCAAGUAUUAACGCAUAAAUAAAAUAAAAUAAAUUUGAAAGGAAAAGUGUAUAUUAUGUUUGGUGGUAAUUCCAGCUAGUUUAUACAGGUUUAACUGGUGCUAAAUAAAUAAGUGAAAUGACUAAUCUGGAGUAAAGUGACAAGCUAAGCAAAAAUUUUGAGUACUGAAAGUAAUGCUGCAAAAGGAAAACACAAAACAUGCAAAAAAAAGUAUAUGUUACUAUAGAUGCAUAGAUUUGUUGAAGUAAAAAGUAAGAAAAAUUGUAUUACCAAAUGUGAGAAAACAAGAAAGUGAAGGAAGCUUUCACUCUACUACAUGGGAAUGGGAAGGAAAUAAAACAAGAAAAAAAUGAAGCAUAACAAAGGUUGGUAGUGUGUGUAAGGUCGUGUACUAUACUAUUUAAGGGCAGUUUGUUGAUAAUAAUUUCAUCUGAAAAGGUAGUCUAUGAAAACUAAACUAAACUAGUGCUUUGUCUUUCAAUCUAAUAGUUAUACACAUAUGAAAUACAGUUGAUAAUUCAUCAAAAAAUUGAUUUUCUUGUGAAGAACAACCUAACUAUGAAGAAAAAUGUAAGUAUCUAAUAUGGUUAGAUAAUUGAGAAAAAAGAUGAGUAGUUGAAGAAUGAUUGCAUUAUUUAACUUAUGGCUUAUUAUAAGUAAAGCAGAGGAAAAAUAGGAGAACCAAGCAAUCUGUAAGCUGACUUGUUGAAUAAUCUAAUAAUGCAAUAAGUUUGGAAAAAUGUUUUUCUCUCCAAAUUAGAACUCAUAAUAUAUAAGCUGUAUUGAAUAAUUUAUAAUUUGACAAUGUAGAAAAUAAGAAAAAAAUGCAAAUCUAACGGUUACCAUGAAAACAACAACAAAGAGCAUUUGAAUGAAAUAUAAUAGAGAUACACUUAUUUUUGUCAUUCAGACGUUAAUGCAUUCGUUUGAUUAAGAAAAGAAAAAAUUAAUUGCAAUAAAAAACACUUAUUAAGGUAUAAAUGAAUUAAAAUAGAAUUGAUAACAAAAAUAUAUGAACAUAAAGUCAAAUGUUACCAAAUAUUUUAAUAUCAACAAAUUAAAAUAAAUUCAAAACAUAAAAAUGCACACUACAUUAAGUAGCAGUAAUAAUCUUUUUCUUUAUAAUAAGAUGAAAUUAGUUUUAAAUAAUCUUUUUCGUUACAUUAACAAAAUAAUAAAAUGUCAAAGACUAUAAGAAAAUGUCAAAAUAACAAUUUGAAAAAAUCCAUGCAAUUUGACGAUUUUUAACAAAUGCAGCUUAAUUUGUCAAAUAUAAUUUAUAAUUCAUAUUGAAAUAAAUAUAAAUAUAAAUUCAAAGAAUAAUUAUGAUAAUAACAUUGUAAUCUGAUUAAAACUUAAGUUAAAUUGUCAAAUAUAAGUUGAAAUAAUCAUGUAAAUGAUACUCUAAUUGAAUUAUAUCUCUUCAAACUUUAGAGUUUGAAAAGUGUUUUUUUUCCUUUUCUCGAGAAGCUUCAUUAGUUUUUAUCAAAAGAUUGGCUUGCCACUUGGACAUUUUUGCAAGGUUAUAAUUUUGCUAACCUCUCGUUCUCAAGUGUACCUUUUUCUUGUUUUUUCUCGAGGUAAAGUUUGGCCCCCUCGAAAUUUUUGUAUUUCAUUUUGGGAAGGAAUGGAUUGAGUGGUUGGAAAGGUAGAGAUGGAAGUGUAAGUGAGAAAUCCCGAAUUUAAAUAUUCUCUAUUACACUAAAUUUUUUUUUAAAAAAAUUAAAUUUUUGUAAUUCAUUUAUUGUUUUAAUAAAAUAACGGGCUAACAUUGCGACCCCGUGUACGGAAUUUGUCUCUGGAAAAAAAGUGGUACUUCUUUUUAUUUUUUUUCUCAAAAUUUUUUUCUAUUUUAUUUUUCUUCUAAUUAUCCCUUGAUUAAACACUCAAUAGAUAAGUAGACUUGGCCUUCAAGAUUAUGAAUCAUGAAAAUUUUGGGUUUAGUUAGCUUUUUUCUUCGCACCAACUUGUUUUUCUUUGUUCUCUUUUUAUUUUUUUUGUGUCUUCUUAUGAUUAUAAACAGCAGUGUAAUUGCAAAUAUUAGCUUUCAAAUAAUGUGCUAAUUCUCAUUAUGUAAAAGAUGAUUUUAGAUACUUCAGAUUUUCAGCUUUCUUAUGUUCAAAAUAUUCAUAAAAUCAGAAUAUAGAAAACAGUUGUAAACACGAUAAAAUAGUUUUUCUAAAAUCAAAAUCUAAAAAUCGAGUGUUAAAAAUCAAUUGAGAACAAGAUUAGUAUAUUUGGACAACAAACACGGUAAAUUUUGAGACUAAUUAUUUUUUGUUAACAUCAUGCAUAUUUCAUAUGGACCACGGUGACAAAGUCGACGGCCCAACAAAAGCAUUUUUGUAUCUGUUCGAAAAUCAAAACCUUGGGUAGUAAAAAUAAAAAGUGGAAUGUUGUAUUUCCAAAAUUGAAUAUAAUAUUCGAAAAUACCUUAUGAUAGUAAGAAAGUGGGUUUUUAAGUUAUGGGCCUAGCAAGAGAAAAAUUGAGAUAGAAUCUCCCCCUUCAAAAUUGAACGUAAUUUCCUUUCAACCGAUUCAAGUAGGUACACCAAAUUAAGAAAAUAAAGAAAGGAGUUCAUUCUGGAAAAAAAAUUUCACGCUCUUUCUUUAGGGAAGGGAGGAUUAGGGAAAUCCUAUUAAUUGCAACUUUCUCCAGAUCCCUCAGAACGACAUGAAAAAGAACGACUCGAAUGUUCACCUUGGACUAGCGCAUGGAGCUAAGUCUUCCUUUUUUUUUUCCUUGACUUUAUAAAAUGAAGGUGAAAGAAAUUUAUUUAUGAAUUGAACGAGGGAUCUCAAAAUUCCUAAUUACUUAGUUUUUUUUUUUUAUAUAUAAAAGGAGCCAUAUUGAUUCCUCACUUAUUUUCGUGAUGAUUCAAACCCAACAUCUCUCGAUUACUCAGCUUAUUAUGUACCUGUAGUUGAGUUACACUUAUGGGACGAGCAUGGAGAUUCCUUCCUCUAAGCUCCUAUUUCGGCCCCAUGUAGCCUUCUUAUAUUCUAUAUUUGCACUUGUAGAAUGAGAUCAUGGGCACUUUCCGAAAAUACUUGUAACUUACAAGUCCAGGGGAAGCCAAUUCGUAUCAAUAUAGAUAUAGUGUCCGUCAAAGAAAUAGUUGCUUGUUUAUUUCUUUUCUGGAUGGCAUGAUGAUGAGUUGCCUUAGUCUGCCACGAUAUAUGUAUAUAUAUAUAUAUAUAUAUAUAUAUAUAUAUAUAUAUAUAUAUAUAUAUAUAUAUAUAUAUAUAUAUAUAUAUAUACACAUAUACAUAUCAUAGUACAACCCAACCGCCAAGAGAGAAAAGGAAGUCAAGUGCCGUUAGAAAAAUUACAAGAGACCAGUUUCUUUGGAUUGACCAUUAUUUGCAACCAAAAAAAAAAUUAAUUACAUUAUAAAAAUGGUUUUAAUUAUUUUUUUAUUUCAUAUAUAUUGCAUUACAAAAAAUGCUAUAUAUUUAUCCCAAAUUUUAAGAAAAGAUCAGCAAGGGAGCAUUGUAAGUGAUUCCCAAGGAAAAAUUAUCAAGAGACAAGAGCACAAUACAAGUGAUUUCCUGAAGGGAGUUUUUUUUUUUUACCUCUCUACUAUUUUUGUUCUCGACCCGAAACAUUGAAUACUAAGUAAUCAAAAAAUUACUAAUAUCCAAAUGCUUAUUUUCAUUUUCCAACAAAUUUGGUGUUUAUGAGGCUUCAACUUGUAUUUGGGUAAGAAGCAUAUGGCCUCAAUUUUAUUGUUACAGGCAAAACACAUGUUUAAACGUUUGAGAUUAAAAUCUUCCAUUGACGUAUUAGCAUGUUAAGCUAGUAUGUAUGUGUAUCUAUGUGUGUAUAUAUAUAUAUAUUGAAAAUUGUUUGAGAUGUUGAGCUAGCAUGGUUCUCGAAAUACAUUAAAAAUUAGUUUUUUUUGGUCUGUUAUUUUGAAAAAGUAACUUUUUAUGCACUAACAGUGUGGUAACCUUUUCACACUAGCAGCCAUUAAUAUAUGCCACAUAUAUAUUAUUUAAAUUUCAAAUUUAAAUUCAUAUUAUAUGGAAUGAUCUAAAUCUGUUAGUGUAAAAAAAUUUUAUAUUGACAAUGUAUAAAAAUUUACUAUAUUUUAAAUGUAUUACCAUAAAGAGAUGUGCACUCAAACCAGUGAAAGAGUUUUUUUUUUUUUUUUAAAGAUAAAAAAUUGGAUGACUUCAUAGUCAAUAAUAGCUGGAACUCAAAUAUUCUACUUUUAACAUUUUUAUCGAAAAUGAAUUGCAUGUAAUUAACUUUUUAUAUUAUAAAUUCUGUAUAUGGCUAUGACAUAAAUAUCUUCUGUCAGUUAUUGACAAAUAGGUUUAAGAUUACACCAUCAUGUAACGCAUUAUGAACUAAAUUAUUUUAUUCAAAUUGUAAUUUAAUAUUAGAGCGAUUAUUGCGUAAAAACCAUAGUUAUUAAACCCAACCCGGGAAGGAACCCGGCGAAGGAGGUGGGUCAACAGGUUACUGGUUGAAUCGGUGGGUGAGUGAUUGAACCGGUGGGUCACUACAUAUAUUUAAAUAUUAUAUUUCAUAAUUAUUUAUAUAAGAUAUAUGAUAUAAAUUGUAAUAAAUAAUGCCAUAACAAAAGCUCAUUUAAUUUAAUUUGUUAUAAAAUAAUUAAUUCAUAUAAGAAUCAAUCAAAUAUAAAGUUAUUUAUUAAUAUACCAAACUUCAAGUGUAAAUUUUAUCUAUAUUUAGUGUAAUUAUCUAGCUUAUUUAUGAAUUUUAAGUGUAAAAAUUUAUUAAAAAUAAUAUUUGUCUUUAAAUGAAUUAUGUAAUAUGUUAUUUUUGGAAUCCAUUUUAUAACUUAUAGAGUUUGGAGGGUAAUAAAUUUUUAUUAAAAGAUUCCAAAUAAAUUUGUUUUAGAGAAAAAAAGAUAGAAUUGAAAAAACAUUUAUACAUCAUAAUAAAGCUACUAUAUCAACAUAUUUGGAAGUAGUUUGGUGGUAAGCAGGUGGUAGUGUUGGGGUAGAGGUCCGAAGUUCAAGUUCCAACAAUAGCAUCAUAAUUUUUCCACAACAUCCGGUUAGUGACAAAAUCGGCCGGGUUUCCGGUUUAAUCCGGUUUGACCCCCGGGUCGUUGACUAAGUCAACGGUCUCUUUGCACAAACGAUCUGAUUCCAAACCCGGCCCGGUCCAAUGACCGGUCCACCAAUUCGACCGCCGGGCCCAGGCCGAAUUUAAUAACUAUGGUAAAAACAUUUGUAGGCCCAGAAGACUGUAUUGUUUUUUCUUUUUCUUUUUUUUUUCAAUAAAGGUGAGCAUAAUCACUUCCUUAAUAAUGGAGGAGAAAGCAACAGAUUAAAAAACGCAGAUGUAAGCACGGAGUGAGAGGGUUGCGGGCUUAUGGGAGGGUUGGGUGGGGGCGUUGAUUGUUGACCUUAGUAUUGUGGUCGUAUAAUAAACAAUAAAAUGCCUGCAGGAAGGAAGCAUGGACGCGAACAUUUAAUUGUUGGAUGUUGACUAUAUAUUCCAAACCACUCCUAUAAUUUCUGCAUUCAAUCAUUGCCAUCGCUAGGGGUGCAAUCAAGUCAAAUCUGCUCGCGAGUCGCUUGUGAGCGACUUGGUCAAAAGCUUGGCUCGAGCUAUUCGUUACAUUCAACGAGUCAAGUUCGAGUUUCAAAAAUAAAUAUUCGAGUGUUUGACGAGUUUAAUCGAGUUUUCAUAUUAUAUAUUCAUAUUAUAUUUAUAUUAUAUAUUUUGAGAAAAAAUUUAUAGGUUUAGUUCAAAACUCGAUCUUGAGUUCGAGUAAAUCGGGCUUGAUAUUUACUCGAGGUCAAACGAGUUGAGCUCGAGUUUAAUUUUAUUUUAUCGAGUCGAUCUUGAGUCCAAAUUUAUUUACUCGUUCGAGCUCGAGCUCGACUCGGCUCGAUAGUAUCCCUAGCCAUCGCCUAUCAAUGUUAGGAAAAUGUUGGAUUGGCUGGUAAAAUUAGGAGAUUUGAAUUUAAAACCUUUUACUUAUUAAAAAAAAUCCAUGAGAACGAGGCCUUCCUUUUUUCUCAAAUAAAAAAAAGAAAAAAAAUUAAAAAGGGUUAGAAUUUGACAUUCACCAUUAUAACCUGCAGUUUUAUUAAUAAGUUAAGAGCUAGUAACCGAGGUAGGAAUAGGUUAGAUGGUUCAAAGGAGAGAGUGUAAAUGGAAGAUUUUGAAUUCAAACUCUUCCAUUUUCACAAUAAUAAAAAAAUGUUGAGAGUAGUGGGAAUUUGCUAUAAUUAAACUCUCUGCACUUUAUAAAUGAAUUCAAUAUUGAAGAGCACCAUAUCCGAAAUAAGUUAGGUUCAUGAUUUUUUGGUCGGUAACUAGUGAAUAACUUGAUAUUGCAACUCUUUUUUAUUUUUUAUGAAUUCAUAUAUCCAAUAAAAAAAAUGUUAAUGAAUUCAUGUAUCCAAUAAAAAAAAAUCUUUAACUUCACAUAAUCUGAGCGUAGUUCUUGGACUCGAGGACCUGCUCAAAUGUUUGCUAUCACAGUAUGCCAUGCCAACUUGCAGUAUUUUGCAUUUAAUAAUGCAGACAGGGACCAAUAUUAACUUUCAAGGAAAAGAGAAGCACAAAAGUAAUGUUUUACAACUCGGACAGUUAAUUGAACUGGUGAAGUGAUCGGAUUGAGGUUCAACCGGUUGGAUUGUAACUAGGGGUGGCACCCGUUGCAUUUUAAUUCCCCCCGCCCCCGCCCUGUUCCCUGUCCCCCACUUCCCUCGUGAGAGCACCUGUGGGGUUAAAAAAAUUUUAUUAUAAUUAAAUUUGAGCAAAUAAUCAAGUACUAAAAUAUUAACACAUCACCAAAUUAUUAUUCAUUGUAACUUUACAAUUGAAACUCAUAAAAAUAAUUAAACAAAAGUUAUUUGAAUACAAUCUAAUAUGAUAAAACAAAUAUAAUUAAAAUAAUCAAGUUUUCAUUUUUGAUACAAAUACAAUCACUAAAUUAUUAUUGUAUUUUUUUUAGAAAAAAAUGUUAUUGUAUUAAGUGUAGUUAGGAAUUUAACAUAAAUGUAUUAAUUACUUUAGUAUAAAUAAUUAAUAAUUUUAUUAAUAGACAUGUAUAAUUAGUAGUAUAAUUGAUAAUAUUAUUAUAUAUAUAAUUAUGUACAUAUAUAUUUUCAAAUGGGUGGCAAGGCGGGGGUGGGACGGGGGUCCCCCGCCCCCCGCCCCCUCCCCAGCCCCAGCCCAACCCCCGUCCCAAUGACCCCCCGUGGACACCCGUCCCCGUUGCUAUCCCUAAUUGUAAUCUCCGUAUACAAUUACAAAUAUGAAAAAUAGAGAUAAUUUAAUUAUAGAAUUGAAAGAAAUUCAUUACAUAAAUAUGCUAUUCUCAUUUUAUUUGGUGAGAAGCACUUGGACCACCUUCACCAAAUUCGAGUAAGAAGAACCACCUGAACUUUUACAUGCUUCUUCAGCCUUGUUCUUCCACUCCAAGGCUUUUUUCUUCAUGUCCUUUCCCUUCUCUCUAACCAUCAACUCAGUCACAAGGCUCUCGACUUCGUCCCUCUUGACAUUAUUGUCUAUCUCCAAUCCAUUGCCCCAUUUGGUGCAGCAGAACCAGCAAUUGGUUUGUUGUUCGGCGAAAAACGGCCAACAAAUCAUGGGCACCCCACUACAGAUACUCUCGAGAGUUGAAUUCCAUCCGCUAUGAGUUAAGAAUCCUCCAAUGGCAGGAUGGCUGAGAACUUGUUCCUGAGGGCACCAGCUUGCUAGUAGGCCUCUAUCUUUAGUUUCCUCCAAAAAUUCAGGAGGAAGAAUUGCAGAGGCGCCAGAGACAAGAUCAGGCCUAAUGAUCCACAAAAAUGUUUGUUUACUAUUUGCAAGUCCCCAUGCAAACUCCACAAGCUGGUCGGGAGUCAUAACAGUGACGCUUCCAAAGUUUACAUAGACAACAGAAUUUGGAUCCUUUGAAUCAAGCCAUUCUAGGCACUUGGGCUCUUCUUUCCAAAGAUUUGACCCUACAACUGAUAACCUCUCAUCUUUCACCUCUUUCUCGAGAAACUGUAGAGGCCCAAUGGCGUAGAUGGGAGGAAGGAUGGCAGACAGAGCAUUUAUAACAUCCUCUUCCAGCUCCUCAAAUGUGUUCAAAAUAAUAGCUAAAGCUUUCUUGGCUCUCUCAGUCUCUUGCAGUACGAACUUUACCAUGUAGUCAUCCGGAUUUGUAGUUCUUAAGAAACUUGGAAGAUCUCUCAGACGUAUAUCUUUCAUCCCGGGAAUCCAAUCCAAAGCUUGCUCAAGGUAUCCAUUUGACAAAUAACUUGCAUCUGUAAUUGACAAGGAUUCACAAGUUUAACUCGAUUAAAAAAUAAAAAAGAAGAUACAGUAAUUAUUAAUAUCUUAAAUGCCAUCAAGCUAGUUGCCAAGGGGGUUAUAUUAUAUCUAUUUCGCAGUGCAGAAGUUCAUAAAUCCAACUAGUGCUAAAAGUCUUUCUCACGAGAGCGAGAGCUCAAAGGAGAAAUACCACAAAAAGUUCUUGGCCCUGAAGAGUACCUUUGAGUGGUAUGAGACGCUUUUCUAUGAGCUUAGCAUAGUGCAUAUAACCCAAGAAUCCACUUGCACUAGAAGUCCAAAACAAUAUUUCUGGGACGCCUAGUUCUGCGGCAGCUUCAAGAGUAAAGCUCAUGACUCCAUCAGAAACUAUGCAAGAAACAGGGGGCACUUGUGAUGAAGAGGGAUCAUUAAGUUCUGCAAGGAGAUCUCUAAAUGGACCUAAGCAAUGAGUAGUGGUGGAUUCAGAAAGGGAGGGGACGUCUUGGGUGGCAUCAACAUCAGAAGGAGGAAGCCCAUCAGGAAUGGCUUUAAAUUUGAAAUCAGGCAAGCCGUUGAGGGCAUCAGGACCUCUAGACUUGAGCAAACGUUUGUGGUUGAAUUCUGUGUUAACAAAGGUUAUAUGAAACCCUUUAUGAUGAAGGAGCUUGGCUAGUUUCAGCAUAGGGUUUAUGUGACCCUGUGCUGGAUAUGGAAUACAAACAGCAUGAGGCUUUUCCGGCAGCGAAAUGGAAUCCAUUGCUUAUGUUUUUUUUCCCCUUCACUUUCUUUUGUUGUUGGAAUGAGUUUUGAUGCUUGAGCCUGCGGCUAUCUAUCCAAAUUUAUAGCGGGCGAAGCAAUUUGUGAAAAUUGAAAAAGCAAAAUUUAGCAUACGUAAUAAUGAAAAGUUAGAGGUCGACGAAAUCAAGCAAAACCAUAUGGUAUUCUGCCCCUUGUCGAAUUUGGGUGAAUUAUUGCAAAUCCCCCUGUGAUUUUGUCUAUUGUUCAUUUCUCCCCAAACGUUUUAAAGUAUUCACAUAACCCAUGAAGUUUAAUUUAUCAGUGAAGAUUUGAAGAAAAGUAGCUUCCGUAAUAUCCCUUCCGUAUUGUCUUUAUGUAGAUAGAGGUCGACGAAAUCAAGCAAAACCAUAUGGUAUUCUGCCCCUUGUCGAAUUUGGGUGAAUUAUUGCAAAUCCCCCUGUGAUUUUGUCUAUUGUUCAUUUCUCCCCAAACGUUUUAAAGUAUUCACAUAACCCAUGAAGUUUAAUUUAUCAGUGAAGAUUUGAAGAAAAGUAGCUUCCGUAAUAUCCCUUCCGUAUUGUCUUUAUGUAGAUACUAAACAUGAUUAGGGAUAACCAAUUUACAUAACUUUUUAGGGAUAUUAUGUAAAUAUAUCCAAAGCAACAGAGGAGUUAAGUGGAUAAUGUAAUCUUAGCACACGUGUUUUUGAAACGGUCUAGGUCAAUUGCUAUAGCUUGAGUUGCUUUCAUUUUUUCACCCCACAUAAAAUUACAAAGAAAUUUUGUAUAUAUUUUUUGAAACAUCAGAAGAUCAUGUGAUAAUAUAUAAAGCUAUUAUAUUAUACGAGUAGACUGUAAUUUACCCACAAUAAAGGUCCAAUCUCUCAACCGCUGGACGAAAUCUUAGGAUAUCCUACCUAAUUGUCCAUUUCUAAAAGGAAGAAUAUUACCGAGUUUGAAUUUUCUGAAGGCGAGAAAAUUGAAUUUGAUAGUGGUGCUCUCAAUAGAGACAGAAAUAAGCAUAUUUUGGUUUGACCCGCAAAGUGGCAAAGUUUCUUGCAGUUGUAAAAUAAGACACCAUAUCUUCAACCUUAUUAUUUAAAAAGAUUUGUUGAAGUGAAAAAUGGAUCCGGACAUCUGGGUUGGAUACUAAAACAAAACUCUGAUAUAAACAAAUAUAAUAAGUGGCGUAUUCAGACUUUGAUACCUGUUAGAAUUGAUAUCAUUGGAGCAUGUUAUUUGUCAGGUCAAUUUUGGAUUUAUCUCAAUGAAGGCAGAUAAACUCUACAACAUAAAGUUGAAGAAUGAACCCUUGAUAUCUUUUUAUUAUUAUUUUUUUGUUUUGAAACUAUACCUUUGAUAUCUUGAUAACAAUGCAAAUUUGAUGAGGUUGAAAAACAGGCAACUAACUGCUUGAAAACAAUAUAUUAUUAAGGAGACAAAAGGGUGUAAAGAAAAUAAUUUAGGAGUCCGGUGAAUAGUUUCCUCUAAAUUGUAUCAAAUUUGGUUGUCAGAAUUGUUCUCAAGUAUGGAGUAAGAUUUUCAUGGCUGAGUUAGCUUUGUAUCGUAGGAAGAACAAAAGGAAUGAGGAUAGCUAAGUGAAAUAGUUACCGAAACCGGGGGAAGCAGUUCUAAACAUGGGACUCACUUCAGUAUAUGGACUAUAUUAUUGUAAAUAAACAUGCACCCCGGAAAAGUUGUGGGCAUGUUUUAUGAACCCCAAAACAAGUUGCGGGCAUGUCCCCCCAUUUUGGAAUAUGCGGGAGUAGAUCAUUGACUAUAAAUUGGCGCGAAGAGAAGUAAAAAAUAGUGGGAAGAGUAGAAACAAUAGGAUCAAAGUUGUUCAAAAAAAAAAAAAAGAACCGAAAUUUUAUAUAUAAACCAUACAUAUGAUCAUAAAUCAAGAUUAUUAAGCAGUAAAUGUUUACUUAAAGAAAGAAUUAUGUUGAUUUAAAUUAAAUUGUUAGUUGAUGCAAAUGAGUGAAUAUAUACAUAAUUGACCCCCUUCGCUUCAACAGGAAUCAAAAUUUUAGAUGAGCAAUCAUAAACAUAAUUAACACAUUAUUUGAAGAAAUCAAAAUUUGUGGUUGUGGAUAAUUAAUCACAAUCAUAAUUAACAUAGUGAAUUUGAUUCACAAACAUAAUUGUAUAGUUGACAUAAUGACUUUUAAGCCAAUAUUGAAAAUCAAUCUGGAGUCUAAUUUACACUUUGCAAUAGCAGUUUUUCAAUUCCAAUUUAAUUAAGACUAUUACAAUUGUUCGAUCUUUAUUGUAAACAAAAUUAAACUUAUAUUCGUUAAUUAUCAUCGAUUUUAAUGUCAAUUUCUGAUUGAGUGACAACAUCUUAUCUUAACACGUGUAUUGAACAUAUCCAAUAUCUCUUUCAAUUUCAAGUUCACUAUGUCAAUUACAAUUUUUGCUCAUAUUGAAAAGAACAAUUUAUUUUCUCCCUCAAAUAUAUAUUCAAGUCCUCUAUGUCAAUUAUGUUUAUAAUUAGGCACCGACAAAUUUAGUUUUGUUUUUAAAACAAAAUUUUCAAUUAUAUUUGUGAUUUCUCAUCUACAAUAUCAAUUCCGAUUUCAAAGCUAUGAAAUGAAAUGUGAUUGUCAUAUAUCUUGUACAACCAUAAUUAUAGGAGUACAAUGCCAAUUAUAAUUAGAGAGUUUUUGGUGCCCAAUUUAAUAUUGCUAAGUAUAGGAGCAUAAUGCUAAUUAUAAUUUCACUAGUGAGUAUAAAGGCACUCGUCUGGUUCGGUGGUGGUUCAUUCGGCGCCCUCCAAAUUCCGCAUUGAUUCUCUUGGGUCCACCACUUUCUCUUAGUAUAGAGUAGAAGUAGAUGUGAAAUAAAAUUUAUUAUGUCUAGAAAAAAAAAAUCAAUGUGGUUUCAUUGUAUGUUAAGCAUCUUGGAAAAUUAUGAGGUGGUGCUCAUAUUUGUGUUAAUCAUUCAAAUUUUGAAAAUUGAAAUCAAUGUAAUCGCACAAAAUUCUAGAAAUAUAUAGCUUUGCACAAUCCAAAAACAUAUAUGAAUAUGAGUAAAUGUAAGCUAGAAGUGCAAUAAAUUUUGGCAGAUAGCACAAUGGUGAAAUGUAAUGUCAAGACCAAAAGUCAUUAUGAAUGAAUUUCUCAAAUAGGGAUGAGGCGUGGGUAUGGAGAUAAUUAAGGCGAUUAUAAAGCAGGUAGUAAAUGGUGUAAUAAAUAAAAUUGUGCUGUGUAAUGUUCAAAAAGUUUAAAGUCUUCCUAUCUCCAUUCCAAAAUAUGCACGAUAGAGUAAAUGUGAAUGAAUGAUAAAUAAAUUCGGUCAGAGGGCAAAAAGACGAAAAUUUAUGUGUAAAGGAAAGUCCGAAAUAAAUGAUUGUCCCAAAAUGGGAAUAGUAGGGAUUUCGUGCUAGAAUUGGUUACUUUUCUAUAUUAAAGCUGGUAGAAAAUAAAUUUUUAAAGACCAUGAGUUAACAAGGGAGUGAAAAAAGCCUAACAACUAGGUGUAGUGACAUUGAAUCCCCAUUAUAAAUUGUAGUUGUUACUAGGAAGAAGGCAAGUGUUGGGGGGAGGGGGCUAUGAAUGUGAGAUCAAUGCCUGUAGUGAAGGAUUGGCAAAGGAAUCGGCAGAUGUACCGUGGAACAGUCUAAAGAAAGGUAACAAGCAAAUGUCUUUUUUUUUUUUGUGCAUCCAUACCUUGUUUUUAUGUUACAUAGUGUUGAGUUUUUUUUUUUAAAAUUUAGUAUUUGAAGCCAAUUACAAGAAGUCAGUAGUAUAUUUUGAAAACUGGAGCAAUGGGUUAAGUUAAGUCCACUUUUGCACGAUAUAUAAAAUAAUAGCAUACUUAGUUGAUUUUAAUUUUUUUUUGCGUGCAUUCUCUAAUUCUUGUAUGUAACAUGAGCUAGAGAAUUUAGAAUUUGAAGUUGACUAAGUACAUUGAAUAAAUUCUAGUAGUAUGUAUAUUAUUUUAUUAUUUUCUGUGAUAUAUAAAAUAAUAUUGGGCUUACUUGGCCUUUGGAGAGUUGAAGCAACAUGGUAAUGGGCCAAAAAAGUAAGUAAAAAAAAAUGCACAUUGGUUAUUUGGAUGACCAGAAAAUUUGUUUUCUGACUAACAUUGAGCAUGUAUGUGCUCCAACGAAGAAGACAUCACAGGCUAAAAUAUCGCUAUUUUUAUUCUAGUUUAGGGUUUGAGAUCAACAUUCCAAAGGCAAUCGAGGCGGAUGAUCCCAAAGGAAAGAGACCCGUUGAGUAUUAUCAGCAAAAUUUUUUGAUAUUGGAUACCAACCUUGUGCCACCAUCAGAAUACUACCACAUUGAAGGUAAUGACUUGUCUAUCCGAGGAGAGCAGCUGGGUAAGAAUGGCAAUCAACGAGAAGGCAAUGUAUCCAUCAACCAUGCAACCCUGGAUGAAAAUGAUGUAUGUCCAUGACGUUUGCCACCAUGGAAGAAGCAGAGACUUUUUUAUCUAUUAUUUGCUAGGGCAACUUGUUUCAGUGUUCGAAAGGGCUAUAAAUUUGUAGAUGACAAUGGAAGGGUGCGUUAUAGGCAAUGGGUAUGCAGUCGAGAAGGUCGGAGAGAUCCAAAACACAUGAAUAGAGAUGACAGAUGAAGGGAACCUCGGCCAAAUACUAGAGUUGACUGUCAAGCAACUCUCAAGAUAAGAUACGCACCCGAGGAAGAUAAAUAUGUUGUUAGCGAAUUUGUGAGGCUCCAUACCCACAAAUUAGCAUGCCCAAAUACCACGAUAUUUUUGAAAUGUCACCGUAAGGUCUCCGAUACUGACUAUGCCCAAGCACAAACACUACGUCGCGUGGGGAUGAAGACUAGCCAAAUUAUGAAACUAUUUGUUCUACAGUGUGGUGGAUAUCAAAACGUCCCAUUCACUAUGAAGGAUCUAUAUAAUAGAAUGAAUGCCAGUCGGAUGGAGGAAAUUGCAUAUAGGGAUGCAAAGGAUGCAAUUGCAUAUCUAUUUGCAAAGAAGGAUGCUGAUCCUGAAGUGUACUUUAACUUUACCGUUACCUACGAUGGCCGGUUGGGGAGAUUUGUUUUGGUCGGAUUCUCGCUCUAGGGUAGACUACAAAUAUUAUGGUGAUGUCAUAGUUUUUUAUAGUACCUUUAACACAAAUAGAUAUGCGCAUCCACUGGUUGUGAUGUGUGGCAUUAAUAAUCAUUUUUGCACGUUUGUUUUUGCAUGCUCUACUGUUCCUGACAAGGAAGUUGAAACUUAUGAAUGGAUCCUUAACAACUUUCUUGAGGUAAUGGAUGGCAAACAACCAUUAUCAGUUGUGACGGAUGGGCGCCUCAAAUGAGGAAAGCAAUCAAGAGGUUCUUUCUGAAUGCAAAGCAUCGCCUUUGUUCAUGGCACAUACAGUAAAAUCACAUCUCAAAUAUUGCUAAUGAGGAGUUUAGGGAAGGGUUCAAAAAUUGCAUGUAUAGAAACUGCUCCAUUGACCAGUUGUUAGUCACCUUAUGCAAUCUCCAGAACCACAAUUGGAUUAAGUACAUCUACAAGAAAAGAGAAAGAUGGGUAUUAGCAUAUCUCCGAGGAAACUUUUUUGAUGGCAUGAGGAGCACACAACAUUCAGAGAAGAUGAACGAUGUUUUAAAGAUAUACCUACACAAAGAGAAAAGACUAUUUAAGUCAGUUAGGGCAUUUGACCUAGCAAUGGCAUGGCUUCAACAUGAGGAGGCGAGGUUGGACACGAAGACAGAGCACACCUCCCUCUUACCCACUACUGAUAUGCAUUACUUAGAACGGCAUGCUACAGAAAUCUCUACAAGGCGCAUAUUUAUAAAGGUUAGGAAAGAGAUGAAGAGCCAAGGUAUGUAUUUUAGGUACAACGUGAUGGAUGAUGGAGUCCAGUGCAUCCACUUCAUUGCUCAUGCCUCUUCAAAUAGACGAUGGAGAGUCCUAUACAAUCGAGAGUCACAAGUUAUGUAGUGUUCGUGUGAAUAAAUGGAGACGCUAGGAUUACCAUGUUGCCAUAUGUUUAGGGUCAUGGUUAAACUAAUUGGGUUAGUUUAGUGAGGCAGAAAGCUCUCAUGUUAUCAACGUCUUUAAAUAUUGACUUACAAUUUCAAUUGGCUGAUCAAGAGUGAGGCCUAGGCAUCUAUCAAUGGGCUUCCUCAUGUUCAAGUCAUUGCAACAAAUGUAAUUAUUAGUCAAUAUGAUGGUUUAGAAAAAUCACAACUCAUUAAUGCAAAUAAUGCUCCAACAAAUGAUAAUACCUUAUGUUUUUGCUUCUGACCAACCUUCUUCUUCAUUAAUGUUCUCUUGUCCAUUGCUCCAGGACUUUUGUGCUUGGAUGCAAGACAUUGGCAAGCAAUACUUAAAAGUCUAAGUUUUGCCGACCCAUUAGAUGCUACAUCUGAGUCAGCUUUUGGAAGUCUAAAAGGUUUUCUAAUGCAUUUUUUGGUAGAGAAUGAGCUACCCUUUCUCUUCUUCAUAUCUGGAGCUGGUUCAUCAGCUAUUAUCUCAACACUUGCCGACUUAAUCGGAAAAGUUACAUCUAUUGAUGCCUCCUUGUCAUCUCCGCAUAAUGGCAUUGGUACCCCAUUGCUUUGAGCAUCACCAGAAAAAUGUUCAAUCAUCGUAGGGGUAUUCGACAAUUCGGAAUAUUUAAUUUCACCUUGUUUCUAUAAUCACAAGGCUUUUCAUUAUCAAAUUUCUCUAUUAGCCUUCUUAUUUCACUAACAAUUACUCCUUGCAUACACUUCAAUGAUCGUGACAAGGCAAUCACUGACUCACAGACCACUUUACAUCCAUCUUUCAACUCUUUGUAGGAUUCUUCUAAAUCAGUCAUUCUCUUAUCCAUAAGUGAGUUUCUUUUAUCCUCCAUAGAUGCCUUGGAAAUCAAAACUGAAUCUUCAACAAUCACUUCAAGGGGCAUUUUUGUGACUUUGAGGGGCAUUUUGGUCUUUUGCUGAUGGGUGGCGUGGUUUGUUGGAAAUUCACUCCUGUCCGCAUGGGCAAAUGGUCUGGUUACUCUGUAAUUUUCAUGAACUCUGGGGGUGUUUGUUGGUUGCAUGAUUUUUGGGCGGCUUGGGGAAACGUGGGUGUAGAUAGCCUUAUUGAAUCGGUGGACGCUCUUUGCUUUGCCUUCUGUCUCUCUUCCUUGCUCUCAAUUUCAAUCAUUGCUCUCUUCUAAGUACCACUUUCUCUCCUGCUCUUAUGUCCGCGUAGGCCUCUUGGAUGGGAACAUUUUGGCGAUCAGCAAUUUACUCUCAUUCUAUUCUUCGUUUUGUUCAUUCUGUUUUUGGCAACAGGAUAAACUUUCUUUAAAAAAAAUGCAAUUUAAGAAAUGGAUUAUAGUUUUUGAACUUUUAUAGUAGGUCCAUUUUUUUUCUUUUGAGCAUGAAAAAAUGAUUCAAUAAAUACAAAUUAUCAAAACCAAAAUCAUCAAAAUCUCCAAAAAAAGAAGAAGAUAUAGACAGCCUAAAAAAGGGAAGAAAGAGAGAAAAAUAAGAAAAUAUGUAUAUUCACGUUGCAAGUUAAACUUGUUCAAUAUUGAGAGUCCCAUGCUCAUUUUCAAUCGAUGAUGUCCUGUUCAAAGAAACCAUUGUUGCUCCCUCCAUUCUUAAACACUUUUAAUCUAUCAAUCAAACAAUCAUCUAAAUUGCAACAGAAAGAAUUGGAUCCAAUAUGAAACCCUGAUUAGAAGACAUGGUAGUAUAUAUAAACCGAGGUCAUGGUGGGAUAGAGUUGAAUAAAAAUUAUGUGUCAUGAAUAUAGACCUAUUAAUGUAAAACAAAAAAGCCACUGAAUAUACAAAAAUAUUAAUUCAAUUUUACAUUGGUUUGAAAAUAUUUUUAAAUAUGUUUGAAUGCUCAUUCAAGUCUAGCAAACAAAAGAAAAUGACAAACCCAUUUUAUAAUUGUCUUUCUUUAUUACUUUCUCUCAAAAGAUUGUUAAGUGUGAAGUACUAGCAAAUAGAAAGUGCCAAAAAAAUGGAAAUUGUCAAAUUGCUUGUCUUAGAGAAGUAACGUGACUAAUAAGCAAGGCUAUACAUGUAUACAUUACAUGUAUAACCAUGUCUUUUAGUUCUACCUAAUUUUAGGCAUUACUUAUUGAUUAAUGCUAUAUUAAGAAUGUAAGAUAACCUGAUUUCAAAGUCAUGUUUAUUUGUGCAAUUAGGAAAAACAUACACUCACACACAUGACUACUGUAUCUAACAAAGAAAAAAAAAAAACACACAAACAUAACCGCAAAAUAAUGAGUCUCAACUGCCUGACGCCUGACGCAUGGCGUCAGGGCUAAAAAACUAGUACUUAAGUAAAGUAUCAACAGUCAAAUCUAACUAAGGAUAUUCAUUUUGAAUUAGUGAAGAUGAAACCCAAAUAGUUGAACUUAGACUAUUGAAACUCUGAUCACAUCUUGGACCCACAAGUCCAGGGAGUGAGCGUGACAUCUAUAUCUUUAAAACGAUUAAAUAAAUAUUCUUGUUAAUUUUGUGCACCCACUGGAAAAUGUUUCUAGAUCUAGACAUCUUCUUUAAACCAUAGAGCAAGCAAAAUCAAAAGUAAGGCUCACGAAUCACGAUAACUCAUUUUUAUGAAGAAAAGUACUUCAGGGUUUGGGGCACUUUCAAAUAAGCUCAGCAAAAUUUUCCACAUACAAAUUCAGAGAAUAUCUGCAAUAUCAUAAUCAGAAGCUUCAAGCACUAAAGCUUGAAUGCGAAAACCGCUGCAAAAAGUAGAGAGCUUGCAUGCGAACAAGAAGUAAUGUCAAGUAUAAAGCUUCUAACUUGGUCUGUUUGGAUUGUAAGUUAUUUGGGAUUAUUUGGAAUAUUUUUACUGUAGCACUUUUUGUGAUGUGAUGUAUGUGAGAUAAAAAGAUAUUGGGAAGAUAAAAAGGUGUAUUGGAAAUUGUAAAGAUGAUGUAAGCAAAUAAAAUUGGGGAAAUAUGAAGCAAUCCAAACAAACCUUCUCAUGAGGGGAAAAUUCUCUAAAGCCAAAAGUGUUGGAAAAAUGGAAAAAUCCAUUGUAGAGUGAAUAAGAAAAUCGUUCUCAUAAUGGCACUCUUGAUAGAAUUCAAGGAUAAUUAUCUAUCAUUCAUAUACCUGAAGAUUCAUGUACCAAGGAUUCAUGUACUUAGGAAUUAAGUAUUUAUGUACAUAAUUGUUAAUACAUGAAUUUGGAGUUUUCUUAUCGAGAAUACAUGUAUGUACGUGAAUGUGGUACUUUGAUAAAUGUGAAGAUAAUUAAAUGAAAUUUAACAUUUGUUUCCAAUUUCUACAAUCACCCUUGGCCAGCAUCUAUAAAUAACUCUCUUUUUAUUUUGUUUGUUUUUUAAAAAAAAAACGGAGCUCUCUCUCCAAUUUGUUUUUUCCUUUUGCAUCUUCAUCUUUUAUCGUGUUCCAUAUUGCUUUAGUUCGAGUUCACUGUGGUGAAGAAGUUUGGUGCUAACAUAUUCACCUUUAAUCCGUUGUAUCCUGGGAGACAGACGUCUACUUAACCUCGAGCACUCUACCUGUAGGGGGGCGAAUCUGUUUUAAGGAAAUUAUGCUCACAAGUCUCGGAUUAUUAUUUUCAAUCUCCACCUAAUUUCAGUUUAUGUUUAUUCUUUCCUAUAUUGCACCGGCCUAAUUUUAAUAACAACAAGUACAUGAACAAGAUAUAAGGAAACCAUGCUAUACCUUGAGAAUGUUUUCAGACAAAAAGAGAGAUUUCACAAUCUGCAUGCUCCCAACAAAUUUAAGAGCAUGCUGAUGAAGUAAAUCAAUUUUCCUCCCAAAAUAACUGGGAGAUCCAACUUGCAAUACUUUUGCAUAGAAAGACUUGAUUUUUCAACUAAAAUCUACACGAUUCACAAUUCUAGUCGAAAUUUUUAAGAUUUGCAGCAUGUACACCAACUUCAUGCUUUCCACUCACAUAAUAGGAUGAAUGUUCAGGAUUGGAUGACUUUGCAGUUAUAGCAAACAUCUCUACUAUACCAAGGACACAAUUCUUGGGUAUGCUGAAGAGCCCAACAGAAACAAUUCUUCAAGCAAAUAACACCCCUGAAUAAACCUAUUAACAGUGCCUUAAUCAACAAAUCCAAAGCCCUCCAAGUGCAUAACCUAGACACCUUGGUAAAGAAACCAAUUCUGGAAUAAUCAAAUCCAAAUUCCUAUUUGUUUUCAAACUAACUAGUGCUGGGAACGGAAACAUCCUAGGAGUAGAUAUUAAAUACUGGGAAACUACAGUAGUUUUCACUAUUAUAGUCACCCACCAAAAUAUCAAGUUCUUUGACAUUAAUUUGAAACACAGGAGCUAUUAACGGGUCAAUUUGCAAUCUAUGAAUUUCAUCUAAAUUUUGCCAUGUACAGACAAAAUUUUCUAAAAGAAGCCCCUUUUCAUGGUUGAAUAACUAGAUCCCAAAACCGAAAGGAUUAUAGAACCAUCCAAUCACAGUCAUGUUUGGCUGCAGCACUUUUGGUAGGGAAAAACAACAGAAUGUGUAGAAGAAGAGAGUUGGGUAGAACACCCAAACUAUCAAUACCACCUAUUUGGCGAUGAGGCAUAGAAAGAAGUAAAAUGAAGGCAUACAUACCUGCAGGGAGUGGUGACAUAAGUCAAGUGACUUCACACUUUGUAACCAAUUAAUAAGCUCAAAAGCCUGCUGACUACGAAAUAACAAGCCACUUUCAGUUCCUUCUGCGUCGUGAUGCGACAAUGAAAUUGUGGCUCUAACUAGAGACUUCAGUUCUUGAAUGAACGCUACUCUUUGAGCAUCAAUUUCAUACACCAAAUCUUUUCAGUCUCGGGACAUUUAGCAUAAACUUAUGAUUUCCAAAUCCGCUGACUUCAAGAUAUUUUUAGGCUGUUACGCUCAAUUACAUAGUUGUAGCGUCCUCCCAAACUAGUAAGUCUUAAGUUUUUUCAAUGAAGGACUAGAUAAAUCAACCACUUCAAUUAUAACAGACAAAACUAUGGAAAAGUAAAUACAAUUCUUCAAGAGAUGGGCAACCACGAAUAAGUGGAGGAAAGUAAUUUUCAUCUACUAAUCCCACAGGUCCUGUCAAGUGCAACACCUUGAGAUUUGGCAAAAAAACUGAAGUGGGAACAAGAAGAUUCACUAGCCAUGAUAGUUUCACAGUUACCAGAGUUUUACAAAUGAAUAUUUCUAUAGAAAACAAUCGUCACACUGAAGUGCAGCAGAUAUAAAGAAAUUCCAGCCCCAUCUGAAAUCUUUCCACCAGCCUAUCGACACAGACACUCAAUUUUCUAAAACAAAAGUAGUUUGAGCUGAGUGUUGUUACACAUGGCGUCGCCGGGACUCGAACCGGAGACCUUCAGUGUGUUAGACUGACGUGAUAACCAACUACACCACGACACCAGACGUUUGAACGGCUGUCUUAUCCUCCUAAGGAAUCAUAAUUGAGAUAACAAAAGCGUGUUUAUGAUCAAGUAACUUAAUUACCGAGAAAUGUAUUAGUAUAUUAGUCUUGUGUAAUAUGAUGAGUUGGCUUCGUCAGUUUGAUUUCCAGGUAGGGAGAAGCAAACCUACAUAUUAUUUAACAACAACACCACGGGAAAAAAUUUAACCAAAAAAAGUGAGAACCUGUAAGUACUGUAGACUGGUGGGUAAUGCAUUUGGGAUUAGCUAAUUGAGAAAACAGACCACCGGAUUUAUCAGUCCCAUUUCAUCAGGCUUCUCAAGUUGACGAUGAAUCUUUUGAUAGAUCUUCUUCGGUCUCCCCAUAUUAGUUGCAUCUUAUAUUGCAGGACAAAUUGUAUGCUAAAUAAGACCAAUUUUAUAGUUUGAAAACUAAAAUAUCUCAUUUUAAAAUUUAAGUACUAAAGAGAGAAUUUGGUUAUAGUUGAAAGGAGCAAAAUGGAAUUAACUCUAUUCUGUUUGAACUUUGGCUCAAUUAUCAUUGUUUUUAAAAUUUAUAUGUAAAAAAUUAAAACAAUUCGAGUUUGUCUGAAAAAUGUUUGUUUUAGUUCAGCCUUGAUAAAUAUUUAAUCCAAGCUUGAAAUAGUUAAACCAAAAUUGGCAAUUUUUUUUAAGAAGAGGGGACAAAGAACAAAAAAGACAAACUAUUCAUCCUCAAUCUACUUAAUUUUUUGGGUUAAUUACAUUUACCUCCCCUGAGGUUUGAUCAUAUUACCAAUCAAUUCCUGUAAUUUGUCCAAAUAACGGUCUCACCCUUUGAAUGAUCAAACAUUUAACAAAAACCCCCUUAAUGCCGAAAAUGCCCUUAUUGAGGUCAUGUUGCAUUAAAAAAAGAACAUAUUUUUAUUUUAUUAACCUUGAAGCAAUCCAAAAAAAAUAGAAAAAAAUUUUUGCUUAUUAUUUUAUAAAAACCUUAUCUUUGCUUCCAUAAAUAGUUUUGAAUCAAUAAUUAUUUUAAAUCUUAAAAAUGAAUAUUAAAAAUUAGAUAAAUUGAAAGAAAAAUAAAAAAGAAGCAAUUAUUUUAAAUCCUCAAGUAUGGUUCGAAUUUGUGGUUCAAGGCAUAUUGCGAAUUCAAUCAAUCGCAUUCUCCAAUCAUCAUCGACAUUGAAGAGACAUUAGCAACGCUUCGAUUUAGGGUUCGUUCUCUAUUCUUCCUUCUUCUUGGCUUGUUUUUUCUUCCUUCUUCGUUCGAUUUUGUGAUUUGCUUUUGUUUUGCCUCCCACUGCCUGGCUUUAGUUCUUUUGCAGAAAAAACAUAAACAGGAACUCAGAAGUUGAAGACCAAAUUGAUAUGGCAUCUGACUAUAAUAAUUUACUACAAGCUAAGAGCCCUUGUAAACUCAUCGGUUGAAAUUUUUUUACUAAUCUGUUUCUUUUGUUUGUUAAAGAAAGAAAUGAGUCCUUUUCUCACAAAAAUUCUGGCUAUUGAUAGCUAUUACAAACAAUACAUCUUGCAUUGAGCCUUGUGACCUUGCUGCAGUAUCCAUCAUCCAAUCCAACAGUGCCAAUUUAACAGUGCCAAUAAAUUGUGAGGGUACUCACUUCCACUAUACUUGUCAAGUAGUUUCCAAAUGAUGAAGAUCUUAUCCAGGAAAAUGUUUUUCAUUGAAAAAAGAAAUAAGCUAAAACCAAUCAUCUCGAAUAACACUAGCAGAUAUAACCAUGUUAUGCUUUAUUUUCCAGCUGAAAAUUGUAUAUAUUACAAGAAAUUCCAGUUCCGCUUCCAAGUGAUGUACCAAGCCACCUGAAAAAGCAUAAGCAAUCACAUCAGAUGACAUUUGAUCCCUGUCACAAGUUCAAACAUCUUUCAAUUUUUAACAAUAAAAUUCUGAAAUAACUGGUCAUAUGUAAAUGAUCUCAAGACACAAUCGUUAGAAACAACAACCAGGAACCCUCCCCUUACACAAAAUCUUUAAAAGACAGACACAAAAUCCAAAACUAUUUGUUGGAGACUUUUUGUUCUUCCUCUUGGUUAUCAGGAGGAUGAAAAGGCGUAGGACAUGUAAGAGAGAUGGAUAUAAUUUACUAGGAGAUUUUCAUAACUGCAUAUGGACUUCAUCAACUUCUCCUCCAAAUUCUUUUGUUGAGCACAAUCUGGUAAACCUAUCAAAGCUUUGAGGCUUUCUUGAACGACAAUAUCCUAUUCCAAUCCUCUGACAAGGACUUCAAACAUUGCCAUUGUCCAGAAAGAGACACCUUCUCCAAAGAAUUACCAUUCUGCAAAAAGUAGGGUGGAAGUUUCAGAGAAGUUGUAGAUGUGUUAUGGGUGGCUGUUCAUAAAUUAUGGAAACAUUGUUUAUUGUAGGUAAAAUUACGAAUUUACCAAGUUCGUAAUUUUACACCAGCUCCAACUACGAAUUGUUCCUCUUCCUCCUGGAAGAUGUUAAAAGUUGAGGUCCAUUGCCAGGAAAUGCAUUCAAAUCGUGGUAGGAGAUGUGCAGAUGACUCACUUGUGGUAUGAUUGGUGGCACCCUGUUGGACCUCUGAUUCAGUUGUUUUUUGCUUGCAUAAUUCACUUGGCACUAUCAUCCUCAGCCCUAUGAGGCUCUGGUAGUCCAUUAAUAUGGAGACAAAGGAUAGGAACCUCAAAAUACAAGUGGCUGCAGCAUCCUUCGUGUACAGAAAGGACAUAAUGUGAUGGAGAAUCGUCUGGAAGGGCACUCAACCAAUCAAUACCAUCAUCAUUUUCUUGAUUUGGCGUUUCAAUUUUUCCAAUUCUUCUUUUACUAGAUUUUUUGUCUCCACAAGUCAUUGUUUGACUGAUUGUUUCCUCAAACUAACCAAAUGGGAUUCUUUUCUAUCCAAAUUUCUCAAAAUAGCUCAGGGAUCCAGGGCAUUAAACAUCAAAGUAUCGAUGCAUAAAGCUAAAUUAGCAAGUUUAAAAGAAAAAGGUAUGAAUUACAAACUGGUGGCAAACUGGCCAUUGCAUCUGGGGUCAGCUAAUUGAGAAGACAAGACCACCGGAUUAUCAGCCCCAUUUCAUCAGACUUCUCAAGUUGAUGACGAAUUUCUGAUGAUCUUCGUCUCCACUCAAAUUAGUUAAGAACGCUAGAAAGGAGUAAUGGAAUAUUCCCUUCUUCACUUCACUUCUUUUCCGUAUAGAGUUAAUACCUAGAAAGGCCUUUGACUUCUUCAACAUACGAAGGGUUUUUUUUUUUUUUUUUUUUAAAUUCAACAUACGAAAGGUUAAUUGCACAUUAUUCCCCAUCCUUUCUGUGUAGACCUAUGUUUUCAAAAUCGGACCGGGUAUCGACUUGGUCAGAGGCCAAUGGGUUCAACCGGAUUCGAUAGGAGUUGAACCGGAUGAUGUUAUAAAUAAAAAUUAUUUAAAAAUUAAAAUAUUAUAUGUAAAAUACCUAAUAACAUGUUAAUAUUAAUAAAGGUAUAUUCAUAUAUAUUUGAUGUUUCAAAUAUAUUUAACAAAAAAAUACAAAGAAACUAGAAUAAUCAAGUAGCAAUUUAUAUUAUUUAAUGAUCAUUAACAAGUUUAGAAUUAAAAUUAUGGACUUAAUUGAAAAAUAAAACCAAGCUUUAAGAAAACAUUGAUAAAGUAUAAAAUAUUAGGUAUAUUAAUAAUUUUUAACAAUCUAAGGGCCAAAACAUAAUAUUAAAAAACUUUGAGUUUUUUUUUUUUUUUAAAAUGCUGAUUGAACCGGAAAACCCGGUCAAACCCGAUUUGACCGGAUUUUUACUUACCCGGUUUUUUAGCAUAACUCGGACCGGACACUUGGCUGAUCGAACCGGCUAGUCCGGUCCGAGUUUUAAAACACAGGUGUAGACGAAUCCCACAACCAUAAAAAAAUACUAAAGAAACUGUAUGAUUUGAAAGUCAAACCAAAUUGCUUGUAUUAUCAUAUAUCACAUAUUAUAUCAUAUGAUACAUGCAUACGUAUAUACAUAUACAUACAUACAUAUGUACAUAUAUACAUGCACAUACACACAGACAUAUAUAUAUAUAUAUAUAUAUAUAUAUAUAUAUAUAUAAUGAUGUUUAAUUUGGAUUUUGAAAGGUUGUAGAUUUGGCUACUCUAACCUUUGCCAAAUGCAUUAUAUAUCUAUUCGCCAUGUGGACAUAUUUAAUAUUAGUUUUUUUAAUGCUUUUGAUUUUUUUUUUUGGUUAUAAUUAAUCGGUCUGUCUAAUGGGUGUUCAUAGAGCACUCGUUAAAAUAAAUUUUAGGUGUUAUGUUUUUUGAAAAUAUAAGAUUAAUUGAAAAAGUAAAUAAAUACAAAGGAUGAUAGGAGAAAUUAAAUUGAAAAAGUAUAUAAAUGCAAGAGAGGAUAAUAAUUAUUAAUAUAUGUAUACAUAUAUGGUAGGUUAGCUAAAUGUUAAGUGUGCUAACCAGUACCCUAAGGGCGGACACCCCUUAGAAAAUCCAUAAUUAAUCCAUUUCCUUUUUCACUUCUUUAUUUGUAACAACUUUCAAUCAUUUUAUUAGUUUCCGCCAUUUUUAUUUAUUAUGCCUAAUCAAAUAGUUACCAUUUGGAAGUAACUAUAGUAUAAAUUACAAAACAAUCGAGGUUAGAUUUGUUGAGAACUAAUCAAUGUAUUUUGUAGAAGUAACUAUUUCUUAUCAUUUAGUUUCAAUGUUUGUCCAAUAUUUAGUAUUUUAAAAUAUUUAAUAAAUUUUGUUGUUUUAGUUCUUUUGUAUCCAUGUUCAUCUAAAAGCAAAAUCUUGAAGAUAAAGAGGACCCGUGCACUACUAUAUAUAAUAAAAUGCUAUUUAGUUCCCUAUAUAAUAGAUUUGCUGAGUUCGAUAUUCUUAUGUUCUGUCAGGUCGACAUCUUACAGUUUUAUCAUGUGUACAUAUUGUCUUAUUUAUUUGAUUAGGUUUAAAUUGUUUUAUUUUUAUUAACAACAACCAAUCCGAAACUUUUUCACUAGUAUUUUUGUUAACAACAAUCGAUUAUCCACUUUGUUAUCCUUAAUUGCGCACUAAUGUCCUCAAGGUUAAAAUGCAAUGAAAUUGGAAAAUGCACAUAAUGCAAGCCACCUUCUUCUUAAGGAAUUCCAAAAUCCCAGUUAUCUAGUUGAUCUUUCACAAGAUAGGUUCACUAUGUGGAGCAAUGCAAGCUCUAGAGACCCAACUUCUAGUAUCAAUAAUGUCACAUUCAUAUUAGGUUAACCUUCUAAAAGCCUUUAUUACUUGAGUAUCAUUCACAGUUUUCAGCAACAUUAAUUGCUUUCCAAUCCUUGAGGCCCCAUGCUUUCUAUUCCUAGAAUGAAAAUAGAAGUGAUAGACAAGCACUAGCAACCCCCUAAUGAACUACCGGCCAUAAUUGAUAGAAGAUAAUAAGACUUGAACACAAAAUCUUAUGGCUAGUACAAAAAAUCAUGAAAUGCUUAUUCUGCAACAUAUCCACCACAAAUACCCUUCAACUUCUCUAGAGGAGAAAUUCAAAUGAAAACCACCUAAUGCUGUGAUCUCAUAGAACCAAUCUUUCAAUGCCUGUUCCUAUCAUGAUUAAACAUUUGGGCCCCUUUAAGGAACUAUUAGACUGUGCAUUCCUGUUAGGAUUAGGCAAAAUUCAUCACAUUAGAGGCUCUUCCAUGAUUGUCACAACAAAUACAAUUAUAACAUUUUAGAUGCACAUUACUUCAUUCUGUUCAAGAAGAAGGCAGUGAGCAGCAUCCAUAUCUCACAAUACGAUCACAGAAGGAUUGUCAUGCUAAACAUUUUCCAUUUUCUUACUUUUCAUAACCCCCCCAUGCUUUGCUUGCCCUAAUUAGUUACAAAGUCGUCAUUCUGCAGUCGGCAUCCAGAUUUUCUAGAUUUCUGCAGUUACAGGUUUCAACCAAAUGAAUACAACUAAAAUGACGGAAACAGGAAAAGAAGCCAAGACAUAGAACCUUGCAAAGUAGCCAACUCUAUGUGUUAGCAGAUCAGCAAGUAGAUAUACAAACAGGGGCUAAAUUUCUGAAAUCUUAUCUGAUGUCCUGUAAACUCAAGCUGAAAUUCCACACUAUUUCUUGAGGGAAAAAGCUUAUCCAUAAGACCAAGAUACAAAAGAAAAAGCCUAAAGAGCAGUAAGUUCUAAGGCCAAAACUGCACUAUCCAUGCCCUAUAUCUGUGACACAGCUAUUUUCUUCAUGUUUAGGUUGACCCAAGAUUCGCGACACUAACAUGUAAGAGAAAAAUAAAAUUGCAUAAGUGUAAUAAUGCUAAUUGCAUUGACAAACUGCAGAAUCUAGCAACUUUUCCUUUAGAAAAUUUCAAAAAAAAAUUCGAAAAGUGUUGGUCCAAUUAGGAUGACCCAUUUGGUAAUAGUGGACUCAUGCAGCUCUAGCCUGUUAUCCUUCCACUGCGAGGAGCGGGAAGUUCUCGUUGCUCUGUCAAGCCAGCCUCACGCAGUAUCCUCCACUCUAGGAGCCAAGUGGUCCGGGCCUGCGCUCAAACCACAUGGCUCAGCUCUCCGCUUGGAAUGGGCAGGCCGGUGAGUAGCUCCACAAGACCUACCAUCUGGGUCAAUCCAAUGUUCCAACACAUUAAUACCCCCGCUUGGGUUACAAGCUCGCGCUACCGAGCUCAGCGGCAGGCAUUUCCUAGGCAUAUGGUUAUUAAGUGACGAAAAGAUGGAAUUUCUUCGAUGUGGGACGCAUUUGUGUUCUAAUGUGUUUCUGGGAAACGCUUCAAUGGAACCAAAAGAAAUGUGCUAGAUGUAUGCAUGGCUAUUGGGGUUAAAUAAGUGCUGGUAUUAUUGAGGAUGGAAAUGCAGGCUUUAAGAGAAGGUUGAUUGCUGCCAAAUCAGCAUUAGUAACUAAAAAGAAAUUGAAGUAAAAGCUAGUACUCAUCAAAUUGGUAAAUCUUAAUCGUCCAAAGGUUUGAAUGUCUAUGGAAAACCUCCAACGAGGAUUCCUCAAAUUUCUUGAGCAUGGCAAAAAAAGCUUUUUGUUUUUGACAUUCUUGCUCGAUUGCCAAAUACUAAGGGCACCAUAUCUUUGUCAGAAUUGCUCUACAGAACCUUCGAAAUGGUGGAUGAAUGUAAGAAUGGUAGAUUAGUUAACUAAAGUAAUAGUCUCAAAAUGUUAAUUAUGACUGAAAUACUUGACCAUAUGAACAAAAUUUGUGAAAAUUGGCACUUCAACUAUUGUACUAAGACCAACACCAAACACCAGAUUGACAACUAGUUCCCCUUCCAUGGUUCUAUUCCUUAAAUAUACUUCACAGAACGCAACAAGCAAAAAGCUUUUCCGUUGGUAUGAUAUCAUUAAUUUAUUUUGAAGAACCAUUCCUGUUUAAAGCCCUUGGCAAGUUUUUCUUCAUUGUAAACUACAUAUCGCUCCAAUAUAUAAAAGUAAACCAAUGCUAUUUCUUUCCGGUUAUCAUUCAAUCCAAUGAACUAGGAAGAUGGCCGCCUCCUAUAUAUAAAAUAUAUAUGUAUAAAAUAUAUAAUUUAAUUAGUUACAAACUUAUGAUAAUGUAUAUUAAUAUAUGUAAUAUUAUUGAUAUUAUCAAUUAUACUAAUAAUUAUAUAUGUGUACUAAUACAAAUUAUUAAUUGGUUAUACUAAAUUUACUAAUACAUAUAUACUAAGUCCCUAAUUACACUUAAAACAAUAACAUUUUUUUCUUUAAAAAAAAAAAAGCACAAGCACAAUAAUAAAUUAGUGAUUGUAUUUAUGCCAAAGUGAAAACUUGACUACUUUAGUUGUAUUUAUUUCAUCAUGUUGGAUUAUAUUCAAAUAACUUUUGUUUGAUUGUUUUUAUAAGUUUCAAUUAUGAAAUUACAAUGAAUAAUAAUUUGGUGAUGUGUUGAUAUUUUGGUACUUGAUUAUUUCGACUUUUCCAUGAUGCCACAGACAUCCCAUGUUUAUCCAUUACUUGUCCAUGCCUUCUGCAGUCUCAAGAGAUCUUUUUAAUUAUCUUCUCCCUCUGCAUGCAUUCUGCAGUUCUUCUGGGAGUCUCGCUUGGACCAUUGCCCAUCAGAGUUUGAAAAAAAUCUACUAAAACUUUUUAUUUUCUUUUGUUCAAUAAUCCAUUAUUCAGAUCAGGCAAUGUACAAUAUACAAAAAUAAAAAGCUGAUGAUUAAAUUGCAAUGAUGAUUAAAAGCUAAUGAUUAAACCCUAAACCCUAAACUCCGGAGUCGAGAAAUUGGAUGAAGUGUGCGAUUAACAGGGUGAGAUUUUGUGGAUAGUGAUAUAUAUGUCCAUUGAUAUAAAAUAAAAGGUUUUUUUUUUCUAAUGGGGGCCUAAUGUGUACUUUUUAGUACAUUUUAAUCACAUCUAACUUGCCAUAUGAAUUUUUACAUUGACAAAUUAUUAUCCUAUACUGCAUUUAUAUACUUUCCCUAAUUAAUAUUAUUUUUUCAAAAUAUGAACACACAAAGUCCAUAUUAACAAGUGCCCAUUGGACACUCAUUAGACAGAUCAUUAAUUAACGAGUGCCCAUUGAAAUGUAUACAUAUAAAAUUCACCUAGUCUAUCAUGUAUAUACAUAUACUAACAAUUAUUAACCUCCCUUGCAUUUAUAUACUUUUCCUAUUGCCCUCCUUUGCAUUUAUAUACUACAAUUAUUAUCCUCCUUUGCAAUCACUCCUAUGAUGUUUUCCCAUAUUCCUCCCUCUGAUUAACACCCUCCUGAAGUCUUUGAUAAUCCUCAACCUUGGGUUUUAUAAGAUUACAAGUAGCCUACAUAUACAGGCAUAAAAACUCACCGGAUUUCAAUUUGUUUUUUGUUUUUUAGGAUAAGAUUAACUUCAAGUAGAAACUGCUUGCUUCUACUCAUGUAAAUGGUCAAUGUGGAGAGAUUUUGUGGUCAGAUUUGAUCUCUCACUGGGCAUUUCAGCCUAUUUGUUGCCAAAGAUCGUCCUUAGCUGCUUGCUUGCUAGCAAUGCUAGGUUCAGAUAUCUGUCUCAGUAUUCAGCACAUAAUUUCUUUUUACUGUUUGAAGUGCGAGGAGACCAGCAGAGUAGUUACUGAAGUACUGGAGCCUGCCUGCGUUAUGCUUAAACUCCAGCAGAUGGAAAUUUUUUGAAAAGUUGGUAAGGAAAAAUUCAUAGAGACCUCUCAAAAAAUACAGAACAUUGUAUUAUUUAUUUAUUUAUAUAUAUAUAUUCCUUUUUUCUCAAUAUGCAUUGUCAUUCCUUUUAUUGAUACUCCAAUAAAUGAUCAAACACCGUAUAUUAGUUUCCUUCAACCGCCUACAAGCAAUGAUCAUGGUAGAUAUUUUGCUUAGAUUCAGUAAUGAAUUUACAAUAUACUCCUGAUCAGUGGGGGUGUACGUCUUGGCAAGGGGGUACAGGUGCACCCACUGGCCAAAAGAAAAUGCUUGUAUAGAAUUUGUGCCCUGUUAGAUUGUGAAAUAAAUUUUACUAUCAUACUCCCUCCGUCCCACUUUGAUAGUCAUGUAUUCCUUUUUCAUCUGUCCCAAAUUAUAGUCCACUUUUCAAUUGACGAAUGUAGUUAUGUUUUAAUUUUCCUAAAAUACCCUUAUUCAAUGUUAGUAGUUGUUACUAUAAACCUACCCUAUUUAAUGAGAGUUGAUUCUUUUUUUACCAUCAAUUCAAGUUCCCAUAAAGUUGUACCAUAUUUAAUGUGAGGGUAUUUUAGGAAAAUAACAAUCUAAAUUUACUUUUCCAACAAAGUUAACUAUUUUUUCUUAAACUAUGUAAAAAAAGAAACAAAACUAUCAAAGUGGAACGGAGGGAGUAGCGGUUAUUGUAAUUUGACAAAGAAUAAAUAAAUGAAGAGAACCAAUCUAGCAACAAAAUUCACAUUCCAAUGCAACUCUUGAGUGUCAAAUUGACCGGCCUACGCUCCACAACAAUUGAUUCCUACCAUUUAAGUACAUUUAUUGAGAUUUAUAUGUCACACCCUGGAUGCACAGGGCAAGAAGUCGCCGGAGUUUUAACAGUCAAAUCCAACUGUUUAGACUCCAUCCUUACUAGCCUAAAAUGGAUAUCCCAAGUUGGAGUUAAUUGUUGAGACUUUGAUUGCAUUUUGAGCCUGUAGGCCCUAGGCCCUAGGCAUGAUAUUAUGAUAUUAGAGUGAGACUCAUGUAGUCUUUGCACAGAGUGAAAUUAAGUCAAUGAUAUUGGGUUGGACUACACAAGAAAGUGGAAGAAUUAAAUCUCGUGUAGAGUUAAGUGCUACGUCAUUAGAGUCUGUACGAGUCACCUCUAAAAUCCGUACGAGUUAUCUCUAGAAUCUAACACAAUUAAGUGGACAAUCCAGAUUAUGAUAUUGGAUUAGAUUUUGGAGGAUACAAACUCUAAAAUGGAGGGGUGAAUAUAAUAUCCCAUUCCAUAUCUAAAAAGUAAAGUGAUGUAUACCAAUACUUAAGUGACAGGUGCCGAACCUGUGCAAUAAUAAUAAAUAAAACCUAACUACCACCUAAGACAGUUAAUAAUCAAUUCGAGUACUGGAGCAGGGACUCUAGGUGUGCAAUGGGUUACUUGAUUCACCCUGUUCCCGAAGAGUUUGCUUAAUCCGAUAUACCUGAAUUAAUUAUUUAACUGAAUUCCCUAACUAGUAGACAGUGGUAAGCAGAGUCGUCUCCUCAGGGACUAGCAAGAUAUUUUGUUUCUUUUCAAAUCAAGAUUAAUGGGGGGGUUUUGGUAUCAACUGCCAACUAAACAAAUUAAAUGCAGAAAAUAAUUAAAUAACAGAAAUACUUAGAGAAACUCUGGCCAAGGGUACACAUCAGAAAUGGUUCAUGCAACUGAUCAUCGAUUCAAAUAUAAUUCCAACAUUUAUUAAUAGAUUAGUUAUAGUUGUCAUGCACGCGAUAAACAACCAACCUUUCCUUACUUUUUCGAUAGUUAAGGUACGACCGUUAACUAUUUCUCUAACCCAAAAACAACCCUAGGUACGACCGUAGGAUUUAAUUUUUAGAUUGCAUUAUUAAUUAGAAAGGCUCAAUCCUAGCUAACAAACACGCUACGAGGGUUUAUUUAAGCUAGAUCAAAUAUUCCCCUGACACAAAUCCAAUUAUGCCAGUUGCUACUGGGAUAGAGAUAACGAACAAUUACGGAUUCAGUUACCCCUAUAUAGCAAAAUAGCCCAUGUGAAUAAUUAAUUAUUGCACACUAAUCAAUCAUACCCAAGACUAUAACAACUAAAAUCAGGGAACAUAUGAAUAUCAAUUAAUGAAGAAAAUAAUUAAAAACAGUUUAGAUCUCACAGUGAAUGCCGAACCAAUUCGUCAGUUGCCCCCCUGACUAGAAUCAGCGAAUUAGCCCUCCAUUAAUGAAGGACAAGCUACGCGGGGGGAAUCGGGAUACGUCGCUAUAUCGGACCUUUUUCUUUUGGUCAAGAGCAGAAGACCAGAACAAGAAAUUUUGAUUUCUUGCACUUGUCUCCAAAAGCCCAAGCGUAUGAAAGGCAGAUUGUUCACUGUAGUUGUGGUCAGCAAGAGUGAAAACCAAAGCCAAGAAAAGUCAACAACGGCGGCUCUUGGUUUCUUCUCCCAAUUGCUAGCAAGACAUACGAGAGAAAGGUUCUCCAAUUGAUUGAUUUCGGUCAAAGACAAAUUCACAAACAGUUGGUAGGUCCACAAUUGCGGCUGGCCUUUCCUUCCUUUGUCAGCAAUGUAUUCGAGAGAAAGGAUUCAAUUCUUUGAUUUCUCAAUUUUGUCAAGGCUAAACAAAACUCACCAAAUUUUUCAAAGUCAACCACAGAGGCAAGGUAAUACCGAGUCUAGGAAAAAUGAUCCUGGCUCUCGUCUCCUCCCUCCGUUACAAAGCUACCGCCCCUCUACGAAAGGCCUGACACCCUAAAACCUAAGCCACGCGAGAAUACUAAAUUCUCCCUCAGUUGUGGUCCCCAGUUCAAGGAGAGGAUUUUUUUCCCUUUUUGGAAAUUGUUAUUUGUUUUUAAAAUUAAAACAACACUCCCUCAAAAUAUAAUAAAAUAAAAUCUAUUACAAUUAGAUUUCUUCAGCUUCUCAAGCGGGCCCCACGUACGAUGAAUCUUCUAAAAGCUGAAUUUAAACACUUUUCAGCAUCCAUUCCUGCAAUUAGUAUCAAAACAAAAUAUUAGUAAAAUCCACCCAAUUAAUGAAAAUACUUAGUCAAUUCAUUGUGCAAUAAUGCCCAAAAUACCCACUAAAAUGCACCCUAUCAAUUUCCCCCACACCUGAACUAUGCUUGCCCUCAAACAUAAUUAACUCAGAAAUGCAAUAAAGAUACUAAGCAAACCACAGCAGUUCAUACCAAGAAUGGCAUUCCAAAUUCCCCAAUAACCUCAUCGAAAUCAGAGUAUACCAAAUCAACAAUUCUCACCGUUUAAAGUGCACUCAAUCACUCCAAAAUGUAUAUGAGAUGUAUAUAAGAUAACUCUCAGAUCAACACAAUAGAAAGACACUACCAUAAGCUUGCUCAUAUAUCAUAUCUCCACCACUUACUUAUGAAUUUAAAUGCAGCAAUCAAGGGGCUUUAAAAGGUUGUAAUGGGGUUAGGGUGAGAAUGUAGGAUAAAAAGGAGUCAAAAGGGUGUAAAAGUAUAAAGAAAGUGCCCAAAAAUUCAUUACAUAGAUUCUUGCACAUUUGAAACUUAAAGGCAUCUCAACCAUCACACAAGUGAAGUGAAUUAGCACUUGCCACAACCUUCGCCUUUUCUCCUCUUUUCAUUCAUCUACUUCCCCUCUUUUUUUUUUUUUUUGCUUUUUUUUUUCUUCAAUAACUCCCAACCAGCACCAUAAAAAUCAACUUUACUUGCUGAUUUCCUGCACUUUGUCUUCUUUUCACAUCCCCAUUUUUUUUUUUUACAUAAAUAGGUGUAAUGCCUCUCGAAUAAUACUCCAAAAUUCUGUAUAAUGAAAUCAAAGCACUUCUUCACACGAGAUUCAAAAAGAAAGUCUAAAAAGAGGUUUUACGGCUAAAACUAGGGUCUCAAACGAAGAAUAAGAGUUAAGGCUCAACUUGGCUCCCUAGUGAUAAAUAAUCCAAGGCUUGGUUUCAAAAAAGUCCAAAAAUGACUCAUUCCUAGGUGCCCUAUCAUUUCAAUGCAUUAAACUCAUUUAAAUGUGGUCUUGACAUGCAUAACCGAGCAAGUUCUAGAAUGACAAACCAUGUGCACUAAUCACUCAACAAACGAAAAAUUAGGCUCAAGAAUUGCACAAGUGAUCAAAUUGAUGUCAAGUUCAGCAUAUUAAUCAAUCAAUUCAGCAUCGAGGAAAAUAGAGCACCCCAUGGCAUGAACUUGCUAUGUAUACUCAUAUCUCAAUUGCAUUCAUCACAGUUUAAAGAAAGGGACUACUAAGGCAAGGAAAAAUUUAAUCAGACAACUAAAAACACAACCAAAGCAUAGUUAACCCUCCCCCACACCUAAACCUUACAUUGUCCUCAAUGUAAGCAAAAAAAGACCAAAUCAGAGGUAUUGGGGCAACGACACUUCUCUUAAAACGGAGGAGGGCAGAAAUGAAUCACGGCUGCGGAGGGAAAGGCGGGCGGAAACCCACGUGGUGGAGAUACUGUGCCAAAUUCUGGGCCAUCCCUCCCAUUUGGCGCCCCAACCGAUCCAUACGAGUGUCCAUGUGCUGCAUCUGAAACCGAAGGGCUGCAAGCUGGCUAUCAGCGGAGGAAGAUGGUGGAGGCGCCGAAGAGGACGGCCCGGGGGCAUCCGUGGAAGGACCACCCGCCUCCGGGGCAGUGGAUUUAGAAGCGCUGCGCUUCGGAGGAACAGAGAUUGGCCCCGGGGGAGCAAACUGGAAAGCGCCAUUCACCUGUCGCACAAGACCCAUUUUCUCCAAACAAACCAAAUCGAGGGGUUCCAUAGUACAAGCGCGAUGCAAAUUAUGAUUAUUCAAGUCCAAAACCCCAAGAUUUACAGCCAACUAAGUGAUAAAUGAGCCUAAGAUUAAUGGUUUAUUUUUCUUACUUAGCACAGUUCGGAUGUGGAGGGCAAACCAACUACCCAAAUUGACCUUAGUCUGAGUGACCAUGCACCAAAUGAAAAAGAACUCGGGUUUGGUCAGAGUACCCGAGCUAUCCUUCCUACCUGAGAAACUAUAGGCCAUGAAUCUAUGUAAAUAACGGUAGGCGGCGCUCUUAAGAUAAGAAGCCUUAGACUGACUGUCAUAGCAGUGUCGGUCAACCGACAAAUCUCUCCAAUAACCAAUGUGAUGAGAGAAAAAUGGCUCCGUGUACUCGCACGCACUGUGCAUAUAUUCCUCACUCUGGGAGUAGGGAACAUCAAUAAACCCAAGAGCCAAAUUAAACUCAGUGAUAGAUUGGUUGAACUCUCUACCCAUUAAUCGAAACCUCACUACCCCAGGAGUGGUAACGGAGAAUUCAUCAGGAAUAUUAAAUUCAAAAGUAGCAUAGAAUUCCCACGUGAGUUCAGUAAAAGCAGGUAGAUUGAUAGAAGCAUAGCGAGUCCAACCUACGUCAGUCAAGUGCUACGUGACCUCAUCCCUCAGGUUUAGCAUAUCAAGUGUAGGGCCAUGGAUGUAUUUACAAGGAAUUAUCUUCCUUGUGCAAGCCGAGGCAUACCGCUCCUUGUCGGCAGCCCGGGUGAAAGUCAAAUUGCCGCCAAAGUGGGCCGGAGAGAAAAUAUGAACCUCCCUAUUCCGUCCAAGGCGAGUCCUGGGUCCACCCGGACCAGUCGAUGGGGCAGGUCCACUCAAGGGGACUGUAGGCUGUGAGGUGGAUGUGGAUGGCUUGUUCUUGCCUUUAGUUUUGGGUUUGGUCAUUGGGAAUUGGAAAAGAGGGCAAAGACAAGGUGAAGUUGGGUAAGAUGGAGUGGUGGUUAAUCAACAAAGUAAGGGGUCCCCGAACACAGCUCCAAACACCAACAAUUGAACAAAUAGAAACUAAACAGCCCAAAAAUCAAUUAAGUAGAUAAACACAUAAAAACAUCACCCAAAAACUAAUUAAUCAUGGAAACAAUAAAAAUUUCCCCAAUUACUUCAGAUGCUACCCCAAAAUUGGACAAAUGCUCGUCAACCAACCACAGAUGAUAUCACAGCACUCAAAUCAACCAAAAAAAAAAAAUCUGUCCUCAGCUAGCAAAUUAAAAGAAAUCUGGCCUCAGCUAAGAAAUUAAAAUCUGGCAUCAGCUAAUUAAUAAUAGAAAAUUAAAGAAGGGGUCACCGGAGUGGAGGAAGGCGCGUGCGUCGCACGCGCUAGGGCAGGCGCGCGGGGCUGGAAAGCAAGGAUGUUGCCCGUUUGGUGCCUUGCGCAAUCCUAGGCUGGACUGGCACUGGGGAUGUGCGCGAUGGAAGCUGCUGGUGGACUGGAGUAGCUAGGCUGCAGGGCGCGCAGAGGAGGUGAGCUGCGCGUGCACGAGGCAGUAGCUAGCUCUGCGUGUGCGCGGACUGCGGGCUGCGACUACGCUGUCGGCCGCUGUUGGUUGCUGCUGGGCUUGCGCGAGGAGGAGCUGGUGGGCGAUGCAGUUGGUGGACAGAGGCUGUCCUGGUUGCGCACAGGGGUUUGCGCGGGCUGCAGGGGGCGAGGCGCGGCUGGGCAGCGGCUCGAUGGACGGUGGCGGCAGCGCGAAUGGGCGGCGGCGAUCGUGCGGCGUGCAGGGAAGAAGAAAGAAAAGAAGGAAGAAGAAAUAAGAAAGAAGAAGUAAGAAAAAGAAAAAGAAAAAACGAAGGGAAGUAGGGCUACGGGUCCUUGAAAAAAAAAAUUUUCUUUUUGUCGUUCAGAGGCAAUUUGGUCUUUUCAAAUUUUUUUUUUCUUUUUGUCAAGGAACCUUUGGCUUAGGCGUGAGCACGCCUAACUGUCCUUAGUCAUUUGACCAUCCGUCGAAAAUUUUUGAUUCUUUAGCGUGGGCACGCUCAACUGCCAUAGAGUCCCCAGAUCAUUCCUUGGAAAUUGAGUUCCGUCAGGCGUGACCACCUGGCGUGGGCACGCUAAACUGCCAAUUUCCUGUCACCAAACAUCAAACUAUUAAUUGACACUAACACUUAAUUAAAACUAAAAAAAAUGUAUGAAAACUGAAACAAAUAGUCUUGGGUUGCCUCCCAAGUAGCGCCUUUCUUUAAUGUCUUUGGCUAGACAUGGCCAAAACCCUCAAGCAAGAUAAAGUGGAUCUUGGAGGUGUACAACUUCUACUUCCUCAACAGCGAAUCCCUCAUAAUAAGGCUUGAGACGAUGGCCAUUCACCACGAACCUUUUCUCCGUUUUUAAACUUUGGAUCUCCACUGCACCAUAAUGAAACACAUUAGAAACGACAAAUGGACCAAUCCAACGAGAACACAACUUACCGGGAAAAAGUUUAAGUCUCGAGUGAUACAAGAGGACUUUUUGCCCCACUACAAAAGUUUUCCUAGAAACCUGCUAAUCAUGAAAGAUUUUACUCUUUUCCUUAUAGAUCGUGGCAUUCUCAUACGCUUCAUUUCUUAUCUCCUCUAACUCUUGUAACUGCAAUUUCCUUUGGACCCCUGCUUCGUCUAAUCCCAUGUUACACUGCUUCACUGCCCAAAACGCCUUAUGUUCGAACUCCACGGGAAGAUGGCAAGCCUUACCGAAGACAAGUCUAUACGGAGACAUCCCAAUCGGCGUCUUAUACGCGGUUCUCAUCGGCGUCUUCUACCUUUAAACUCCAAUCCUUCCUAUCCGGACGCACCAUCUUCUCCAAGAUCGACUUGAUUUCCCUGUUUGACACUUCGGCGUGACCGUUCGCCUGCGGGUGAUACGGAGUGGAUACCUUGUGGAGCACGUCAUAUUUUCGGAACAGGGCAGUGAUAGUUUUAUUAUAAAAAUGUGUCCCCCUAUCACUUACCACAGCUCUUGCCAUUCCAAAACGGACAAAGAUAUUAGAUUUUAAGAACUCUGCAACCACUCUAGAAUCAUUAGUACGGGUGGCUUUGGUCUCCACCCAUUUAGAAACAUAAUCAACCGCAAGUAGAAUGUGUAGGAACCCAAAAGAUGAGGGAAAAGGACCCAUAAAAUCUAUCCCCCAAACAUCAAAAAUUUCAACAAACAACAUGGGGGUUUGAGGCAUUUGGUCCCUACGAAAAAUAUUUCCCAUCCUUUGACACCUAUCACAGGAUUUGCAAAAUAAAUACGAAUUUUUAAAAAGGGUAGGCCAGUAAAAGCCACUCUCUAACACUUUGCGAGCUGUUCGUUUGGGCCCAAAAUGCCCCCCCACAUGCAAACGAAUGACAGAAAUUUAAAAUGGAGUGAAAUUCACCUGCACUUACACAUCUCCUUAGCACUUGAUCCGAACAUUGUUUUCAAAGGUAGGGGUCGUUCCAAAUGUAGUAUUUGGCAUCACUCUUCAACUUGUCUCUCUUAGCCUUUGGCCACCCUGCAGGUAAUUGAUUAGUCACCAAGAAAUUUACUAUAUCAGCAUACCAGGGUGUAGACGAGUUAAUGGCAAGUAGUUGCUCCUCUGGAAAUGCCUCCCUCAAUGGUGGCUCCUCCUUAUGAGCAAGCAAGCGGCUCAAGUGAUCAGCGACUAAGUUUUCUGCCCCACUUUUAUCCUUAAUCUCCAAGUUGAACUCCUGAAGGAGCAGGAUCCAUCUGAUGAGUCUUGGUUUAGCAUCCUUCUUCGUCAUCAAGUAUCUCAAGGCUGCAUGAUCAGAAAAAACUGUUAUUUUUGCACCUAACAAAUAAGGUCUAAAUUUUUCUAAUGCAAAAACCACAGCUAGCAAUUCUUUCUCUGUUAUAGAGUAGUUGAGCUGAACUCCAUUCAACGCCUUUGAUGCAUAGUAGAUUGCAUGUGCAGCUCUGCCAAUCCGUUGCCCCAGCACCGCUCCCACCGCAUAAUCACUCGCGUCACACAUUAUCUCAAAUGGGAGGUUCCAGUCUGGAGGUUGGAUAACAGGUGGUGAUGUCAAUGACUCCCUCAACCUGUCAAAUGCCACCUUGCACUCUUCGGUGAAGUCAAAUGCCACAUCCUUCUGCAACAGUUUGAACAGGGGCGCUCCAAUUUUUGAGAAAUCUUUUAUGAAUCUCCUGUAGAAUCCUGCAUGACCCAAAAAGGAACGUACCUCCCGUACACUUAUGGGGUAAGGCAAAGCAGAAAUAAUAUCGACCUUUGCUUUAUCCACUUCUAUACCCCUGGCCGAAACUACAUGCCCUAAAACAAUGCCAUGAUCCACCAUGAAAUGACAUUUUUCCCAAUUUAGAACUAAAUUCGUCUCAAUGCAUCUCUUCAAAAUUAAAGCUAGAUUAUCCAGGCAUUCAUCAAAAUUAUCCCCAUACACACUAAAAUCACCCAUAAACACCUCAAUAAUCUUUUCUACAUACUCAGAAAAUAUACUUACCAUACACCUCUAAAAAGUAGCUGGAGCAUUGCAAAGGCCGAAAGGCAUCAUCCGGUAUGCAAAAGUACCAAAGGGGCAAGUGAAUGUAGUUUUCUCCUGAUCCUCUGGUGCUAUCGCGAUCUGGAAAUAACCUGAGAAACCAUCAAGAAAACAGUAGUAGACACGACCAGCUAACCUCUCUAUCAUCUGAUCAAUAAAAGGUAGAGGGAAGUGGUCCUUCUUCGUUACAGCAUUCAGACGCCGGUAGUCAAUGCACUGGCGCCAUCCUGUGGGUUUUCUCACCGGGACCAUCUCACCCUCUUGAUUCUCUUCAACGGUUACUCCCGCUUUUUUCGGGACUACUUGCACUGGACUUACCCAAGAACUAUCUGAGAUGGCGAAGAUGAUCCCCACUUCUAGGAGUUUAAGUAUCUCUUUCUUCACCACUUCCAUCAUCAGUGGGUUCAAUCUCCGUUGCGCCUGCCUCACUGGUUUUGCAUCCUCCUCAAGCCGGAUCCGAUGCAUGCAUAAAGAGGGGCUAAUUCCCUUGAUAUCUGCUACGCUCCACCCAAUCGCUUCCUUAUAGUCUCGAAGAAGAUGAAUAAGGUCAUCUUCUUGUCUUGGUGACAGGUGAGCAGAUAUGAUGACUAGUAACGUCUCAUUGUCUCCGAGAAAUGCAUACUUCAAGUGCUUCGGGAAAGGCUUGAGCCCCAACUCAGGUGCCUGCACAAUAGAAGGCAACAAUUUUGCCUGAGUUUCUGGUACAAAGAGAGAAGUAAGCUCAUACCUUGGGGAGAGUGGUGGGAGCGAAUGCAGUGUUUCAACUGUAUGGUAUAGCUCAUCACUUAUUUCUACAUCAAGAGUUGCUCUCAACUCGAGAUGUUUGGCCAAUGCCACUUCCAGUGCAUCGCCCCUAUUCAAUUCAAAUGUGUCCUGUACAAGAGGUUCAAUAAUGCUCAAAGAAAAAAUAGAGUUAGCCUCAUCCGGGUAUUUCAUCGCAUCAAAGAUAUUGAAAUUUACAAUUUCACCAUCAAACUCCAUCGACAAAGUACCCUCAUUCACAUCUAUUUUCGUUCUAACAGUGCUUAAAAAUGGUUUACCUAACAAAAUAGGUGACGUAUUUAAUGCCUUUUCAUCUCCCAUAUCUAAGACAUAGAAGUCUGCAGGAAAAACUAACUCAUUGACCUGUACCAAAACAUCUUCAACUAACCCCUCUGAAUAAGCAUUGGUACGGUCUGCAAGUUGGAUUAUAAUGCAUGUGCCUUUUAAUGGGCCAAGAUUAAGAGAAGCAUAGAUUGUUUUAGGCAUAACAUUAAUUGACGCCCCCAAAUACAACAUUGCUUUCCUAAUUGGGGUACCUCCUAUCUUGCAGGGGAUGGUGAACAUACCUGGGUCUCCACAUUUUGGUGGGAGUUUCCUUUGAAGUAUACCUGACACGUUCUCUCCCACCGCCACUCGUUCAUCUCCCCUUAACUUCCUCUUGUGGGUGCACAAGUCCUUCAAAAAUUUAGCAUAUUUCGGUAUCUGCUUGAUUGCAUCCAACAGAGGAAUGUUGAUCUCCACUUUCCGAAACACAUCCAAGAGCUCUUUUUCCUUCUCCACCUUCUUUGUCUUUUCCAACCUGCAAGGAAAAGGGGUAAGUUAGAGUUAGUAGUGAGUGGAGAGGUGGAGGUUACCUUAGGAUCCUCACGAACACGUCCUUCCUCCUCAAUUUCCUUUUCUAUCUCCUCCUCACUUUUGCUUUUUGAAUUUCUCACUUUAGGCCCUUCCAGUUCCUUGCCACUCCUCAGCGUCAUGGCACUUACAUUCCUGGGAUUUACCUUAGGUUGCGAUGGCAGUUUCCCAUAAACGUGGGACUCCAAGCGGUUAAUGGCAGUUGCCAGUUGGCUUAUUCGAGCUUCCUGGUCCUUCUUGUCCGCUUUGGUGUCCUGCUGGAGCUGCGCGGUAUUUGCUGCUAAGGAUCUGAUCUCCUGGUGAAACUGAGUAGUAGUCGUGGCCAGGCUUUUGACUAGGUCCUCCAAGAAGCUUCCUGAAUUGGAGGAUGAGGGUUGAGAUUUUGGUUGGCAAGGCUGGUGGAAUCCUGGUGGAUGAUUCAGGAAUGAACUUUGUUGUCUGUUCCCAUAACUGAGAUUGGGAUGGUCCCUCCAGCCCGGGUUGUACGUGUUGGAAUAUGGGUCAUACUGCCUGCCGGGCGCGGGCACGCCUCCAGCCAUAUUUACCUGUUCCGCCCCGUCCUCUUGCAGAAUGGGGCACGUAUCCGUACAGUGGUCCAUACUCGUGCAGAUUCCACAUACUUUCGCUCGCGGCGUGUCUCUCAUGGCCAAUUGCCUGACAGCAGAUGUCAACUCUGACAGUUGCUGCUGGAUGGAUGACGUCUCUGCCUCAUUGAUUCUACGGGUAGGAUUGCUUUCACGGAAGCCGAACUGCUGAGAGUUCUCUGCCAUGGAUUCAAUAAGCUCCCACGCUUCCCUUGGUGUCUUGUUCGUCAGGGCUCCUCCACUCGCAGCAUCAAUGAUAUUCCUGUCAGUUGACUGGAGCCCCUCAUAAAAGUACUGGAUCAACAGUUGUUCACUAAUCUAAUGCUGUGGGCAUCUAGUGCACAAUUUGUUGAACCUUUCCCAAUAAUCGUACAAUGACUCUCCGGAAUACUGCUUGAUGCUGCAUAUUUCCUUUCUUAAACUAGCAGCCCGGGAUGCGGGGAAGAAUUUUUCUAGAAAUUUCUUUUUCAAUUGUACCCACGUGGUGAUACUACCUGCAGGUAGGUAGUAUAGCCAAUCUUUCGCUGCAUCCUUGAGAGAGAAUGGGAAAGUUCUAAGUCUUAUUUGCUCCUCAGUGACCCCAGGAGGUUUCAUGCUAGAGCAAACUAUUUCGAACUCCUUGACAUGUUUGUGGGGUUCCUCACCAGAAAGACCAUGGAACGAAGGUAGGAGGUGAAUCAACCCCGAUUUCAACUCGAAUGAGGUAUUCUCCGCCAGAGUUGGGAACGUGAUGCACAAGGGCUGGUGAGUCAGCUCAGGGGUAGCCAACUCCCGUAAUGUAUGGGUGUUGGUCAUACUAAAUUCGUCUUCUAUUGACUCGUUUGCAGAAAAUAAGUGCCCCCCUUUUCGUCUCUUGGUCUCUUGCCUUCGCCUACGCGCUACCUUCUCAACCUCAGGAUCGUAUACUAACACACCUGUGCGAGACGAACGGGGCAAAAACUAGCAAAAAUACCAAGAGAAAAAUAAAGGAAAGAAAAAAAAUAAUAAUAAUAAAAUAAAACAAUAAAAAAACUGAAUUAAAAAAGAAACAAAUAAAUCAGCCGCCAGUCCCCGGCAAUGGUGCCAAAAAUUGACAGGUGUCGAACCUGUGCAAUAAUAAUAAAUAAAACCUAACUACCACCUAAGAUAGUUAAUAAUCAAUUCGAGUACUGGAGCAGGGACUCUAGGUGUGCAAUGGGUUACUUGAUUCACCCUGUUCCCGAAGAGUUUGCUUAAUCCGAUAUACCUGAAUUAAUUAUUUAACUGAAUUCCCUAACUAGUAGACAGUGGUAAGCAGGGUCGUCUCCUCAGGGACUAGCAAGAUAUUUUGUUUCUUUUCAAAUCAAGAUUUAAUGGGGGGGUUUUGGUAUCAACUGCCAACUAAACAAAUUAAAUGCAGAAAAUAAUUAAAUAACAGAAAUACUUAGAGAAACUCUAGCCAAGAGUACACAUCAGAAAUGGUUCAUGCAACUGAUCAUCGAUUCAAAUAUAAUUCCAACAUUUAUUAAUAAAUUAGUUAUAGUUGUCAUGCACACGAUAAACAACCAACCUUUCCUUACUUUUUCGAUAGUUAAGGUACGACCGUUAACUAUUUCUCUAACCCAAAAACAACCCUAGGUACGACCGUAGGAUUUAAUUUUUAGAUUGCAUUAUUAAUUAGAAAGGCUCAAUCCUAGCUAACAAACACGCUACGAGGGUUUAUUUAAGUUAGAUCAAAUAUUCCCCUGACACAAAUCCAAUUAUGCCAGUUGCUACUGGGAUAGAGAUAACGAACAAUUACGGAUUCAAUUACUCCUAUAUAGCAAAAUAGCCUAUGUGAAUAAUUAAUUAUUGCGCACUAAUCAAUCAUACCCAAGACUAUAACAACUAAAAUCAGGGAAUAUAUGAAUAUCAAUUAAUGAAGAAAAUAAUUAAAAACGGUUUAGAUUUCACAGUGAAUGCCGAACCAAUUCGUCAAUUGCCCCCCUGAAUAGAAUCAGAGAAUUAGCCCUCCAUUAAUGAAGGACAAGCUACGCGGGGGAAAUCGGGAUACGUCGCUGUAUCGGACCUUUUUCUUUUGGUCAAGAGCAGAAGACUAGAACAAGAAAUUUUGAUUUCUUGCACUUGUCUCCAAAAGCCCAAGUGUAUGAAAGGCAGAUUGUUCACUGUAGUUGUGGUCAGCAAGAGUGAAAACCAAAGCCAAGAAAAGUCAACAACGGCGGCUCUUGGUUUCUUCUCCCAAUUGCUAGCAAGACAUACGAGAGAAAGGUUCUCCAAUUGAUUGAUUUCGGUCAAAGACAAAUUCACAAACAGUUGGUAGGUCCACAAUUGCGGCUAGCCUUUCCUUCCUUUGUCAGCAAUGUAUUCGAGAGAAAGGAUUCAAUUCUUUGAUGUCUCAAUUUUGUCAAGCCUAAACAAAACUCACCAAAUUUUUCAAAGUCAACCACAGAGGCAAGGUAAUACCGAGUCUAGGUAAAAGGAUCCUGGCUCUCGUCUCCUCCCUCCGUUACAAAGCUACCGCCCCUCUACGAAAGGCCUGACACUCCAAAACCUAAGCCACGCGAGAAUACUAAAUUCUCCCUCAAUUGUGGUCCCCAGUUCAAGGAGAGGAUUUUUUCCCUUUUUGGAAAUUGUUAUUUGUUUUUAAAAUUAAAACAAGACUCCCUCAAAAUAUAAUAAAAUAAAAUCUAUUACAAUUAGAUUUCUUCAGCUUCUCAAGCGGGCCCCACGUACGAUGAAUCUUCCAAAAGCUGAAUUUAAACACUUUUCAGCAUCCAUUCCUGCAAUUAGCAUCAAAACAAAAUAUUAGUAGAAUCCACCCAAUUAAUGAAAAUACUUAGUCAAUUCAUUGUGCAAUAAUGCCCAAAAUACCCACUAAAAUGUACCCUAUCAUUAAGAAAAGUAUCAACAGUCAAAUCUGACUAAGGAUAUUCAUUUUGAAUUAGCGAAGAUGAAACCCAAAUAGUUAAACUUGACUAUUGAAACUCUGAUCACAUCUUGGACCCACAAGUCCAGGGAGUGAGCGUGACAUUAUAUCUUUAGAAGGAUUAAAUAAAUAUUCUUGUUAAUCUUGUGCACCCACUGGAAAAUGUUUCUAGUUCUAGACAUCAUCUUUAAACCAUUUUUAUGAAGAAAAGUACUUCAGGGUUUGGGGCACUUUCAAGUAAGCUCAGCAAAAUUUCCCACGUACAAAUUCAGAGAAUAUCUGCAAUAUCAUAAUCAGAAGCUUCAAGCACUAAAGCUUGAAUGCGAAAAUGGCCAACGGCUGCAAAAAGUAGAGAGCUUGCAUGCGAACAAGAAGUAAUGUCAAGUAUAAAGCUUCUAACAAUGUCCGACUCAUGAGAGGAAAAUUCUCUAAAGCUUAGAAUCAAUGCCAAAAAGUACAUGAACAAGAUAUAAGGAAACCAUGCUAUACCUUGAGAAUGUUUUCAGACAAAAAGAGAGAUUUCACAAUCUGCAUGCGCCCAACAAAUUUAAGAGCAUGCUGAUGAAGUAAAUCAAUUUUCCUUCCAAGAUAACUGGGAGAUCCAACGUGCAAUACUUUUGCAUAUAAAGACUUGAGUUUUCAAAUAAAAUCUACACGAUUCAAUUCUAGUUGAAAUUUUUAAGAUUUGCAGCAUCUACACCAACUUCAUGCUUUCAACUCACAUAAUAGGAUGAAUGUUCAGGAUUGGAUGACUUUGCAGUAAUAGCAAAACAUCUCUACUAUACUAAGGACACCAGAAAGGCAGAGAGGAAAAAGUUUUCAGAGGAGGAGUCAAGAAAUAAAGAUUUUGGGUAUGGAGAAGAGCCCAACAGAAACAAUUCUUCAGGCCAAUGACACCCCUGAAUAAGCCUAUUAACAGUGCCUUAAUCAACAAAUCCAAAGCCCUCCAAGUGCAUGACCUUAACACUUGGUAAAGAAACCAAUUCAGGAAUAAUCAAAUCCAAAUUCCUAUUUGUUUUCAAACUAACUAGUGCUUGGCACGGAAACAUCCUAGGAGUAGAUAUUAAAUACUGGGAAACUACAGUAGUUUUCACUAUUAUAUAGUCUCCCACCAAAAUCACAAGUUCUUUGACAUUAAUUUGAAGCACAGAAGCAAUUAACGGGUCAAUUUGGAAUCUAUGAAUUUCAUCUAAUUUUGCCAGGUACAGACAAAAUUUUUUAAAAGAAGCCCCUUUUCAUGGAUGAAUAACUCGAUCCCAAAAUCUAAAGGAUUAUAGAACCAUCCAAUCAUAGUCAUGUUUGGUGCCUUUAUAGUAAUUAUAUAACAUAAGAUAUAUAUUGGACAGUGAAGUGAAAAGAAAUCUCCAUUUGCUGGACAAGAUUGACAUGGCUGACUGCAGCACUUUUGGUAGGGAAAAACAACAGAAUGUGUAGAAGAAGAGACAUAGAAAGAAGUAAAAUGAAGGCAUACAUACCUGCAGGGAGUGGUGACGUACGUCAAGUGACAUCACACUUUGUAACCAAUGAAUAAGCUCAAAAGCCUGCUGACUACGAAACAACAAGCCACUUUCAGUUCCUUCUGCGUUGUGAUGCGACAAUGAAAUUGUGGCUCUAACAAGAGACUUCAGUUCUUGAAUGAACGCUACUCUUUGAGCAUCAAUUUCAUACACCAAAUCUUUUCAGUCUCGGGACAUUUAGCAUAAACUUAUGAUUUCCAAAUCCACUGACUUCAAGAUAUUUUUAGGCUGUUACGCUCAAUUACAUGGUUGUAGCGUCCUCCCAAACUAGUAAGUCUUAAGUUUUUUCAAUGAAGGACUAGAUAAAUCAACCACUUCAAUUAUAACAGACAAACUAUGGAAAACUAAAUACAAUUCUCCAAGAGAUGGGCAUCCACGAAUAAGUCUUGGAAAGUAAUUUUCAUCUACUAAUCCCACAGGUCCUGUCAAGUGCAACACCUUGAGAUUUGGCAAAAAAACUGAAGUGGGAACAAGAAGAUUCACUUGCCUUGAUAGUUUCAUGGUUACCAGAGUUUUGCAAAUGAAUAUUUCGAUAGGAAACAAUCGUCACACUGAAGUGCAGCAGAUAUAAAGAAUUCCAGCCCCAUCUAAAAUCUUUCCACCAGCCUAUCGACACAGACACUCAAUUUUCUAAAACAAAAGUAGUUUGAGCUGAGUGUUGUUACACAUGGCGUCGCCCGGACUCGAACCGGAGACCUUCAGUGUGUUAGACUGAAGUGAUAACCAACUACACCACGACACCAGACGUUUGAACGGUUGUCUUGUCCUCCUAAGGAAUUAUAAUUGAGACAACAAAAGCGUGUUUUUGAUCAAGUAACUUAAUUACCGAGAAAUGUAUUAGUAUAUUAGUCUUGUGUAAUAUGAUGAGUAGACUUUGUCAGUUUGAUUUCCAGGUAGGGAGAAGCAAACCUGCAUAUUAUUUAACAACUACACCACGAGGAAAAUUUUAACCAAAAAAAGUGAGAACCUGUAAUUGACUGGUGGGUAAUGCAUUUGGGAUUAGCUAAUUGAGAAAACAGACCCCAUUUCAGCAGGCUUCUCAUGUUGACGAUGAAUCUUUUGAUAGAUCUUUUUUUUUUUUUUUUUUUUUUGUCGAAACGAUAGGAAUAUAUUGAUUGGAAAAGGAUUAUACACAGGCGAGACUAGCUCGAUGCUAUACAAAGUGCAUUUUGCACUAUAGAUUGGGGUUAACCCAUUCUACAUCAAAAUAAUUGCUCAAGGCUUGAGCACUAAACAAACAACUUAGAUCAUUCCUUCUAUAUUUUCCUAUGCAAAAGGAGCAUUUGUAAAACAUUUUACUUAGCUCGCGGAUGUCCUCUAUUAGGGUAGCUAACCACAAGCCAACUGUUUUUGUUCCAUGUAUUUGCUGCAGCAGGUCCAUAUUAGGAACUCCAAUACAUACCAGCCUCCAUCCUUGUUCUGUUGCUUUGAUCAGGGCCCAUUUAACACCUUCAGCUUCAUGUUGAACUUGGUUUGAGCUUUCUCUUUCUCUCAUUUUCCAUCCCAUCACAUCCUGCCCUCUACAAUCAGCUGCUACAAUACCAUAUCCAAUGGAUUUUGAUGCCUUGUUCCACUUGGUUGCUAUUCUUAACUGCAUUCCUGCUAUUCUGUUGUCUGGAGUUUGGGUCGGUUCUUGUUCAUUCCUGUGAAGUGAAGCUGUUGUUGAUUCAGUACUACAGCUCCUUGUCUUUUUGGUCCCAUCGUUGAACUCCAUCCAUGCAUUCCAGGCUUUGGUGAUUACUUGUCCUGGCUCAUGUGUUUUGUUGUUAAACUCUUUAUCAUUCCUACUUUUCCAGAUAUGCCACAGAAUGUAAGCUGUGAGAGAUAUAUGGUCUAUCCCUUGAUCUCUUUCGAUUGCUUCAGAUAAUGCCAUCCACCAUCUGUUGAAAUUCCCAGUCAGCUCCUGGAUCCCAUCCCAUUGUACUGGUGCAACUUUCCAGACCUCCUUAGCUUUCUUGCACUUCAGAAGAAGAUGUUCCAACGUUUCUAGCUCCUCCCCACAGCCUGAGCAUAUAGGGUCUCCUUUAGACAUUUUCCUCCAGAUUAAUUCCUUGAUUAGAAUUGCUUCUUUCAGGCUUUUCCAUAUGAAAAUCUUAACUUUGUGACUGAUUUUUAGUUUCCACAGCACUCUCCACAUGUCAGUCCUCCUUGGUCUAUAGCUAGCCUCAAUUCUUUCUCUUUCCCCUCUACCCUCCUGUUCAUUCUUAGCUUGGAUUACCUUGUAGCCUGAUUGCACCGUAUAUUCCCCUUUCUGAUUUUCUGUCCAGAAGAUAUUGUCCUCUCUUCCUGUGAUGCUUAUGGGAAUCUUGAGAAUGUUUUCAGCAUCCUCCUUUUUGAAGUUUUUGAAAAUGAGGUUUCUGUUCCACCUGUAGCCUUCUAUCAAAUCAGCAACUUUCUGAACUUGGCAGUCUCCUGGCUUAGUUGUGAUUGGCCUCCCUAAAUGUUGGUUUGGGAUCCAUUGAUCAUCCCAGAUUCUAGUAGAAAGGCCAUUCCCUAUCCUUUUCGAAUUCCCCAUUGAAGCUCUUCUCUUGCACUCAUAAUGCUUUGCCAAAACCAUGAGGCAUUGUUGGGGGUUCUGGAAUCCAAGACACUACAAUUUGGGAAAUACUUACUUUUCAGAAUUCUGCUGGAUAACAGAUUUGGAUUUCUGAUGAUUCUCCAAAUCUGUUUAGCCAGCAGAGCUCUAUUGAAACUUUGAAUGUCCUGGAAUCCCAUACCACCUCGUUUUUUCUCCCUUGUCAGCUGCUUCCAAGCUACCCAGUGCACCUUAUUCUUGUUGUCUUUUUCUCCCCACCAGAAAUUGGAAAGCAUAGAGCUUAUCUCUUUGCACAACCUGCAAGGUAGUUUGAAACAAGCCAUUGUGUAAUUAGGCAUUGCCAUAGCCACAGCUUUGAUCAGAAUUUCUUUCCCAGCUGAGCUUAGAAGCUUGUUUUUCCAACUUAGCAUUCUUCUUUUGAUGUUAUCCUUUAUGUAACCAAACAGCUGUCCCUUAGACCUUGAAAUCACCAUAGGCAGCCCUAAGUAUUUCCCUUGCGAUACUGGUUGGAUCCCUCCUAGUUCCAUACACACUUCCUCCUUAGUUGCCACAUCCACAUUUUUGCUAAAAAACACACUGGACUUGUCUAAGUUAACCAUCUGCCCAGAUUCUUGUUCAUAUACCUCUAGUAUCCUCUUCAGCUCCUUUGCUUCUUGAGAGUUAGCUUUGCAAAAAAUCAGGGAGUCAUCAGCGAAGAAAAGGUGGGUUAUAGAGGGGCCAUGUCUGCUUAUCUUCAUGCCUGCCAUGCUUCUUGUCUGCGUUGCUUUCUUCAGUAGACUGGAGAAGCCUUCUGAGCAUAUGAGGAAUAAAUAAGGUGACAGAGGAUCACCUUGCCUUAAUCCUCUUUCAGGUACAAUGUAUUCCUUACACUCUCCAUUGAUGUUAAAAGAAAAGGAGACUGUAUUUAUGCACUUCAUUAUCCAAGUUAUCCAUUUCUCACAGAAUCCCAUUUUUCCCAUAAUAUCUUGCAAAAAUUGCCAUUCAACUCUGUCAUAAGCCUUAGACAUAUCAAGCUUCACAGCCAUAAAUGCAUCCUUAUCAUAUCUUUUAUUUUUGAGAUGAUGCAAGUACUCAUGAGAGGUAAUGAUGUUAUCUAGAAUGUGUCUCCCAGGGAUGAAAGCAGAUUGAUUAAUGCUAAUGCAAUGAUGCAGAAUAGGUUUGAGCCUAUUGACAAGGAUCUUGGCAAUAACUUUAUAAAUCACACUACAAAGGCUAAUGGGUCUGUAUUGCUUGAUAUUAAUGGGACAUGGGACCUUUGGGAUCAAGGAAAUGAUGGUAUGGUUAAUAGCCUUUAGCAUAUUGCCGGAAUGAAAAAAGCUUUUAAUAGCAUUUACCAGGUCUCCUUUGAUUAUAUCCCAGAAUUUUUGGAAAAAAAGGGGGGACAUCCCAUCUAUGCCAGGAGCCUUGUUGCUAUCUAUAGAGAAGAUUGCAGAUUUGAUUUCCUCUUCUGUUACUACCUUAGUUAAAUCCUGGUUCAUAGCCUCAGAAAUGGAUUUUGGGAUUCCAUCUAUAAUCUCAUGAUUACUACUCUCAGUAGAUUUGGUGAAGAGUUGCCUGUAGUAGCUACCAAUUUCAGUUCCCAAUUCAUCCUCAUUUUCUGUCCAUGUCCCAUCUUCCUUUUGUAGUUUCUGCAUUCUGUUAACCUUUCUUCUACUGUUUACCUGUGCAUGGAAAAUUUGAGUAUUCUUGUCUCCUUCUUGUAGCCAUUUGAGUCUGGCUUUCUGGCUCCAAAACAUUUCCUCAUCCCUGUAAGCUUCCUUCAGUUGCAUCUUGAGCGAAGCCCUUUCCUUUCUGAUACUUACCAGUGAAGAUCCUUGAAUCUGAUCCAACUUUUCCUUUAUCCUCUCAAUCCUUUCCCUAGAGUUCCUAUUAUUAUUGUUGCUCCAUCUAAGUAAGGCAAUUCUACAAUUCCUCACUUUUGUCUUAACCUGAAACAUCCUGGACCCCUCUACCUUCUUGUCCCAAACUUCCUUGAUAACUUGAAGUAUACCUUCUCUUUGAAGCCACCUUUUGUCAAAAAAAAAUCUUUUUUCCUGUUCCUUUCCAUGGGGUUAGUAUCCAGAAUUAAAGCACUGUGAUCAGACGCAUGGGACUUCAGGUGAGUGCAUUUUGCCUUUCCAAAGUUCAGAUUCCAUUCUACACUGCUCGGUGUUCUAUCAAGCCUCUGUUUAAUCUCACCAUCCCCUUCCCAAUUAUUACUCCAUGUCCAAGGCUGUCCUUCAUAGCCAAUGUCGAUCAGCUGAUUUUCAUGGAUAAAGUUCCUGAAGUCAGUGGAGGUCCAUUCUUCUCUUAUUCUUCCUCCCGACUUUUCCUCAUUGGAGCAGAUAUCAUUGAAAUCUCCUACAAUUAUCCAUUUGUUACCCCAUAAAUGUUUCCUUCUUUGAAUGACCGACCACUGUUGUUUCCUUAUUGAGUCAUCACAGCUGGCAUAGAUCCCAACUAUCCACCAGUCACUAUUGCUGCUUUGGUCCUCUACAUGAGCCUCUAGAGUGAAGGCCGUGUGUUGUACCUGCAGUAGUUUGGUGUGUGCACUCCAGUAUAGGACCAUACCUCCUGCUUUGUCCAUCGAUUCCACUAUAUAGCUGUGCUCAUAAUUUAGGAUCCUCUGGACCUUUUCCAUAUAUCGUUUCCUAUUCUUAGUUUCACAAAGAAACAUCACUUCUGGGGAGAGGAGUCGCUUGUACUCCUUCAAGUGGGGAACUGUCAAGGGGCUCCCUGCACCUUGGCAGUUCCACACCAUAACCUUCAUGGAUCACUUGGGGUCCAGUGAAGGCUGGCACCCACCCCUUCCUUUAAAACUUCUGUUUCCAUUACUUGGUCUCCCCCUUUGCUUUUUUUCAGGAUGUGUUCGCUUGCUCAAGAUUCUGUCAUAUCUUCAUCUUCCACAGCCAAUUUCCUUUUGGCCGUUCCUACUUGGCUCAGACAAUUACUGUCAAUCUGCUGCAAAGCCUUCCUUCCUCUUCCCAUUGAUACCCUUGCUGUUUUUCUUGUUUUUCUUUCUUGUCUCUGAGGAUGUUCUCCUUGAGGGCCUUUGCUGUUUUGGCCCUCUUGUUUACCUUGUACCUCACUAGGCAUAGUACGGUAACUGCCAUCUUCUUGGAUAUUCAUAUCAGCUUUUUGCACUGGUUCUAGCAGCUCCCUAUCCAUCAUUACCUCAUCAUCUCCAUUAAUUUCUUGGAGUUCUGGUUUUUUUGCAUCUUUCCAUCUCUUUUAGAAGCUCCAUCAUCUUGUUACUGCUGGAUUGUUGAGCUCCUGCCUAGACUUUCUCCAAAGUUAUUUCCUCCACAUUGUCCCUAUCUGCCUGGUUUUCUACUCUCUUUUCCUUGCUAACCAAAGCCUGGACCUGUAGUUCCACAUUCAAAUUACUUGGACUAUGUUCCACUCUCUCCUUUAGUUUAUUUAUUCCCUUGUCCCUUUCUUCCAGAAAUUCCUUUCCCAUUGGAGUUGUGGACUCAUAUUCCUCUUCCUGCCUUUUUGAUUCUUUCCUCACCAGUUCUCCGUUUUCCACCCCCUAGUAUUGCCUCUUAGAUGGAGAUUUGUAAUAGUUCUUCUCCUUUUGGGGUGAUGAUUUUCCAAAUUGUACUCUCAUCCAUGGUCCAUACUGAUUCUCUUGCUGAUCAUUCCCUACUAGUAUCUUAGACUGACAUCCCUUUUCACUGUGGCCUAUAAUCCCACAUGUGUAGCAGAAAUCAGGACACCUUUCAUAUUUGAACUUAAUCUAUCGUUUUUGACCAUUCAUUUUGAUUGUUGUUCCACGAAGCAGAGGGUGGAAUAUGUCAGCCAUGACCAAGGCCUUCAUAUGCUUUCCUUCUUUGCCUCCAUUCUGUGGGAUAACUACUUCCCUGACUUCCUUAAACACUACACCUACUUUCUUCCUACCUCCUUGGAGAUGCAAUGUAAGGGAAGAUUCCACAUUUGAACCCAAAGUGGUGCUAUACUGAAGGCAUUAGGAUCGUCCUCAAUCCCCUCAUACCACCUACUCAGCACAAGUAUCUGGUUAUCUAAAAUCCAAGGCCCUCCAUUGAUUAUCCUUUCUCUAAUAUCCUCCCCUUGAAUUCCGAAUUGGAAGAAAUUUGGCCCUAGUUCAGUUACUUUGAGCUCUUUCGGAUAACCCCAAGCACUUGCCACAAAAUUUUUAACCCCAGUGUAGUUAGCUAUCUUAUCACCCCUGAUUCUUCCCAACAAAUUGGUAUGACAUUCCUGCCUACCUGUGCGGGCAUCCCCUGCAUCCAGAUCAGUCACACUGUAUUCAUGGCUAUUUAAAGCAAACUUUUGCAUGAUUUCAGUCAACUCUUCAGCCAUUGUAGUAAUAUGAUAUUUAGAUGGAAACCCACACUCUCUGAAAUAUGAAAAGGAUCUAACCAAGCUUAUACAGAUGCGCACUCAAAUCUGCAAACUUCCACUAGGUAAAUGCCUUUCUGGGAGAAACACAUACACGGAAGACACCAAAGAAGAAGAAAGGAAACGAUAAAAGUAACUAAUGCAGAGGAAAAAGUUAAGGGAUAAAACCUAAGAGAACCUCAGACAUUAAAGCAUGCAUUUAUGGCUGUAAAACCUGUUCAGCGCCGGUCCAACUUCUUAGCUCCGACCAGCUAUAAAUAGUAUGUCCGAAGCUCCUGGACCCUGGCACCUUUUGUUCCGACACCCACCAACAUUAGCACCUGAUCUUGUUUGGAUUUGCGGACAGAUCCACGUUGAUUGGUUACAAGAAUUUGAUUAUUAGUUCCUGGUCUGAAUCUCUGUUUUUGGAUUUUUGAAAGUUUGAAAAGUUUGGAAAGUUUGCAGAGUUGGAAAGUUUUGGCUCCCACUAUUGGGGGGAAAAGCUCUCGCAGAGAGAGAAAGAGCUCUCAUGUGAGAGAAGUCGCUUGAUAGAUCUUCUUCGGUCUCCCCGAAUUAGUUGGAGAACCAUGGAAAGGCGCGAUGGAAUAUUCCUUCCUCACUUCACUUCUCUUCCGGAAAUAGUCUACAGUACAGACUACUAGUUAAAACUUCAAAGGCCGUCUGAUUUGUUGAAGACUUGAAGAAAUAUAAAAGGUUUAUUGCCCUUUAUUCCCUGUAUUCUAUGGGUGUAGUCACAUUUCCCCUCCUAAUAUUGCACCAUUUAUCAUAGUUUUUCAUAGUUGAAAGUCGAGCCAAUCUACUUGAUACUCGAAGUCGGAUUUAACUUGACCUUGUCGAAUUUCGUUUUGACCUGGUUUGGAAAUUAAUUAAACAAAGCAUGAAUAGCGUGACUUGUUUUUGGUUAAUUGUGCUGUGCAUUUUUCAACUAUACUGAGAUGGAACUUUUUAAACCCUAAAAUUAAAAUAUAAGUAAAAUUUAUACUGUUUGAAGUUAAAAAGGGACUAAAGUAUCUAAUCUUAUAUUUCAGGACAAAUUGUAUGCCUAAGUUAGACCGAUUUUAUAGUUUAAAAACUAAAAUAUCUCAUUUUAAAAUUUAAGUAGUAAAGAGAGAAUUUGGUUAUAGUUGAAAGACGCAAAAUAGAAUUAACUCUAUUCUGUUUGAACUUUGGCUCAAUUAACAUUGUUUAAAAUUUAUGUGUAAAAAAUUCAAACAAUUCAAAUUUGUCUUGAAAAAUGUUUGUUUUAGUUCAGUCUUGAUUAAUAUUUAAUCCAAGCUUGAAAUAAUUAACCAAAAUUGGCAAUUUUUUUAAGAUAAGGGGACAAAGAACAAAAAAGACAAACUAUUCAUCCUCAAUCUACUUAAUUUUUUUGCGUCUUUCUCCGUCCUCAUUAAUGAAUGUGUGUAGAAAAACAAAUAGUAAGCCACUUUAAUCAACUGAACUCAUUCCUUUUCAAGUAAUCUUUGGAUUGAUUUUGGUAACUUGUGUGUUUCACUAAUUUUCUUUUUCUAAUCUGUUGCAGAGUUUGACUAAUCUUCAUGAUAAAACUGAAACAGAUUUACUACUAUCUUUUGGGUUGUGACAAUGAUUUGGUGGCAAUCGUUAUUUUAAUCUUGAAUUUUUUUUGUUGUUGAAAUUUGAUUGAUUAGCAUCAACUAAAGUUCUUAGCUCUAAAACUUUUUGAGGAUUAAUGAUUUUUUGGCGCUUUGAUUUGAUGUAAUUAUAGAAAUUAUACGAUCAACUAAAGUUCUUAACUCCAUGGAGAAGAACCUAAGAAAUUGUAUAUCAUUGAUGAGCCCUUGUAAACUCGUCAGCUGAAAUUUUUUUACUAAUCUGUUUCUUUUGUUUGUUAAAGAAAGAAAUGAGUCCUUCUCUCACAAAAAUUGUGGCUAUUGAUAUCUAUCACAAACAAUACAUCUUUGAAUUGAGCCUUGUGACCUUACUGUAGUAUCCCACUAUCCAUCAUCCAAUCCAACAGUGGCAAUUUUAACACUGCAAUCGGAAAGCCCAAAUUAAGUAAUAAAUUGUUAGGGUACUCACUUCCACUAUACUCGUCAAGUAGCUAUGUACCAAACACGUUGUUAUUUUGAGAAAAAUGUAGUUUUGGUAUCCAAACUUAGAUGAGCAGUUUUAAUCUUUAAACUUUGGAAGAAAAUAAAUCUGGUACCGAAACUUUCAACUUUUGUGCAUAUUUAGUACUCUUGAUAGUUUUUUUCUAAAUUGCUAUUUGAAAGACUCAUGUGAUAGUCACAUGUCUAGUAACUAUUAAUAAAAAAUUGUCAAAAAAAUGUAAAAUAUAAUUUUGAUUAAAUUAUUAGUUCUGUCACAAGGAUAUUUUACUUGAUAAAAUCAUUAGUCCUUAACUUAGUACUUAAUGUCAGAAGGAUAUUUUGCGUAACACUUAGUGCCAGAAGAAUAUUUUACAUUUUUUCUAGCAUUUUUUAUACAAUAAUUGUUGGACAUAUGACUAUGACAUAAAUUUUUUCAAUAGUAAUUUGGGAAAAAUCCUUCAAGCGUACUAAAUGUGCUCCAAAAAAAAAAAAGAGAAUGGAGACAAAAAAAUUUAGCAUAGUAGAGGGUAUUUUUGUCUUUUAGGGUUCCACUGACAAAAAAUAAUUAGAGUAUACCUUAAAUGAAUAAAUUAUAAUUAACCCAACUUUUUAAUUACACAAAAAAUAAGCAUAAAUAAUGUUAUCAAUAUUGGAGGGAUACAAAAGUCCAAUUUUACGUUGCUGCAAGGCCAGUACAUCAAGUUGAGCCCAAUUAAUUGAAUCCCGAUCCGACCUGUUAAUGGAAACCCAAUACAAUGGCUGUUUGAAUUUCCCACGGCCGAGGAAGAAAAUAGCGGGAAAAAAAGAAAGGAUUUCUGAACUCUAAAAAGUAGGAUUUUCUCAUUCCCAUUCCUUCUUGAAAUAGUCGAAUUCAAUCAAUCGCAUUCUCCAAUCAUCAUCAACAUUGAAGAGACAUUAGCAACGCUUCGAUUUAGGGUUCGUUCUCUAUUCUUUCUUCUUCUUGGUUGGAUUUUGUAAUUUGCUAUUGUUUUGCCUCCCACUACCUGGGCUUCAGUUCUUUUGCAGAAAAAACAUAAACUGGAACUCAGAAGUUGAAGACCAAUGGCAUCUGACUAUAAUAAUUGACUACAAGCUAAGAGCAAUAAAUCAAGAACGAAAAGGGAAUCAAAAUCCAGGAUUGUUCAUGGCUGCAACAGCAAGAUAGGAAAAGCCACGCAAGUACAAAAGAGGAAGAAGAGAGCAAUGGAUGCACAGAGUAGAUGGAGAGCGAUAGAAACUAAAUUGAAGCGUCACAAUAAUACUAUGAAGAUUACUGCAAUUUCAAGAACUGGAAUUGAUUGGAUUAGUGCUGAGGUUAAUAAUUCAGAUUUGAGCAAAAAAAGCUCAUGUCCUGACUUUGGAAAUCUACGGAGGAUGACGCCAACCAUGGUUACAAAAGCUAUCUCCGGUCAGCAGACUCUCAAGGACGCUUUAUGCUCCGUGAUAAAAACCAGCCGAUGUGCAAAUAUUAUCUCAAAAGCAGAAUCUGACAGGGUUGAUCUCCAGCAAGAAAGGGAAGAAUGAAAACACUAAACUCUGAAGAGGAGAAGGCUGCACCAAGGAGGGAGAGGGACGUAGAGCAGUUAAAGAAAGAGGCUAAAUUGGUGGAAAGAGAGAGGGGGAGAGAGAGAUGGAAGCUGCCAGGGUUACUUUGGAGAUGAUGAAAAGGAAAGUAGAGCUCGAGCUCGAGGACAAUCUGAUGAUUCUCAAGGAACUCGAGAUGUUAAGCGGAUGUUCUCUCACCUAUGUCCUCCGCAGGUAUUAACCUGUCAUGGUGCUGAGAGUCCUGAAGAAUGGCAGCAUUGUGAACCCUUUAGAACAGCUCGGGUUGCAUGUGAAGGAGGAAUUCUUGGAGGAUGACGAUGAAACAUAUUUCUGAUUUGGAAAGCAGAAGAAAGCAUAGGCAAUCACAUGUGAUGACAUUCGAUCCUUGUCACAAGGUCAUAUGCUGAGAGUCCUGAAGAAUUGCAGCAUUGUGAACCCUUUAAAACAGCUUGGGUUGCACGCAUGGUUCAAAGACUCGGCCGAGUCGUUAUCAAAGACCGAGAUACGUGAUUCGCCGAGACGUCACCGUGAAGGGUUGAAACGGCCGAGUCUCACCGAAUCACUCCGAGUCAUCCUGAGUCAACUCAAAUUUUUAUUAUUUUUACUAAUUUUUUAAUUAUUUUUGUUUAUCAUAAAUUUUACAAUUUUUAGAAUAUUAAAUAUUUCAAAAAUUGGCGUCUCGCCGAGACCGCGACCGAUAUGGAACGGUCCAGGCCGCGACCGUAACUGCGACCGCGACUUUGAACCAUGGUUACACGUGAAGGAGGAAUUCUUGGAGGAUGACGAUGAAACAUAUUUCUGAUUUGGAAAGCAGAAGAAAGCAUAAGCAAUCACAUGAGAUGACAUUCAAUCCUUGUCACAAGGUCAAACACCUUUCAAAAUAUUUAACAAUAAAAUUCUGAAAUAACUGGUCAUAUGUAAAUGAUCUCGAGACACAAUCGUUAGAAACAACAACCAGGAAACCUCCCCUUACACAAAAUCUUUAAAAGACAGACACAAAAUCCAAAACUGUUUGCAGGAGACCCUUUUUUUUUUUUUGUGCUUCCUCUUGGUUGUCAGGAGAAUGAAAAGGCCUAGGACACAUAGAGAUGGAUAUAAUUUACCGGGAGAUUUUCAUAACUGCAUAUGGAAUUCAUCAACUUCUCCUCCAAAUUCUUUUGUUGAGCACAAUCUGGUAAACCUCGCAAAGCUUUGAGGCUUUCUUCAACGACAAUAUCCUAUUCCAAUCCUCUGACAAGGACUUCAAACAUUGCUGUUGUCUAGAAAGAGACACCUUCUUCAAAGAAUUACCAUUCUACAAAAGUAGGAUGGAAGUUUCAGUGAACUUGUAGAUGUGUUAUGGGUCGAUGUUCAUAAAUUAUGGAAAAAAUUUUUAUUGUAGGCAAAAUUAUGAAUUUACCGAGUUCGUAAUUUCACACCAUCUCCUAGUACCAAUUGUUCCUCUUCCUCCUGGAACUGGAGCAAGAUGUUAAAGUUGAGGUCCAUUGCCAGGAAAUGCAUUCAAAUCGUAGUAGGAGAUGGGCAGAUGACUCACUUGUGGCAUGAUUGGUGGCACCCAGUUGGACCUCUGAUUCAAGUGUUUUUUGCUUGCAUAAUUCACUUGUUCAGAAGCUCUGAAAAUGCCAAAGCAUCCUCUGUUAUUCACAAUGGUGCAUGGGCUUGGCCCACAGGUAGAAGGUACACAGGGGAAGUAGUGCAGUUGGUAACUGCUACCCCGCCUUCACUGGUUCCUGUGCCAGGCCAACUUGAUGCUGCUACUUGGAUUGUUGAUUCUAAAGGAUGUUAUACCGCUAGAUCUGCGCACAAGCAGUUUACUACUCCUGGCUCUUCUGUUUUUCGGAGCAAAAUGGAACGGGGACAAAAGCAUGUUCUGAGACAUACUUUCAUAUUGUGGCUGGCUUGUAAGAACAGAUUAGCCACUAAGGACUGUUGACAUGGGGGAUGCCAGUGGAUGCUUGAUGUACUCUGCGUUCAGCUGCUGAUGAAUCCAUUGAGCACAUACUUUUUCUAUGUCCCUUUUCAGCCUCCAUCUGGCUGUGUGUGCAACGGAAAUGCAUGAUCAACAGGCACCCACAAGGCUGAAAUGAGGAGCCGCAAUGGCCGUAUGUCCUUUUUCUAUCCAAAUUUCUCAAAAUAGCUCAGGGAUCUAGGGCAUUAAACAUCAAAGUAUCGAUGCAUAAAGCUAAAUAAGCAAGUUUACAAGAAAAACGUGAUUAAACAUUUAGGCCCCUUUAAGGAACUAUUAGACUGUGCAUUCCUGUUAGGAAUAGGCAACAUUCAUCACAUUAGAGGCUCUUCCAUGAUUGUCACAACAAAUACAAUUAUAACAUUUUAGAUGCACAUUACUUCAUUCUGUUCAAGACGAAGGUAGUGAGCAGCAUCCAUGUCUCACAAUACCAUCACAGAAGGAUUGUCAUGCUAAACAUUUUCCAUUUUCUUACUUUUCAUAAUCCCCCCAUGCUUUGCUUGCCCUAAUUAGUUACAAAGUCGUCAUUCUGCAGUCAGUGUCCAGAUUUUCUAGAUUUCGGCAGGUACAGGUUUCAACCAAAAGAAUACAACUAAAAUGACAGAAACAGGAAAAGAAGCCAAGACAUAGAACCUUGCAAAGUAGCCAACUCUAUGUGUUAGCAGAUCAGCAAGUAGAUAUACAAACAGGGGCUAAAUUUCUGAAAUCUUAUGAUGUCCUGUAAACUCAAGCUGAAAUUCCACACUAUUUCUUGAGGAAAAAGCUUAUCCAUAAGACCAAGAUACAAAAGAAAAAGCCUAAAGAGCAGUAAGUUCUAAGGCCAAAACUGCACUAUCCACGCCCUAUAUCUGUGACACGGCUAUUUUCUUCAUGUUUAGGUUGACCCAAGAUUCGCGACACUGACAUGUAAGAGAAAAAUAAAAUUGCAGAUGUGUAAUAAUACUAAUUGCAUUGACAAACUUAUCUUGAGCAAGAAGCCAUCAUUAACCAAAUUCCAUUUAAAACCUUGGGAUUAAAAAUCACAGCAAGUCUAGCAGCGGGCAGCUACUGGACUGAUGAUAACUAUUUCCAAUUCCUCAAUUUUUCUUUGUCCCAACAAAUGUGCAAUCUCAGUCAUUCACUUUUUUUAAUUUUUAUCACUCAUAUUCAAAACAAAUGCUCCCACCAAUGCAUAGACUUUACAGUUAAAUACCCAAAAUAAAUGACUAACUUACAUUCUGAAAGAGCAACAAUAGCCUAAUAUACUUGUGUUGUAUCUAUAGCUUAAGUAUCAAGAUUCAAUUUGCCAUCGAAAUACCAACACCAAGUGAAAGAUAUAAUUAAAUUCAGAACAUUUUCCUUACCAGAUUAAUUACAGAACAGUCCGUGACCUAAUGUUUUGUUUUCUGCUGGACCAUCAAAGGAAGAAAAAAUCUAUAUUUCUCAUAGAUUUCAAUUUCUUGAGGGGUAAAUUGCAUCAUCAAGAAUUCCACCCUGCCUUGCGAAAAGCAACAUAAACUCGAGCCUCAGAAAGAGGUAAAGGAAUUAUCCUAAACAAAGUGACUGAAACUUGAACGAAUAAAGGCAAAGGGAAGAGAGAUUACCUUGCAAGAACAGCGGAUUUGGAGAUAAUUCUGAUCUUGGGACGAUAAUUUUUACGUUUGUGAAGUUACAAGGUUCCCUGCUGUCCCGCUGAGCUCAGGAGAGGUGCUGUUGCAAGCCAUAAGACUAAGAGAGAACCAUUCGGGCUGUGACACUCCUGCAACAAUUUUUUGGCCCAUUAAAAGCCAUCUUUUUUUUUUUCUUAAAUAAAAGUGGACAGUCUCGUCUUUUAAUUUAGGGCUGCAAACGAGCCGAAUCAAGUCAAACUUUAAGCUAAUCGAGCCGAGUCUCAACUAAAUUUUACCAAGUUCGAACUCGAGCUCGAGCUCGAUGAGCCGGCAAUUUAAAUCUCAAGCUCGACUCAAAUCAAUUCGAACCGAGCUCGAGCUCGAAAAAAAUAAAAAAUAAUUAUUUUAUUUUUUAAAAAAUAAAUAAAAUAAUAUUUUUUCUUAAUAAAUAAUAAAAUAUUAAAGAUAUAUAUGUAAUUUUACUAUUAAAAUAAGAAAUAUAUAUACUUAAAAUAAAAAAAUAAAUAAUAUUAUAUAUAUAUACUCGAGCUCGUGAGCUAACGAGCUUAAUAUUUUGAGCUCGAUUUCGACUAGAACCAGCUCGAGCUCGACUCGAGCGACUCGCGAGCGGCUCAAUUCGUUUGUAACCCUAUUUUAAUUAUAUAUCCUUCUCAUGCCACUUAAAUCAUCCCUUCUUUCAAUCCAUGUCUUUUCCAAAUUAUCUUAUGCAAUGUUUUAUUUUUGGUUCUUUUUUUCGUUUUAUGUAUUGAGGUCGAUUUUAUUUGAAAAGUAAAAACUUUCGUUAAAUCAAAUCUUUUUUUUUUGGAUGUCUCUUUACCACUACUUCUACAAUGUAAGUUGGUAGGUCAUGUUGUGCAUUUUUUUGCAGCCAUUAAAUUGAUUUUUUAGAGGGUUAAUGUCUUCUCUAAAAUGCAAUAAGAGUUAUUUUUAGUAAACAAUGAUAUAAAACUCCAAGCAUAUAUUUGGCAUUUCAUUUAAUAGGGCUGAUAAAGAAUGAUUGGCUGAUAAAGAAUGAGUAAACUUGAAAAUGUGGGUAGGUAUUAGACUUUUAAUCGCUCAAAAACCAAAUGUGAAGAGAAUUUUGGUGAAACAGUAUUUGAAAAUUGGAAAAACUUGGUGCUUACCGUUCCUUUAUUUAUUUUUUUUGGAGAUUUUCUUUUGAUUGCAAGUAUUGGGAUAACUCAACGCUUUAUUAUCUUUGGAGAUUCACCAUUUCUUUUUCUUUAUUGCAAAAAAAGUUUGUACUGCACAACUUUUCCUUUAGAAAAUUUUUUUAAAAAAUUUUUUUAAAAGUGUUGGUCCAAUUAGGAUGACCCAUUUGGCAAUAGUGGACUCGUGCAGCUCUAGCCUGUUUUCCUUCCACUGCGAGGAGCGGGAAGUUCUCGUUGCUCUGUCAAGCCAGCCUCACGCAGUAUCCUCCACUUUAGGGGCCAAGUGGUCCAGGCCUCCGCUCAAACCACAUGGCUCAGCUCUCCGCUUGGAAUGGGCAGGCCGGUGACUAGCUCCACAAGGCCUACCAUCUGGGCCAAUCCAACGUUCCAACACUUUAAUACCCCCACUCGGGUCACAAGCUCGCGCGACCAAGCUCAGCGAUGGGCUGCUCCUAGGCAUCUGUUUAUUAAGUGACGAAAAGAUGGAAUUUCUUCGAUGUGGGACGUAUUUAUUUUCUUUUUCUUUCACCAGUUCUUAUGUGUUUCUGGGAAACGCUUCAAUGGAACCAAAAGAAAUGUGCUGGAUGUGUGUGUGGCUAUUGGAGUUCAAUAAGUGCUGGUAUUAUUGAGGAUGGAAAUGCAGGCUUUAAGAGAAGGUUGAUUGCUGCCAAAUUACCAUUAGUAACUAAAAAGAAAUUGAAGUAAAACUAGUACUCAUCAAAUUGGUAAAUCUUAAUCGUCAAAAGGUUUGAAUGUCUAUGGAAAACCUCCAACGAGGAUUCCUUAAAUUUCUUGAGUAUGGCAAAAGAAGCUUUUGUUUUUGACAUUCUUGCUCGAUUGCCUAACGCUAAGGGCACCUUAUCUUUGUCAGAAUUACUCUACUAAACCUUCGAAAUGGUGGAUGAAUGUAAGAAUGGUAGAUUAGUUAACCAAAGUAAUAGUCUCACCAAAGUAAUAGUCUUCAAAAGCAUAAAAAAAAAGAAAAGAAAAGAAUGACCACAUUCGAGCUCAAAACACCAGCUGAUUACACCAGAUUAUGUUCACUGAAGCACACCAAAAUUGGAUGUACUGAUGCUUGAGAAUGAGCAUUCUGAAAUAAAACUUGGUCAUAGAUAACAAAAUGUUAAUUAUGGCUGAAAUACUAAAUCAUCCCGGAUACUGACAGGUGUCGAGCCUGUGCAAUAAUAAAUACCUACUCGAGAAAAAUAAAUUUUCUGUGUACAGUAGUGAGUAGGGUCGAAUCCACAGGGACUGGGAAAAAUUUGAUUCCUUUCAAGUUCGGGACACGGGGGAUUUUUAUCAGAAAUAAACUAAAAAUAAUUAAACAAUUUAACUAAAAAUAAUUAAAUAAUUUAACCAAAAAUAAAUAAUUAAUUAAUACAAUUGUAAAUGGCAAUUAAAUAAAUGAUAAAUAAAUUCUAGCCAAGGAUACAACUACGCAAACACAGUCCAUUCAUCCGAUCAUUGAUGCAAAGAAAGUUCACUUAAUUUUAUUAACAGGCUAGUUAUAGUCGCCGAUAAACUCUAACGACCAGCUUUUCCUUAAUUUAUUGAUAACCAAGGUACGACCGUUGAUUACCUCUAACCAGGAAAUACUCCUAGGUACGACCGUAGGAAUUAAUUUCCUAAUUGCAUUAAAAACUAGAAAAGCCUAACCCAAAUUAAUAACACGCUACGAGGGUUAUUUAAAUCAGAUUGCAUGUUCUCCUAGUAUGUGAAAAUACUAGUUGUCACCAAUAUUAACCAACUAAACAAUUACGGAUUUAAUUGAUUAAUUUGACAGGAGAUUAAUAAGUCAAAUUGCACAUCGGGCCCUUGAUAUCCAAUUAACAAAAUAAUCCCAUGGAAAUUAAAAUAGAAAACAUGCAAAUAUUAACAAAUUAAGGAACACGUAAAAUUAAUUAGAUCUCACAGAUAUUUGGGACUGCGUCUUCGCGUUGAUCCUUGACUAGAUGAGAAAAUUAGCCACGCCUCAUACGAAAAUCUUCACACAAUUCAAUUGAAUUUAAAGACAUCAUCUUUCUUCGAUAAUUGAGAGAGUGAAUAACAAAGCUCUCGGAAGAAAAUAAGAAAAUUGCACAAUAGAAUUCAACAAACCAAAACAACUCCCUAUUCUCUCCUCUGGAACAUCCCUCGGAGAGAAAAACUACAAACUCCUCUAUCCUCCUACGGAGCUUAAUUUUGAAAGAAAACUACAACUCACUAGCCUCUUGUCUUCUGCCAUCGUUCGAUAUAUAUAAGGCAAGCCUUAGUCUUCAUAGCUUUUUCAUAGUCUUUUCUCCUUGAGCCCACUACUCUACGUAGGGAGCAAUUGGAAAAACUACAAUCAUCAAAGCCAACAUCUUGGCUAAUGAGUACAUCUCCCACCAUAAGGACAGACUUUCUACGUGGUCCCCGUUAGAUAAUGAAAGAAAACAUCAUUCCAAUUAAUUCCAGCACAAUCAUCAAUUCCUCUGCAAUUAUCAAAACGGAGGAGUCCACUAUAAUCAUCAAUUCCAGCACAAAUACACCCGUGGAACCUAGCUUGUAUGUUCUUUAGAAACUUCCCACGUGUGGAGUAUUUGUUGUAAGAAAAUCUCUCUUUUCUGCUCCACUUCCUGAAAUUGAGUCCAGAUGCCAAAUAUAAGUAUAUGUUGACAAUUAAAAUAAUAUUUGGCAUGGAAACAGGGAAAAAUUAAUAAUAAAAUUACUAACAAUUAACACCUUAUCAAUUUCCCCCACACUUAAAUCAUGCUUGUCCUCAAGCAUGGGAACAACUAAAUUCAACAAUGGCUAACUCUCAUUUCAUUUACUGCCAAGCUACGCUUAUCCCAAAAUCAAGUUUUAGUGGCUAAGUGUCAAGACAUAUUUCUCCCGGUUAGCUCCUGAAAUCAUAGACUCGUCCAAUUCAUAGCUAACUCGUCUAAGAAAUCAAAAUAUUAAACUAGCAAAAGUUAGCAAUUGGGUCAACUGAAAAUCAAAAUCUCAACAUUGAAGAACAAGGAUCGGCAGGCCAACAUGAUCAUAAGCUUACUUAUUAUUUUCUUUUCUUUUCUUUUCUUUUCUUUUUUUUUUUCACAAAAUGCUCAGUCCCAAGCUAUUCAAGUCUUUUGACGUGAAUUCUGACAUUUUUAGAUGAAAGAGCCCAGUUACUCAACUUUUCACAGCUUCAGGACUAACUACUCAUAGAUAUCGCCACUUUUUGACGCGAGAGUCGACACUUGUGGUGAAAACUCCCGGUUACUGGGUGACGGCACUAGCGGAGUAGAGUCAUUUAUUAACCAUAAUUAAAGCAUCAGAAUACCAUAUAAUUAAAGAUCAUGACCCACGUCAUCUCCUAAUAUGGAGAACUAAGAUCAACAAUUGCCCAAUUCACACAACAAUUGCUAGUAAAAUAUUUAUAUUGCCUAAACAAUUUAACCACAAUUUGCACCAAGUCAUUAAACUCAUAAUAUUCACCAAGAUAAUAUGCUUUUACUUGCCAUCUAAACAAAAUUCAUAGGAUAAAUCACAACCAGCAAUAGAAGAGUGAGUUGCCACAUUUAUUCAUCAAGACAACAAUAAGAAAAGCAACAAUUUAAAGAAACUCCAAUCAAAUCCAAAUCCCCCCACACUUAAAGUACACAUUGCCCUCAAUGUGAUAAUUAAUUAGUAAAAAUAAGAAGAUGGACAACGAAACUCCCCUGAAGCUGGUGCCAGCUAUUAGCACCUGUAGUUGGAGGAGGCGGAGCGGAGGUCAAAGGGUCGGGAUCGUGGUUUCACCAUUCUUUCCAAAUUGCAUUCCGUACCACAAUAGACAACAGUUGCUAACGAAUAAUGGAAACAAGAAAUUCAAAGCACUAACAAAUGAAAAAUCAAUUCAAUGAACAAAAUGCACACUGCAUUCACUCACAAGUUAUACAGAUAUCCCAACACUUAUAACAAAUGCAAUCAAUAAACACUCGUGGUUCCAAACUUAGCCAAAUGUAAUAAUAAUGCACCUCAUAAUCACCCCAAUCAAUGUAGUAAUUGAAAUGCAAACAGAAAAAAAAA